rnacentral:lncRNA from 1 species
UCAAGAUCCAUUUUUUCUAGCAAGUCAUGCAUCAAAAUCUAAAUCAGCUGCAGCAGCAUCAACCAAAAGUACUUUUGAGAAAAGCAUUGAAUAAGUAGAAAUGUGAAAUCAAAAGUUAAGAGUGACUGGAAGUUGCAUAGCUUACCGGAGGUCCAGUCACCAGCAAGCACUUGCCGGGAAGGCCAUCUUUCGCUUCUCCUCCUCCUCCCUCUUCCACUGUCGUUCGUUUUCACCCUCGCUCGAUCAGCCAACAUGACUAACAGGAACGACAAGUCGUUGUGCAAGAGAGGGUACGCUGUUGAUAAUUUGAUAUCGUCACUGCUUUGGGCUGGGUAUGUUUGGAGAAUAAGGCCCGACCAGCCCAUAUGAGCCCAAAAAAUUUAACCUCCUGCACGGUAAUUUUUUUUUUUUCUCCUGAACAAUUGAUAUUGUCUACGCUAGGAGGAGGAGGAGUAGGCUUAGCCUCACAAUCAGUUAACAAUAAUGUGGUUCAAAUGCCGAUAUUUUAAAUACUGACUAAAAAUCACUCGGAAGUCGGAGUACUCAAACUUUGUCAUGUUUGUUGGUCCUCAGUGUUUAUGUUGUUGCUUCUGUGGCAAGGAACAGUUGAUGAUAAUAUUAAAUUAAAAAUGAGAUUUAUCCAUUUGAUUCUAAAGGCAGUUUAAGAGUUAGCAUUACUUAUUUGUUAUCUAUUUUUUAGCCAGGAGGAAAAUCUGAUAAUCUUAGAGGCAGUGAUAUAGAUCCACGUUUAUUAUUCCAUCAUGGAAUAUACCAUCAGGCUGUAACUUGUUGGAUUGUGACUCCAUCAAAAAUUACUUGCAAUUAAUUCAACCAAGUGAGUCCAUUUCUACUACCAAAUUUAGCCUUAUUAUUUCCUUUGAGAAAUUGUCUAUGCAGGACGUUCGUCGUUUGUCUUCAUUUUCAUUCACUUGAACAUGUAUGAUCAUUUCUUCACAUUAACGGGGAUGGCACUGGCAGAAUCAAAUUAUUUGGCAAAGAUAACACCCAAGCUCUACAUGCUUCUGUCAAUGCAGUUCCAAGCAAGUUUAUAUACAGGUUAUGUUUCGAUCUCCAACUGUUUUGUUUCGGUUUUCAUGUUAAUGUAAUGAAAAUUUGAGACCCUUUUCGUAUUGAAAAGUAUAUUAGUCGGUUCUUCGUACGAUGAUUUGAUAGUCUGAUGUAAAUUGUGAUGUUUGAGUUCAGUGUAUGGAGAACCAAGGCAUACUUCUAAAUGUAAAUUCCAAGAACCACAUUGAGGCAAGUUUCUGCACUAUAUUUUCCUCUGAUUUAUUUUCCGACGUUCGAUGAAUGAAUGAUCGAACUUAGGUUUUGGGUUUGUUUAUCUACUGCAUUUUAAUAAUUAUUUUGCAAUGUUGUGUUUAGGUUUGGGACAUAGACUAAAAUAAUUACAAUCAAAACAUGUACUAGUCUCAGACAUUACAAACUUAAUCGUUUUACUAGGAAUUGCCAAUUUUAUACUAACACAAGCCUCUAUUGAUCACAGUAGUUGUCGACAUACCUUGGUGUAAGCUUUUGGCAAAUGCCGGCAGGAGUUGGGAAAUGCCCAACAUGUGUUCGACGAAAUGGUCCAAUAAAUUAUUUUUUUCUUUUCUUAAUUAUAGCUUCAUUAUUUGAAAAUUCUAGCUCCUCCACUAGACAUCAAUAUGCGUCCGCUUAGAAUGAUCAUCCACUGGCUCCGAAGACAAGGAAAGUCAUUGCUCUUGGUAAUCAUAUGCAUCAUAGAAGAUAUCUGAGCCCGCCGAGGAGGAGGGUUUCAAAUUGCAAUAGUGAUUAACAAAGUCCAGCAUAUGUCGCUUGCUAGAAAUCUAAAGAGUACAAAUGAAACACAAAAUUGACAUUAUUAUAGAGAAUUAACUAUAUAAAUAAAAACACUGUAAGGGGAAGAAAUAUACGUACUCUCCCUUUCGGAAAGGAUGUCCUGACAAAUUUGCUACUUCUCUAAGAGCUCUCCUCCACAUCAAGACCUUCUCCUUCUUGUCUUGGAAUUUGCUCUCAUGGCCUGUAAAAGCGUCACCGAAACUGCUCUUUUGAUUUCGUACAUGGGAUGGAUCCACCUUGUAAAAAACUGGCAAAACUAUUUGUUUCUUUGAUUCUCUACAUUGAAGGAUCUUGACGAGGUCGUCCAAGCAUCACCUUGAGGAUGCAUAGCUUUUAGAGAAUAUGAUGGACUCUUCAAUUGCUUUGAGAAGAGCCAGAGAUAUUUCUUCUCUUCUUGGAAGCUGGCAAUCAGAGAAGGUGUGGAUUCCCUUAUCGAUCAAACCCUUGUAUAAAUGACCGGUAAAAUUGGUGCGUGUAUCCUCUUCUCUAUAGCUCAAAAAGACAUCGUAUUUCCAUGAAGGAUGGUGAAGGAAGAAGAAGAGACAAGUUGACCUGCCAUAGGAGAACUAAAGCUAGAUAAACUUAAGAAAAGAGCCUCCCAAAGGAUUGGAAUAUGCAGUAUGUAUUGAACUAAACAUGGUAAAUACCAAUAUUAAACUAAACAUGGUAAAUACCAAAAAUAUAUAUGACAAUAUUUGGGAAUUUCUUAUAUAUUCAUUAAUCUCCAAAGUGGAGUAUAUAUAGGAGUUACAAUUGGUAUUACAUAUGUACUUCACCAAUGUGGGACAAUAAACUACUAUUUACACUUUAACUAAUAUAUAACUCGCAACACUCCCCCUCAAGUUUUUGCAAAGAUGUCACGCAUGCCUAACUUGUCAAGCGAGUUGGAAAACACACUAUUAGACACAGCCUUAGUAAGAACAUCAGCAAGUAGAUCUUCAGAUCUCACAAACAGAAACAUAAUAAUUACAGCAUCAAAUUUUUCCUUAAUGAAAUGUCGAUCAAUCUCCACAUGUUUUGUUCAACCAUGUUGCACUGGAUUAUGAGCAAUCUCAAUAGCAGUCUUGUUAUCACAAUGAAGUUUCAUAGCACCUUUGGGGUUAAACCCAAGAUCUCUCAACAAUUUUUGCAACUACAACAACUCACAUACACCAUGCGACAUACCACGAAACUCAACUUCUGCACUUGACCUAGCCACCACUUUUUGUUUCUUGCUUCUCCAAGUAACUAAAUUACAUCCACAAACGUAAAGUAUCCAGAUGUAGAUCGCCGAUUAGUGAUAGAACCUGCCCAAUCUGCAUCUGUAUACCCUUCGACAUUCAAAUGACCAUUCUUGGAGAAAACCAGGCCUCUGCCAGGAGCCAUCUUCAAGUACCUUAAAAUACGAGUUACUGCAUCCAUAUGAGCUUUAUUAGGUGAGUGCAUAAACUGACUUACCACACUAACUGCAUAAGCAAUGUCAGGGAGAGUGUGAGACAAAUAAAUUAAUCUCCCCACAAGCCUCUGAUACUGUUUCUUAUUAGUAGGAACUUGAUCUGGAAAUAAGCACAGACGAUGAUUCUGCUCAAUCGGAGUAUCAACAGGUUUGCAAUCUAACAUACCUGUUUCAGCUAACAAAUCAAGAACAUAUUUCCGUUGAGACAGAAAAAUACCAUGCUUGGAUCGUGCAACCUCGAUUCCAAGAAAAUACUUCAAUUCACCCAAUUCUUUCAUCUCAAACUCAGUAGCUAGGUACUUUUGAAGGCGUUGUAUCUCCUUCUGAUCAUCACCAGUCACUAUCAUGUCAUCAACAUAAAUAAUCAAUGCAGUUAGCUUAUCAUUUUGUCACUUUAGAAACAAAGUAUGAUCUGAAUGAAUCUGGAUAUACCCAAACUUCUUCAUUGAACUUGUAAACCUCUCAAACCACGCUCCAGGAGAUUGUUUCAAACCAUACAAGGUCUUUCGUAACAUGCAUACAACACCUUUUCUAGGAGAUGUUCCAACACCAGGUGGGAGAUCCAUAUACACUUCCUCCUUAAGAUCACCAUGAAUUAAAGCAUUCUUAACAUCAAACUGCAAUAGAGGCUAAUCCUGGUUUGCUGCUAAGGACAGAAGAACACGCACGGUAUUAAGUUUGGCAACAUGAGCAAAGGUCUCCUGAUAGUCCACUCCAUAGGUUUGAGUAUAACCUUUAGCAACUAAUCUGGCUUUAUACCGGUCAAUAGAACCAUCUGCUUUGUGCGUAAUAGUAAACACCCAUCUACAUCCAACGGCUUUCUUCCCAUUUGGUAAAGGAACCAAAUCCUAAGUAAAAUUCUUUUCCAAAGCUUCUAUCUCAACUUGCAUUGCAUUAACCCACUUAGGGUCAGACAAAGCAUCUUGCAAUUUUGUUGAAAUUGAUACACUAGAUAGCUGACAUAGGUAAGAUGCAUAUGGUUUGGAUAAACGAUAAGUAGACACAUAAUUGUUGAUAGGAUAUUUGGCUUUGGCAUGCAUAUCAAGCUCAUAUUGUACUUUAGGUUUUCCACGAUUAGCUCGUGAAGGCAAUUGAUAAGUAGAAGAAUCAUCAAAAUUUACCUCAUGUAUGCCAUCAUCUUGUACCAAACUGUUAGAAGAAUCAUCACUGGACGAACCAUCAUCAGGCAACUCGUUAGACAUAUCAACAGCAGGCAAUCGAUCAUCAGAAAGUAAUUCAUCAGACAUACUAACAGGCAACUCGCUGGGCACAUCUGAUCUAUCGUCAGUAGAAAUUAUUCCGGGAAUAACAGGUGACCGAUCACUAUCUGUAGUCGACUGAUCAGUAUCACGCAACAUAAUAGGUUAUGUUCCUAACUUUGCCUGUAACACAUCAUCCAUACCAUCUCUUCAAAUCUGCACUUCAUUCCCCCUCUCCCCCUGAAGUGGAGAGUCGGAAGAGGGCUUCACAAAAUACGAAACUUCCUUAUGGAAGGUGACAUCCAUGGUAAUAUAAGUUUUUUGAGUUGGAGGAUGAUAGCACUUAUAGCAUUUUUAUUGUUAGCAUACCCAAUAAAGACACACCGGAGAACACAUGCAUCAAGUUUACUCCGCUGAUGAGAGUAGACAUGCACAUACGCAAUACACUCAAACACUUUCGGAGGAAGCUUUGAUACAGAAACAAGAGAAACAUGUUUUUGUAGCACAUCGAACGGUGUCUGAAAAUCAAGAACCCUACUUGGAACAUGAUUGAUCAAAUACACAGCAGCCAAAACAGUAUGACCCCACAAAUGAUUAGGAACACAUUUAUCCAACAUUAAGGAGCGAGCAACCUCCAUUACUUGACGAUUCUUCCGUUCGGACACACCAUUUUGUUGGGGUGUAAACGGAGUAGUCGUCUGGUGAAUAAUACCAUGAUCAUGAAAAAAAACAUGCCAAAUUGUGAUUCACAUAUUCUCCUCCGUUAUCAGACCUGAAGACCUUAACUUUGAUCUGAAACUGAGUAGACACCAUUAUACAAAAUUCUUGAAGAAGUAACGGAACAUCACUCUUAUUGUUCAUCAAGAACACCCAAGUUAACCAAGUACAAUCAUCAAUAAAAGUAACAAACCAACGGAAUCCAUUAGAAGUAACUUUCGCCGGACCCCACACAUCAGAAUGUAUCAAAUCAAAUGGCAAAGUAGCUUUAGAAUCAUUUACGGGAAAGGAAGCACGAUGACUCUUAGCCAUGACACAUGUUUCACACUUGAACUCCGAAUCACUACAAGUGCGAAACAAAGAAGGAAAUAGAUGUUUCAUAUAACUGAAUGAUGGAUGUCUCAAUCGUCGAUGCCACAACCAAAUUUGAUGUCUGUCAUCCACUUUAGCACUUAAAACUUGAUAAUUAUUUGAACCAGAAAUAACAGUAUCCUCCAUAGUCAAGAUGUACAAACCCCCUAUUCUUUUACCAUGACCAAUUAUCUUCUAAGUUUGAAUAUCUUGAAAAUAACAAUACGUAGGGUAGAAGUGAGCAGAACAAUAUAAGGUAUCAAGAAGUUUUCCUACCGACAAAAGAUUGCACUUAACAUCAGGAAUAAGUAAAGCACGAACCAAUGAUAAAGUUGGAGUCAGAGAGAUAGUGUCUUCACCCUUCACAGGGGAAUGUGCUCUAUUUGCACUAGUAAUAUACAGAUCACGAAUAUAGUCACAUAACUCAUCAAACACUUUAGGGUCACUAGUCACAUGAUCAGUGACCCCAGUAUCAAUUAUCCAUUUAUUUGUUCCACCAAGAUGCAUAACAACACUAUGAUUAUAUUGAGAAAUACAAAAUCACGAACAAAAAAGGCACAAAAGAUACGCAGCGGAAUGAAAAUAAUUUACCAAAACACUGUAGCAGAACAUUGUUCACGGCACUGUAGCAGAGACUAUUUACGGCACUGUAGAUGACACUGUUCACAAAGCAGACCACUGUUCACGCAUUGUACUGUAGCGCGACACUAUUCAUUUUUUUUUUUCACGAAGGAAAUCACAAAAAAUGUGGGCACAAAAUUUAAAGCACAUAGGUCACCAAGAGCGAACUGCUUUAAUGCCAUAUUGAACUAAACAUGGUAAAUACCAAUAUUAAACUAAACAUGGUAAAUACCAAAAAUAUAUAUGACAAUAUUUGGGAAUUUCUUAUAUAUUCAUUAAUCUCCACAGUGAAGUAUAUAUAUGAGUUACAAUUGAUAUUACAUAUGUACUUCACCAAUGUGGGACAAUAAACUACUAUUUACACAUUAACUAAUAUAUAACUCGCAACAGUAUGGUAUGGACAACAGAAUCUCUCUUGAUAUAUCAGUCCUUGUACUUUUCUUCCUACUUUAUCAAGUCAAGUUGGACAAGGAACUUUCGUGGCAUCUUCCUUCCAAAAGCAAUUUCUACCAAGCAUUUUCCAACCUAUUACCUUUCAACGUGGAUAGGAACUUUCGUGGCAAUUUCCUUUCAAAAGUGAUUUCUACCAAACAUUUUCCUACCUACUAUCUUUCAAUCUGCACAGGAACUUUCGUGGAAACUUGAUAUCAGCAACAGUGCUUUUGCCGACACCCUGCACCUGAAAUCAGCUGUAAUAGCAUCAACCAAAAGCAUUUUUGAGAAAAUCAUUGACUGAGUAGAAAUAUGAAAUCAAAUGUUAAGAUUGACUGGAAGUUGAAUAGCUUACCGGAGGUCCAGACAUCAGCAAGCACUAUCCGGGACCGGCCUUGUCAGGCCCCGAUCUCGACAUACGUCCAGGAUUGACAAGUGACGUCAUCAAAAACCAUAUAUCUAACAUACCCCGGCGUCGGAAUAUGUACCAAUCGCAUCUCGAGCCUUGAUUUGCGUAGUGAUUAUUUGUAUACUUUAUGGUUGCAUCUAAUCUCCUCGUUAGACUGCCUACGUACCCUUAAUAGGGAUCAAGUCAUUCGUAGUCCACCAUUUCACUGUACUCAAACAUUUAUCACAUAAAUCGCUAUGUCUCAACAAUAUAUCACAAUGCAUACCAUGCAAUAUGUUCAAGAACCAAUGACAAAGAACAAUAUUCUUCUCUAGCCACAUUGAUCAACUAGAAUAAUCAUAAUAAUAACAUCCAUAUCCAAAGUCAUUCCGCAAUCCCGUCAAUUAAUCAAUUCAUGAAUCAAAAUGCAUGAUCUUAGCAUUUAUUUAUGUUAAUCAAUCAAUGCGAUAACUUAUCAUUUCACGAAUUUAACUAAGGAACACUAUAUAAUUCCCUACUAAGAUUAUGAGUAAUAAACAUGGUAAUUCUAAUUUAUAUUCACAAGGUUUAUUAGGGGUAAUUCCCAUCCACUCGAUUCUAGGGUUUUAGACUAACCUUAGGGAUAUGACCAAGUGCAAGGAUUCCGAACCACUCAACGGAAUCCAACAAUCUUGGGUUCCAGACCACUCAACGGAACUAAAAUAUCAAGCUGCUUCUCGUAAUCUACCCAGACCUAUCAUAUGUACAAUCAUGCCUACAUCAAGGAGAUGGCACACUAGGCAAAUCAGACAUUUAGAUAAGUUGCAAAGCUCGGGUGAGUGACAAUAAUACAAGUAUGUGAUAUUCAAUUAAAAUAGAUCAUCGAUCACAAUCUAUAAACAUCAAGUAUAAAAUCAUGUUUUGUGGAAUCAUAAUCAAGACGUCGAAAACUCCAUAGGAGUCACCUGGACAUCCAACGGUUUUUCUAAUUCAAACCAUAAGAUUCUUAAAAACCAUUGUUCAUAUGUACAUUAAAAAUUAGAGCUAAAGGGACGCAGUUCUGCCGAAGCUUACAUAAGUAACCAAACAGGAAGUGGCCCCCUAUCACAGAUUAACCAAGUAGAACCACCCCUGUAGUAAUCAAGUAGGCAGUGACCCCCUAUUGCGGAUUAACCAAGCAGAGUCACUCCUACGCAUUUGUUAGGCAAUGAUCACCUAUCGCGGAUUACCCAAGCAUGAUCACUCCUAAGUGUGUGUGUGUAUGGCCAUACCAAAGAUAUAAGGAUCGCCUAUCGCAGAUUAACCAAGCAGGACCAUGGUCCCCUAUCGCAAAUUAACCAAGCAGGACCACUAGGACCCCCUAUCGCGGAUUAACCAAGCAGGGUCAUAGGCAGUGAUCACCCAUCGCGGAUUAACCAAGCAUGAUUACUCCUAAGUAUACAUGGUCAUCAGGAUCGCCAAUCGCGGAUUAACCAAGCAGAAUCCAUAAAUAAUAUGGUCCCCUAUCGUGAAUUAACCAAGCAGGACCAUUAGUGACCCUCUACUAGCCCUCACUUUAACAAACAUUUCAAUAAGCAAUUCGAAUCACUUUUUCACAAAUAUUACCAAUCCAUGAAUCAAAUCACAUUUAAUAAAAAUAGAUCGAUGGCCAAUUAUAAAAGAAUCACAUUUUAACAUAAAACACAUUUAUAAAACCAAGUCAUAUCCACAAAGGAUACUAAUAUAAGAAAACAGGGUAAUAACCAUAUCACAUGUAUUAAAGUCACUCACCGAGACAAUACCGCAAAGCCUCACUGAGUCUCUAGUAAUACUAAUUUUAGUUGUAUGAACGAUUCAAGACAUGUUGAUCAAAAGUCAACUCUCGAUCAACGGUGGGGUCCACAUCCCUAUGUAAUUUGAUCUGGAAGAUCUGCACAUCAGAUUUUGGAUCCAUAAUAUUUUAAAAUACACGUUAUGCCUCUAGAACAACAUGCUAAAAUUUCAUCACGAUAUGACGGUCGGAUCUCCGUCAAUUUCUAGAAUUAGGUGGUGAUCAACAAUUUGUUUUACAAACUUAGAAAUCUCAUUCAGGAAGAUCCAUAAGUCGGAUUCCUGAUCCGUAAGUUUCUAUGAUAGUCAAAUAUUAUGUUCUAUAACGCAUUAAGGUUUGGUGACGAUCCAACGGUCGGAUCAUCGAUUCAUAUUUUAACCAAGUAAUGUAUCGUAAUGAAACUAAGUUCAAACAUUCAAAUUAUGUCAUACGGAUAUCAAACAUGAACCCAGGGCAUCUAAUAGUACUUAAAAAGAUAUUGUCGUCCCACUGGCCACGUGCCGCCACAGGUGGCGGUCGGCCAUCCCGACUCGCCUGAAAAUUCAACUACUUCAAAAAAUUCUCAAUUUUUACCAGAAUGAAGAUCUCAAUGAGUAGAGUAAGUUUCAUACCUGUGACUAAGGCCAAUUUGGCUGGGAAACACCUCGAUUUUACACAAACCUGACGGAAACCCUAAAGAGGGUGUGCUUCGAUUUGAUCCCCAUACUCGCUCUGAUGCCUCCACCACUGCUUGUGCUUUGUUCCUAAGGUUGAGGGGAGCCUGACCAUGGUGGUAUUCAAUGGUGUUGAUUUCCCAAAUGGUGGAAUCGCCGCUUCCAUCCGGUGCACCCAUUGGUGCGGUUUCACCCAAAAGCAAUCCAAUUUUCACAAUUUUUCGGUUGAAAAUGGGUGAGAGAACGAUUGGGCUAGAAGCAAGGAUCAUUUUGGCACCGGUCCCGUCGUCAACGGUGGUCGAAAUCGGAAAAUAUGGUCGGGUCGAGUCAAAAAUACAACCGGGUCCAAGGAGGGAUCCAGUUCCCUUCCUCCUCCUCUCUCUCCUUUCCCCUCCUUGUUUCUUCUGUUUUUGAUUGGUCCUUCUCCCCCUCUUUUUCUCUCCUUUCUCUCCUUUCUUUUCUUUCCUUUCUAUCCCAGCCGUCCAUCUCUUAUUUUGCUUUCAUCCUAGCCACACACGUGGCACAUCCUUUGCUCCAGAUUUUCUGGAGCCUUCUAAAUGAGGGCGCCCCUAAUUUCAAACGUUAAUAACUCUUUCGUUAUAACUCUAUUUCAUGAACGGUUUACGCCUACGAGUUCGUGAGAUCGAGCUCUAUUCAAAGAUAUAAAUUGUGACCUCGAACGGUCUAAGAAUUUUAAAUAAUUAAUCUCCAAACUUCACUCUUUGUAACUAGUUUAAUUAAAAUCUAAUUUCAAAUAAACUAAUAUAAAUUCCCAAAAAAUAAUAUAAAAUCUCAAUAACACAAAUACUUAGAUUACAACAGUGAAAUCCAGGAACGGAAUUUCACAGGCCUUCUUACAUCCAUAUUCGAAUGCACUUAAUAGACGUGAUUCUCUAGUGAAAAGGACACUUUCUAGACUCAAGUGGUUUUUUAGGGAGAGAAUCGAACAAAAACUUGAAAAACAUGAGUAAAAGUUCAAAACUAUUUGAGCUACAAGUCACCCAUAAGCAGGUAUAGACUCAAACUUUGUCUUUUUGUUGGUCCUCAGUGUUUAUGUUGUUGCUUUUGUGGCAAGGAACAGUUGAUAACAUCACUUAUUUGUUAUCUAUUUUGUAGCCCAAUACCUCUGCAAUUGCAAUGACAAGGAAUCCAAUGUUCCAUCAAAGAUCAAAGAACAUUGCGAGGAGAUAUCACUAUAUAAGAAAGGCACUGCAGUUAAAUAUAAUCAAUUUGAUUCAUUGCAAAUCUGACAACAAUUAGCUGACAUUUUUACAAAGGCAUCGCCAAAGGACAGGUUUUGUAUAUUUAGAGAAAUGCUUGAUGUUAAACCAGUAACAAGCUUAGAAGGAAGUGUUGAUAUGUAAGCAUGAUUGCUGGAUCAAAGUCCAGAAUUGGUGAGGUUCAAGUUUGAAGAAUAGAAGGAUUUGUUCUUAGAUUUAUUAGUGUUCUUAUUUUGCAAUGAACGGUAAGAUUAUAACAUCUUAACGGUGUAUAGCUUGGUACGCGUCUAGUUUGUUAUGUUUUUAAGUGAAACCGUGUGCCUUCCACGUGAUCACCAUCACGUUGCUUAUGAAGGCAACGGCUAUAAUGUUCGGCUUUGAUGCCGAGAAUCUAACAUUCGAAUCCAACGUGAUUUCCAGGAGCAACAAACUCCAUUUUUGUUCUUGGGUAUUCUCUACAAUCCCAGUUCAUUGAGCACUUCAAUUUCUUGUUGAAUUUCAUACAAAAUCCUCACUAAAAUCAACCUAGAAAACUCUAAAACACUAACAUGUAUAUUUAUAUGGAUCAAGAAAACAGAAGUGCAAAAGAUUGUAGAACAAGGAGAAGUUACCAAACGAGUUCUCGGUUAUUAGUUUUAAAAAAUGGAAACUAGAACCUGAAAUGGUCAUUAAACGGCCUCUUAGUUUUAAAGAUUAGAAAAGUGCAAACGAACUCAUACAUUAAUUUAUGUAUAUGUGCGUACACAAACUCCUAAUAUAUCAGAAAUUGUAGAUCAUCUGAAGUGGACGGUUGCCGUUGCUCCUCCUCCUCAAUAUGAAUAGGAACAUUGAGAUCAAUCUGCCUGCGCUUCGGAUGAUCAUCCGCUGGCUUCAAAGAUAAGGAAAGCUGUUAUUGCUGAUGAUCAUAUUCAUCAUCGAUGAUAUCUAAGGAUCCAUAUGGACGAGGCCUCUUCCCAAGACUACUCGUUGGUCCCAAAGACAAGGGAAGCUGUUCGUCUUGGUUGUCUAAAAAAGGUCGUACCCAGUGCACAAGGGUCCCGCUUUACGCAGGGUCUGGAAGAGGUGAAUGUCGGCUAGCCUUAUAUUACAACCACUCGUCUAGUAAGGGGUGCACCCCGCAGCUUUUAAUGCAUGUGCCUUUCUGGAAACAAAAUAUAACUUGACAAAUAUCUCCCUGCUGCUUGUGCUCGUCUAAAUCCACUAACAUGAGCCACACAUGAGCUGCCUUCAUGUCCUUGCCAUACCAGAAAACUUUUUUUUUAAACUGUGGUAUUCCGCUGAUGGAAAUAUAAUGAGGAUGAUCAAUUGGUGGUUCAAGAACAAAAGAUAGAGCCAAUCCUGACAACAUAUCCCCUUGUAAAUUUAGAGGAAUUUCAAAACAAAAUUCAAAUGUUGUUGGCUCUUCAAAGGAAAAAUAUCUGAACCACUUUGGAACUUCAUUGCCCGGAAGAACAAUUUCCAAUUUAGAGCACCGAAGAGAUUCCUGCAAUAGCAAAUAAUGUAGAUAACUAAUUACAAUUAGUCAUGAUCUGACCUCUCUCUCUCAAGCAUCAACAAAAUAUAUUUAAAUUUCAAGAGAAAUUAAGAAAGGAAGAGGAACCUGAUUCAACAACAAAUUGUUUUCCAACUUUGCAACCUCAUCGCCACUUAGUCCAAAGCAAUUGCGCAAGUCCAGACGCUUAAGCAUUGGGGGCAAUUUUGACAUUUUCUCCAAAGAUGUGCAAUCAUCGAGAUACAAGUGCUUUAGUAUUGGUGGAAGGACUUGUGGAAUUUCCCGAAGCCUCUUGCAACCACUCAAAGAAAGUUCCUCCAAGAUGGAAAAUUGGCUAAUGCAAUCCGGAAGACAAACAAAAUUGUUUCUCGACAGAUCAAGAAAUUUUAAUCUGGAAUAGCAAUCAAGAGGCACAAGAAAAUUACUUUCUGAAAGAUUGCAUCCUCUAAAAUCAAGAUAGUAUAGGUUGGAAAGGGCUAUUGUGAUACACUUGUCAUCUAAAAUAUCCAAAUCAGCUGUGGUCAGAUUUGGACAUCCACAUAUGUACACAUUUGUAAGGUUCUCACAACCACGUGCUUCCAAGCUUUCAAGCCCAGUAAGAUAAGCAAUUGAUGAAGGCAAUUCUCUUAUGCCACUUCUUUUUAUGUCCAAACGCCAUAGGGAUUUCAUCUUGUUCUCUAUUACUGGGAAAGUCUCAAGCCUUGUGCAACCACAAAGAGAGAGCUUUUUAAGGGAUCUCAAUCCAAGUCUUGUUACAAACCUCGUAAGCCUAGAGCACCCACUAAGAUCCAUUUCGACAAGUUUAUCAAGGAAUCCAACAGAAUCAUCAACCUCAACCAAACUUUUACAUUCACUUAAGUCCAAGUGCUUUAGGUUUGGGAUUCCGGAGAAGUCGGGGAUUUUUUCCAAGAAUUUGCAACCACUUAAAUUCAUAGAUGUAAGCUUUGCUGAAUUCUGUGAAACCAAAAACAAAGACAAAACAAAAAUUCACUGGUUUUAAAAAGAAUACUAUGAAACACUUAGACUACUUUUUUUUGGGAAAUAAAAUAUAUGUUCAAAUAAUAAUGAUUCAAAAUAAUUUGAAGUAUGUACCUUAAAUCCCUUUAGUUGCCUGAUGCCACUAUAUGAUAUAUCAAACAUAACAAGAUGCCUUGGAUUAUAAUUAGAUGGCAAAUUGAACACAACCGUAUGCUCUCGAUGAAUAUUGGAUCGUCCACUCAAUUCAAUCCACCUCAAAUCAUUGGGCAGAUAAUCAACGUGUCCAAAAAAGCGUGCAUUACGGUAUAUAAAAAUUUCAAGAUUUACCAUCUGCGAGAAGCUUCCUACAUUCAAAGUUAUCACAUCUGGUUCGGGCAGCUCCACCACAAUGCCUUUAAUUUUCUUUGUUCCCUAAGAUGGAAAAAAGAAAUAAUGUUAGCAAACAAGUCAUAUAACAAAGAAUUCACAAAGGCUGUUUUAAAAUCCUUUUUUUUUCUAUAUCAUGCCAAAUUAAAUGUAAGAAAAUAUAUUGUACUUACUUGAUUUUCAGUUAGAACAUGGUACACAUCUUCAUGAAACCACAACCUGCUACGUUUCCCUGGUUCAGUGGGAGAUUCUUCGUAAACUAUACGCUUACCCAUUUUUUCUAGCAAGUCAUGCAUCAAAAUCAUAUUAUCUUCAAUAGUUAUGAUGGCAUUCUCAACGAGUACUUCAAUACAAUCUUGAGGUACAUUGAGCUUCGAACUUUUUAAUAUCUGUAACACGUAGUCUUUAUGGUUACCCUUAAAGAAACAUGCAAUGUCUAGGAAAACUUGUUGCACAACAUUAUCCCAGGCAUCAUAACUUUUUUGAAGUAUUCUUUGAAUAUCUGUAUAAGGUUCUCUUACGUAAGAAUCAUAACUAUCCAAUAUAGCUUUCCAGCGAUCUAUACUUUUCUUACGCAGAUGAGAACCUAUCAAAUUAAGAGCUAACGGAAGGCCUUGAGCAUAAGCUAUUGCACGACGUGCAAGUAUUAAAUAAUCAUCUGGAGGUUCAUUUAUUCCGAAGGCGUUCAAACUUAAAAGCUCAAGAGCCUUGUCAUCCAUUAGCUUUUGGACCUCAUAUAUCAACUCAACUCCAUAAGAUUCCAGCAAUCCUCUAUUUUUUGAGGUUAUGAUCACUCUGCUACCCUCACCGAACUUAUCAACUUCAACCAAGUUGUUUAACUGCUCCAAUCGAUCCACAUCAUCAAGAAUUAAGAGAAUCUUCUUUCCCCUCAACAGUUUCUUUAUAAGGCUGAUUCCUUCAUGAACAUCGACAACUUUCAACUCUGUACCGCAUAGAACCUUAGAAAGAAGAGUGUUUUGUAGUUGGAUUACGCCUUGACGUGAUGUUGAUGCUUCUCUAACAUCUGCCAAGAAACAUCUACCUUCAAACUUAUGAGCAAUCGCAUUAUAAACAGCUUUUGCAAUUGUUGUCUUGCCUAUUCCAGAUAUCCCCCAAAUCCCAACCACACAACGAUCAUUUCCACCAACACCUAAAAGCUCUUUCACCUCUUGUACGCACGAUUGUAUUCCAACUGGGUGUUUGGCCACAUUCAAACAUGUGUCACCACGUACUUUGACUAAGAUAUCCUCAACAAUGUUGCUGAUAAAUGUAGCUUCAGAUCUAGCAGUUCAAAACAAAUAACACAUUUAAUCAGUGACCUUUUUUUCUAUAUUUCUAUCCAAAUGAAAAAGGGUUUCAAAUUGCACUAGUGAUUACUAAAGUCCAGCAUGUGUCGCUUGCUAGAAAUCUAAAGAGUAAAAAUGAAACACAAAAUUGACAUUAUUAUAGAGAAUUAACUAUAUAAAUAAAACACUGUAAGGGGAAGAAAUAUACGUACUCUCCCCUUCGGAAAGCAUAUCCUGACAAAUUUGCUACUUCUAAGAGCUCUCCUCCACAUCAAGACCUUCUCCUUGUUGUCUUUGAAUUUGCUCUCAUGGUUUGUAAAUGCGUCACCGAAACUAUUCGUUUGAUUUCGUACAUGGGGCGGAUCCACCUUGUAAAAAACUGGCAAAACUAUUUGUUUCUUUGAUUCUCUACAUUGAAGGAUCUUGACGAGCUCGUCCAAGCACCACCUUGAGGAUGCGUAGCUUUUAGAGAAUAUGACAAGAGAAAUUCUCGACUCUUCAACUGCUUGGAGAAGAGCCGGAGAUAUUUCUUCUCCUCUUGGAAGCUGGCGAUCGAUGAAGGUGUGGAUUCCUUUAUCGACCAAACCCUUGUAUAAAUGAUCGGUAAAAUUGGUGCGUGUAUCCUCUCCUCUAAAGCUCAAAAGACAUCGUAUUUCCAUGAAGGAUUACUGGUGAAGGAAGAAGAAGAGACAAGUUGACCUGCCAUAGGAGAACUAAAGCCAGAUAAACUUCAAAAAAGAGCCUCUCAAAGGAUUGGAAUAUGCAGUAUGGUAUGGACGAUGAACUCUCUCUUGCUAUAUCAGUCCUCAUUUUUCUUACUACUUAUCUGGUAAAGUUGAACAAGGAACUUUCGUGGCAACUUCCUUCUAAAAGCAAUUUCCACCAAGCAUUUUCCUACCUACUACCUUUCAAUGUGAACAGGAACUUUCGUGGUAAUUUCUUUCCAAAAGUGAUUUCUACCAAGCAUUUGCCUACCGACUAUCUUUCAAUCCGGACAGGAACUUUCAUGGAAACUUGAUUUCAGCAACGGUGCUUUUUCCGACACCCUGCACCCGAAAUCAGUUGCAGCAGCAUCAACCAAAAGCACUUUUGAGAAAAUCAUUGACCAAGUAGAAAUAUGAAAUCAAAAGUUAAGAGUAACCGGAAGUUGAAGAGCUUACCGGAGGUCCAGCCGCCAGCAAGCACUUUCCGGGAUCAGCCAUCUCUCGCUUCUCCUCCGCCUCCCUCUUCCACUGUCGUUCGCUUUUACCCCCGCUCGAUCAGCCAACACGACUAACAGAAUCCACAAGUCGUUGUGGAAGAGAGGAUACGCAUGUUGGAUAUAAGGCCCGACCGGCCCAUAUCAGCCCAAAAAACUUGACCUUCUGUGAGGUAAUUUUAAUUUUAACCCCACAGUAACCGUAAUAAUUUGAUAUUAAAAUAGACCGACACUGUCAAAAGACUAUCUCCAAUGGUGGCUUAUAACCUAAAAUUUUCUUUUUUUUCCUCUCAAAACCCACUCCAACCCAAAACUUAAACCAAACCUAAAAGGAAGGCAAAUAUCAACCACAAUUUAGCCCACAAAAUAAAAUGAGACCUACAAGUGAGAGUGAAAAGUGGGCUGUGAAGCCCACACCCCCAAAACCCAACACUCCUCACGCGCCCUUUUUUUUCCAGCCGAAGGCCCACCCAUGUGGGUUGGUCCCCCUUGUUGUCAACCUUACUGUAGCCCAACAACUACUUUUGUUCAUCCAACUGCCAGUUUAAUUGGACCGUUGGUUAAUCAAACGGUCCACGUUCAAUUUUUUUAUAUAUUUAUAUAUUUAUUGAAUCUAACGGCUUAGAUCGAAUAUAAUCAAAUUUAACGGUAAAAAAAGAGAUCUAACGGUCCAAAUUCAAUCCAACGGCUAAAAUAAUUUAAAAAAAUAUAUUUAACUUAAAAUUCAACCAAAAAUUCUAUAAAUACGUAUAUAUUUGUUCAAACAUCCACACAAAACUCACUUUUCUCCUACAAUUCUUCAAAUUUUUCUUUCUACCACUUCUUCUCAUUUCCAAAAUUCUCAAGAUGGCAAAAGAGCAUGUUAGAGGUCGUAAUUGGACCUUUGACGAAGAUAUUGCUUUAAGUUUGGCAUGGAUUUCUAUUUGCGAAGAUGAUGCCGUUGACACGAAUCAAAAUAGAAAGGUUUUGUGGGGUAAAUUGUUGAUAAGUUCCAUGAAAACUCCAACGCCGAUCAAAGGGAAGUUGGUGGUGUUUAUGAUUGGUGGAAGAUUAUCAACAAAGCGUGCACUUUGUAGAAGGGAAGCUUGGAGAGAGCCAUGGUUGACAUGCCUAGUGGAAGGGGCGGCUCAUAAAUUGUGAGUUUCUUUGUUGAUAUUUUAUUUGUCAUGUACAUAAUAGUAUUUGCAACUAAUUGUUUUUAUGUAUUUGUUGCAUAGGGUGACAAAGCAAUGGCAUUUUAUAAGACAAGAACUACACCCAAAAUCAAGCUUUUAAGUUACAUCAUGCUUGGAUCAUCCUCAAGGAUUGUCCGAGGUGGAGAACCAAUGAGGACCAACAAUGGGGAAGAUUAUUUCAUAGUGAAGCCCCACCCCCAAAUAAUGUCAAUGAAUGUGUGAAUUUUGCCGACAAUGAAGGUUUCGAACACAUGACCCCAACUUCUUUUGCAAGGCCCCUGGGUAGAGAUAAGCAAAAUAAAGCAAAGAGAAAAGGGAAGUCCCAAGAUCCGAUAUGUGCACAAUUUGCUAGCGAAAUGGUAAGAAUGAAUGAAAACCAUAUUUCUCGGCAAGAAGAAUCGGCCCAAAUGUGUUUGGCCAUGAAGUAACAAGGGGAUAGGGAGCAAGAAAGGUUCAAAAUUAAUUUGAUGAUGGAGGACCUCGACAAAUACACUCCAGAGAGGAAGAAAUACUUACGUGGUAAGCGAAAUGACAUUUUACGAAGGAGUGCCACAAGGAGUAUAUUUCAAGAUGACGAUUCAUCUCAAGACUAUCACCCAAGUCCAUCACCAAGUCAAGAUGGUGGAUAUCAUUAUUAAGUUUAUGAGUUUUCGAUUGUAUUAAGUUUAUGUGGUUUAUUAAUUGUCUUUUUUUUUAUUUUUAUUUUAUUUUUAAAGUUUAUGUGGUUUAUUAAUUGUCAUUUGUAUUAAGUUUAUGUGGUUUAAUAAAUAUCGUUUGUAUUAAGUUUAUCAUGAUUUUCAUGUAUUGAUUUAGUGAUUUUUUCAAAAUUUAUCAGAAUUUAAAUAUUUUUAGGUUAAAAUGUUCAUAUAAUUAAUUUAGGAUAGUCUACAUAAUUUUUUUUAAAGUUAAUUUAAAAAAAAUUAGCCUUAAUCCAUUCUUUGAUAAUCUCGGGCUAAAAUUUUAAGCCAAAAGGGUUGGAGCAGAAAAACUGUUUCUAGACGAAAACCUAAAUUUUCUAGGCUAAAUAUUUUUAAGUUUUAGGUCACCAUUGGAGAUGGUCUAAUUGUUAAGGAAUCUCCUACAUCAAAGGAGAUCAGUUCGUCAACAACACAAUCUGCUCCAUCAACCGCACAAUCGGCUCCUCCGUAUGAAAGUCAACUAUGAUAUAUGCUAUGCUGUCUUUCCUAUUCGAUUUGAUUAGGAUUGAUUCAGUCAUUCAAGUAUGAUUGUAUUUACCAUAUUAGGAUUGUAUUCAAAGUGUAUAUAAUCACAGACCUGUACCUAUAAACAAAUCAAUGAAAUAUACCAAUUCUACAUGGUAUCAAGAGCCCAAAAACUCCAACGAGCAAUUUUUUUUUUGAUCCCUUUCUUCCCUGUCUUCAUCCAUGGCCACUAACGCCUCUAUAACCAACCCUCUACCAGAGCUCAACUCCAUUACUCCCACCUUGAUCACAAUUAACGCUAUAGCCCAACUACCUGUGAAACUCAUACCCACCAAUUACCCAUCCUGGCGUGCUCAGUUCAACGCCCUCAUUUACGGCUACGACCUCAUGGGUUAUGUGGAUGGUUCUAAUCUCUGCCCAUCAACCACUUAAACCGUGCUUCGCACCUUUUAGAUUCGGUAAGAUCAACUCCUCAUUCAUGUGAUUCUUGCUUCCGUCUUACCGCAAGUCAUCUCCCUUAUUGCCUCUGCCAAGACAUCCAAGGAGGCUUGGGACAAGCUUCUCCAUCUCUUUGUUAGCAAAGCCCGUGCUCGCGUUCUUGGUAUCAAAGAACGCCUUAAUCUCCUACGCCGUGAGAACAAGCCUAUCUCUGAGUAUCUGCAAGAAGUCCGCGUUAUUGCAGAUGAGUUCGCCAUCAUUGAUGUCCCCCCUCUCUGAUGACGAUCUCCUUCUCUACAUUCUUAAUGGUGUUGGCUCUGACUUCAAGGAAAUUGAUGUGGUAGUUCGUUCCCGCGACACCUCAAUCUCUUUUGAAAACCUCCAUGACAAACGGGUUGAACAUGAAGCUGCUCUCAAGUGUGAUGAUACCGUUGUUGCUACCCCAGUGAUCACUGCCAAUGUCAUUCAGACAUCUCGCUCCCACACCUCAAACUGUGGCUACCGCUCUUACAAUUCCAACUCCAACCGUGGGUUAUUUGCCUCUCGCAAUCCUUCUCGUGGUUCCUUCGGGCACCCCCACACAUCUUCCAUUGACACCAAUUCUCGUAGUUCCUAUAAGCCCACCCAACAAUCUUUCACCGACAAUGGUCGCCGCUCUACCAACAUGAAUAACACAGGUUAUCGUGGUUUCUGUCAAUGGUGUGGCACUCAAGGUCAUAGUGCUAAACGAUGCCCUCAACUCCAAUAUGGACCUCACAGUCCGCUAGUGGCCAAUCCUACCACCCAUGGCUGGUUCACUUCUUCUCCAACAUGGUUGCUUGAUUCCGGUGCCUCUCACCAUUACCUCCAAUGUCAACACUCUUUCUGAUGCCUCUAUAUAUAAUGGUCCUGAUGAAAUAAUUAUUGGUAAUGGUUCAGGUUUGGGUAUCACUCAUGUCGGUUCAACCACUUUACCCUCCUCAUCCUCCCAAUCUUUCAGCUUAUCAAACGUUCUAUGUGUUCAUUCUAUGAAAAAAGACAUUAUUUCUAUCUCUAAAUUUAAUAAACAAAAUAAUACCUCUAUUGAACUUUUUCCUGAUAUCUUUCAUGUCAAAGAUCUGAGCACGGGGGCAGUUCUUCUUUGAGGCCCGAAUAAGGAUGAUGUGUACGAGUGGUCUCCCAAAUCUUUUUGUCAACCGCAAGCUAUGGUGGGUGUGGUGGUCUCUCCCAACCUCUGGCAUCGUCGUCUUGGUCACCCCAGCCACCAAACUCUCCAACAAGUCAUUCGUUUGUCUUCCAUUAAUGUGUCUUCCAAGUUGUUCGAGUCUGUUUGUCAUUCAUGUUUAUGUAAUAAAAGCCAUCGGUUCCCGUUUGGUACUUCGUCUCUCACCAGUCAUGGUCCAUUAGACCUCCUUUAUAGUGAUGUUUGGGGCCCUGCUCCGUACUCGUCUAUUGAUGGUUUUUCCUAUUAUGUUAUCUUUGUUGACCAUUUUACAAAAUACAUAUGGCUCUAGCCUCUAAAAAAGAAAUCUGAUGUGUUUUCCACUUUUGUCACCUUCAAAGCACUUGUCGAAAAUUACUUCAAAAUAAAAAUCACUAGAUUAUACACUGAUGGUGGGGGCGAAUUCAUCAAACUCCAACAUUUUCUCUCAUCCAAUGGCAUCACCCAUCUUCUUACACCACCUCACACUUCUCAACACAAUGGAGUCGUCGAACAAUGAAAUCAUCAUAUUGUUGAAACUGGUCUCACCCUUCUUCAGCAAGCUUCUUUACCUCUCACCUAUUGGUGUUAUGCCUUUAAAACAACUGCCUAUCUUAUCAACCGCAUGCCUACUCCGCUUCUUCACAAUCUCUCCCCAUUCACUCAACUCUUUGAUGAAUAACCCAAUUACUCCCGUCUUCGUACAUUUGGGUGCUUGUGUUUUCCUUGGUUACGUCCUUACAAUUCCAAUAAAUUACUCCCUCGUUCCCGCCUAUGUCUCUUCCUUGGUUACUCAUCUAAUUAAAAUGCUUUUCAAUGUCUUGAUCUUUUCUCCAACAAACUUUUUAUCUCUCGGCAUGUUCAAUUCGAUGAGUCCACUUUUCCUCUUGCCAACCUCCCUUCCUCCAUUCCCUAUGUCACUGUUGAUAACUCUCACACUUGGGUCUCCUCUCUUCCUCCAGUUACUCAUGUUCCUAUACACUUACCCACCAGGCCUGUUGAGUCGGUUGUUUCUUCUUCGUUGCCACCACAUGUCACAUCAUCAUCAUCAGAAUUUGCCCCCGUCUCAUAACCGUCACCAUCCGCUGCCCCGACCUCCAUUGCUGCUGCUACCACUUCUCUUUUACCGUCACCCAACCACCACGCAUUGGCCCCUACCUCUACCGCACCUCUAUUCAUCCCACCACAUUCUCCAGCCCAAACUGAUCAGGUCCAACCACUUCCCCACCUCAGCCUCAUUCAUACAUACACUAGAAACCCUCAUAGGACUGUUGUCACCCUUCCAUCCUCUGACCCACACCUCCCAACCCCUCCGUACCUCCUGUGCUCCCCGAUCAUUCCAUGAUCACCCGUGCCAAAGCAGGUAUCCACAAACCCAAUCUUCGAUAUGCUAUGAUUGUUACUAAACAUUUCAUUCUCUCCUCAGUUGAACCGACAUGUGUUUCCUAGGCCGUUAAGGAUCCCAUUUGGCGGCAAGCAAUGUCCAAUGAGUUCAAUGCGUUAAUUCGCAAUGGUACAUGGGAGCUCGUUCCUUCCCUCCCCUCUCAAAAUCUUAUUGGUUGUAAGUGGGUGUUUCGUAUCAAAUGGCAUCCUGAUGGCACUAUUGACAGGUACAAGGCACGCUUAGUUGCCAAGGGUUUUCACCAACGCCCUGGUGUUGAUUUUUCAGAUACUUUCAAUCCGGUGGUCAAACCUACUACCAUACGCAUUGUUGUGCAUCUUGCCGUGACUCAUAGGUGGCCAAUACGUUAGUUGGACGUUAACAAUGCUUUCCUUCAUGGCACAAUCCGUGAAAAUGUCUAUAUGGUCAAACUGCCUGGUUUUGUUGACUCUAAUCAUCCAUCUCAUGUGUGUAAAUUGAGGAAAACCCUCUAUGGCCUCAAACAGGCUCCCCGGGCAUGGUACAAGGAAUUACACUCAUUUCUGCUCUCCCAUGGCUUUGUCAAUGCCAUUUCUGAUGCCUCACUCUUUCUCUUAAAAAAUGGGACUGCUGUAAUUUAUUUUUUGGUUUAUGUUGAUGAUCUUCUUAUCACAGGCAACGAUUCCUCCCUUGUAGCAAAGUUCAUCCAACUAUUGGCAACUAGGUUCUCUGUCAAGGACCUGGGCUCAUUACAUUACUUUCUUGGUGUUAAGGUCCUUCCCACAGCCACUGGCCUAUUCCUCUCUCAGCACAAGUACAUUCAUGAUCUUUUCGUCAAUGCCAAGAUGGAUGGUGCAAAGGCUGUCAGUACGCCUCUCUCCACCACUAACUCACUCAUGCCUUACACGCCCUGACAUCUCAUUCGCAAUCAAUAAGCUCCUCAAUGUUGGGUUUUUAGCUCAAAAUUAGGAUGAUGCAAUAAAUUAGGUUUGUGUUACCUAUUUGGUUUUAGUGUCCUAUUUGGGUUUGGUUUUGACUUCUAGUUAGUUUCCUUGGUGGAGAGAUUUUGUUAAUUACCUAUUUGAUUAGGAUUAUGAUUUAUUUCCUAUUAGGAUUCCUAUUGUAACCUAAGUCCUAUGCACUAUAAAUAGGACCUUAGGGUUAAUGUAUUUUGUGUGACUCAUUCGUGUGACAAUUUGGUGAGAGUCAAUUUGUGAGUUAGAGAGCAAUUUGGGAGAAUUUUCUCCGUUAGUUUUGAGUUCUCUACUCGUUUGGUUUAGGGUUUGUAAUUUGUGGGAUUUGGGCUGUGAGAGUUUAAACACUCUUUUGUAAUCUCCAUUUGUUUAGUGAAAUUCCUUGUCGUGCUUCGCCCGUGGAGUAGGCUUUACGCCGAACCAUGUAAAUCUCGUGUUAGUUUGAGAUUGUUUGUUUUAACUUUCACCUACGACAUUGAUAUUUGGUAUUUUGUUAUAAUUUGCUUCCGUUUGAGCAUAAAAGUACAACACUCAAUUCAUGCAUUCUCUUUCCGAGACUCACUGGCAGGCAUUCAAGCGUCUUCUUCGCUACUUGAAGGGUACCAUUUCCCUGGGCUGGUGAUCGUGAUGAUCGCAAGUCUACGACUGGUUAUGUUGUCUAUCUCGGUGGAAAUCUCAUCUCUUGGUGCUCCCGUAAGCAGCGGUCUGUCUCUCGCUCCGCCACCGAAGCCGAAUAUCGGGCCAUUGCUGCCACCACUGCUGAACUCACAUGGAUUCAGUCCUUACUGCGUGAACUUGGCAUUCCUCUCCCCACAACACCGGUUGUUUCUUGUGAUAACAUUGGAGCCAUGUUCUAUUGUGCUAAUCCUGUCCUACAUUCCCGUAUGAAACAUAUCGAUAUUGAUUUUCAGUUUGUACGGGAUCGUGUCACUCAUGGUCUUCUUCAAGUGUCUCAUGUCUCCACUACUGAUCAGCUUGCUGACGCUCUCACCAAAUCCUUGCCACGUCCUCGUUUCCAUCUCCUUCAUUCCAAGAUCGGUGUCUCCGAUGGUGCCACCGUCUUGCAGGGGUGUGUUAAGGAAUCUCCUACAUCAAAGGAGAUCAGUUCGUCAACAACACAAUCUGCUCCAUCAACCGCACAAUCGGCUCCUUCGUAUGAAAGUCAACUAUGAUAUAUGCUAUGCUGUCUUUCCUAUUCUAUUUGAUUAGGAUUGAUUCAAUCAUUCAAGUAUAAUUGUAUUCAAAGUGUAUAUAAUCACAAACCUGUACCUAUAAACAAAUCAAUGAAAUAUACCAAUUCUACACUAAUAUGGAGGAUUAAAGCAUUUCAUUUCUUUUAGGUGCUUUAAUUUUGUUACCAAGGCACGAGAUCUGUUAUUUAUGUUUCAAAAACACUUUCUAAAGUCGUCAUAAUAAAAUAGAAAAUUAUGUAAUUAAAAAAGACGAAAAUAGAGAAUUUGAAUAUAUUUUUGGCCAUCGCGGAUGAUUUUUUUUGUUUUAAAUAUUUUAUCUUCUUAUGAUUUACAAAAAAUCGUAAUUAUAAAUGUUUAUCUAUUUUCCUCUAAUACUACUUCUCUUGUUCUUCUCUCUGAAGUCCUCCCUGUAAAAAGACGAAAGCAAACUUAAAUUCGGUGAAGAAAAAAUAUCUCAAAAAUAAAAAGAUGCAGAAAAUGUCAGAUCUAGAACUGGAACUGAAGAGAGAGAGAGAAAGAGAGUUGACCGUACAUGAAAACGAAGAAGGCACUCGCAGGCCUCUUCGGCUUGUUCGGAUCCUUUCCGGCUUUCUUCGCCGGCUUCUUGCUCGCUCCGGCACUCUUGCUUUUCAACCCUUCAAAAUUCAAAAUUCAAAAAAAAUCAGCAAAAGUUCAAACUUCAAACGCACAAAGCACAGCAGAAAUCAAAACCCGACAGAACAAAUCACAGUUCUCCGAUCGAACCGAUGCAAUCGGAGAGUUAUCAAAGCACAACAGAGCACAAAACUCACUUCGUAUCGCGUUUGGGAGCAGCAGCUCUGGCUUUACCCAUGGCGAACCUGCAAACACACAAAAAAGUCAAAAAUCGGUGGGAACCGGCGAGAAUCGUUUGGAAACGGUCAAAAACUGCUCGCUUAGGACCGAGUCAGAGCGGCGGAGGCGCGAGGUUACCUAGGGUUUUCGAGAACAAGACGAAGACGCAGAGAGAGAGAGAGAGUAAACUACGCCUUCGUCUUUAUGUGAAAACGCAGCGGGAUCGUAUUCGUACACAAAUAUGUUCAUAUCAGAUUGUCUUCUAUUAAACCACGAGAAUAUGAUUGUAUUUGUAUCGCUAAAAUUUAACCUUAAAUUUCAUAAAUAUCACAUUUUAUAAAAAAAUUGAAAUAUAACAGAAAACUUGCUUAAAUAGAUCUAAAUACCCUCAAAAUUAAAACCAAAUAAAAAUUAGUGGCAAAACUCUCACCCCACAACUAUAUAUACGAACAACAACAUUGAUGAACUUCCCAAUCAUUUUCAUGUUUAAAAAUUUAAAACUUUCUGCACAUGGAUUAAUAUUUUUAGCCCCAUUGUCGAGAGCAGCAUUUUCGCACACCCUCACUCCAUUAUUUAGUUUUGAUUGGUUUGUGAGAUCCGCUACAAUUUUGAACUUGCUAAUAGGGGUUAUAGAUUAAUUAGAUUUGCUGGGAAGAGAAGCACGAAUUUAAUUGGAAUGAUCCUCUUGUGAAAACUGUUAUGAUUUUAAAUCCCUAUCAUCCAACAAAUUUAAGGAAAAUUCGUAAGCACAUUCGGAUUGGAAUUUGGUUUCAAUGAGUUAGAAUCCUCAACUAAUAUCACGUCUGCUAAAAUGAUUGUACAAAUAAUAUUUUGUCGUGACGAUAUUGUAUCAAUAGUAACGAUUGAGUUUGAGUUUCACACAUAACCAACAAAUUUUCAAGUUAGUACUCAAUUAGUUGACAGUUGGACAACACCCGCAACUGCUCCACGACGUUUACCAACUGUCCUAGUGGCCUCGCACUUUGAACAACGAUGUAUAGGAGAUCUAUUCAAGUGCUUUUGCUUUUCUGUGUAAAUAAGUUUUGGAAUUUUGAGGGCAUUUAGAUCUAUUUACAUGAGUUUUUUGCUAUAUUUGAAAGUUCUUAUAAAAUGUGACAUUUAUGAAAUAAGGUGUCAAAAUUUGGUUAUUAUUGAUAAAUACUCCGUACACAAAUAUCAUUCUUGAAUACAUAAAGAGAUGCAUAUAUAGCAAAACAUUGAUUUUGCUCUGUGUGAACAGAAUCACAGUCAUGCACAAUGGGUUUACACCAACUCUCUACAAUAACAACCAUUUGGUCGAUCUACUGCCUCCUUUACAGUUUUGGAGCUUUUUAGUGAGGGCGGUCUGUUCGCUACAUAAAAGAAAGAAAUAAAUUGUGAGAAGGUGAAAGCAGAAUGUACAAAUAUAUACCAAAGUUACUAAACUGAAAAGCCGUCUAUAGAGGGAGCUGCCAGCAUAUCAAGAAAACAGAACAACAAACACAAGACGGUAGAACAAGGAGAAAUUGAAGCUUGACUUACUUUAAAAGACUCCUAUUAAGUCAGAGAUACUGUCGAUCGAUUGAAGUGGACGGUUGCCCUUGCUCCUCGUCAGUAGUGAUAGGAACACUGCGAUCAAUAUGCCUCCGCUUCGGAUGAUCAUCCAUUGGCUCUGGAGACAAGGAAAUCCAUUGCUGUUGCUGAUCGUAUUCAUCAUCGAUGACAUCUGAGGAUCCACGUGGGCAAGGCCUCUUUCCCAAGACCACUCGUUGCUCCCAAAGACAAGGGAAGCCGUUCAUCUUGGUUGUGCGAUAGGCGGUGCACCCAGCAGCUUUUAAUGCGUGCAUAUUCGGAGAAUUGAAAAAUAACUUGACAAAUAAAUAUCUCCCUCCCGCUCCUGCUCGUCUAAAUCCAUUAACCCAAGCCACACAUGAGUUGCCUCCAUGUCCCUGUCAUGCGAUUAAUAAGGUCCAGAGCGUCCUCUUCCGUUGAUGAGAACACAAGUAUCACUAGGACUUUACGGAUGCGGUGCAUCAAGAACAACAGAUAGAGCGAAUCUUAAUAACGUGUCCCCAUGUAAAUGUAGAGGAAUUUCAAAGCAAAAUUUAUUUUCUGAUCAAUAUUCAAUGUUGGUGAGAUAAUCAGAGGUAUAGAUGAACCACUUCCAAACUUCACUGCCUAGAUGAACAAUUUGCAAUUCAGGUCGCCAAAGAGAUUCUUGCAAAUUAAAUAAUGUAGAUAUAACUAAUUACUAACAGUCACAUGAUCUGAUCGCUCAACAAAAUUAAUAUGCAUUUCAAGAGAAAUUAAGAACAAGAGAGAGGAACCUGAUUCAACAAAUUAUUUUCCUACUUUGCCACCUCAUCGCCACAUAGUCUAAAGCAAUUAGUCAACCGCAGAAGCCUAAGCUUCGGGCGCAAUUUUGGAAUUUUCCCCAAUGAUGUGCAGUCAUCCAGAUAUAACUCUUUUUAGUUUUGGUGGAAGGGGUUGUGUAAUUUCCCGAAGCCUCUAGCAACCACUCAAAUGGAGUUUGUCCAAGUUGACUAGUUUGCUAAUGCAAUUCGGAAGACUAACAAAAUUGUUUCUCAACAGAUUAAGUCUUGUUAAUCUAGACCAGAAAUCAAGAGGCAUAAGGAAAUCACUUCUGAUAAAUUGCAUCCUCUAAAAUCAAGUUGUUGUAAGUUGGGAAGCGCUAAAUGGUGUAGCCACACCAAAGGCUUAGAUGGGCUGUAACCGAGGGAGAGUUUGUGGCAUAUGUAUGCAUAUUUUAGUGCAUAGUCUAAUAUAAUAGACAAAAAAAAAAAAAAAAAAACUGCAAGAAAAAUUAUUUUUUAAUGAAACUAGCCCGGCGAGUAUUUAGCACAACUAGAAAUAUAAAACUUAUCAUGAAAAUUGUGAUGCCGUUUUGUUCAAGAUUUUUCGACUUUGAUUCAGUAGGCUUUAUAUUAGUUUCAAUCAUUUUUUUUAAGAUUGCCUUUACAUCUACUUUCAUUGUUUUGAUUUGUGCUAGUUGUGUGAUUGUAAUUGAGAUGUCAAGCUUUUUAUCUUCUUCUUGUGUUUACAUUUAAAUAUAUGUAAAUUUGAUGAUUCAUUGUAAUUUUUGCAAUUUGCAAAUGCGAAGCUUGUUGAGUUCAUGCCAAGUAAAUUUUAAGUACACAAAUACAAAAGUUAAACUUAAAUUUUUGCAUACAAUAUGUAAAUACCAAAAAAAAAAAAAGAAAAAGAAAAAGAAAAUCAUUUGAUUUUAGGGUUAUUUUUUUAGCUAGCCCACCCAUAAAAAAAUUUCUGGUUCCGCCAUUGGUGCUAAUGUGAUAGAGUUGUCAUCUGAAGUAUCUAAGUCAGUUGAAAACAGUUGUGAUUUGGUACUACAAGAUGAAACUUCAUCAAACUUCACCUUAUUCUUCCAAAAUGUCAUGGCUUUUGGGCAUCCAACGAAAGUAACCACAAUGAGAUGUUGCAACCCAUAAAUAUGAAGUAAUGAUGUACCUAUAAGUGUAAGGUUCUCACAACCUUCUGCAUCCCAUCUUAGAAGUCCAAUAAGAGAUGCAAUUGAUCAAGGCAAUUCUCUUAUGCCACUUUGUUCUAUGUUCAAGUCCGUUAGAGAUUUCAUCUUGUCCUCCUCUAUUUGCGGGAAACUCUCGAGCAUUGUGCAACCAUCGAGACAAAGCCAUUCAAGGGAUCUCGAUCUAGGUCUUGUUUCAAACCUCGUAAGCUUAGAGCACCCACUAAGAUUCAACUCAACAAGUUUAUCAAGGAAUCCAACAGAAUCACCAAACUUAUACACACUUAGAUCCAAGUGCUUUAGGUACCCUAAAUCCAUUCAAUUGUUUGAUGCUAUUGUAUGGCAAAACAAACAUGACAAGAUGCCUUGGAUGAUAAUUGGAUUGCAAAUUGAACGUAACCAGAUGCUUUUCAGGAAUAUAGGAUCUCAAAUAUUGAAAGUCACGUCCACCAAGUUCAAUCCACCUCAAAUCGUUGGGCAGAUAAUCAAGGUGUCCAUAAAAGUGUCCAUUGCAGUUUAUAAAAUUUCAAGAUUUACUAUCCGCAAGAAGCUUUUUGCAUUCAAGGGUAUUAGAUCAUCUAGUUUGGGCAACUUCACCACAAUGCCUUUAAUUUUCUUUGUUCCCUAAGAUGGAAAAAGACAUAAUGUCAACAAACAAGUCGUAUAACAAACAAUUCACAAAGGCUGUUUCAAAAUCCUUAUAUAUAUCUUCAUGAAACCACAACUUGCUACUUUUCCCUGGUUCAGUGGGAGAUUUUUCGUAAACUAUACGCUUACCCAUUUUUUCUAGCAAGUCAUGCAUCAAAAUCUUAUUAUAUUCAAUAGUUAUGAUGACAUUUUCAACGAGUACUUCAAUAAGCUGCAUUGAGCUUCGAACUUCUUAAUAGUUGUAACACAAUCUUUAUCUUCCCCCUUGAAGAACAUGCAAUGUCUAGGAUAAAUUGUUGCAGGAUAUAAUCCCCGACAUCAAAACUUUCACAAAGUAUUAUUUGAAUACCUCUAUAAGGUUCUCCAUUGUAAGAAUCUUAACUAUCCAAUGUAGCUUGCCAACAAUCUAUACUUUUAUUACACCAGAUGAUAACUUAUAAGAUUAAGAGCUAACGGAAGGCCUUGAGCACCUGCUAUUGCACAUCGUGCGAGUCUCAAAUAAUCAUCCGAAGGUUCUUUUCUUCCGAAAGCAUUUAAACUAAAAAGCUGAAGAGUUUAGAAAGCCCUUUUACGCCUCGUAUAUCAACUCAACUCCAUAUGAUUCAAGCAAUCAUCCAUCUUUUGUGGUUAUGAUCACUCUGCUACCCUCACCGAACCAAUCGACUUCAACCAAGUUUUUUAACUGUUCCAAUCGAUCCACAUCAUCCAGAAGUAAGAGAAUCUUGUUUCACCACAAUAGUUUCUUUAUAAGGCUGGUUCCUUCAUGAACAUUGACAAUUUCAACUCUGUACCGCAUAGAACUUUCAUUGCAACUUGGUUUCAGCUUCAGUGCUUUUGCCCACACCCUGCCCCGGAAAUCAGAUGCAGCAGCAUCAACCAAAAGCACUUUUGAGAAAAGCAUGGACCAAGUAGAAAUAUGAAAUCAAAAGUUAAGAGUGACUGGAAGUUGAUUACCGGAGGUCCAGUCACCAGCAAGCACUUUCCGGGACUGGUCAUCUCUGGCUUCUCCUCCUUCUCCUUCCACUGCCGUUCGUUUGUACCUCCGCUCGAUCAGCCUACACGACUAACAAAAACGACAAGUCGUUGUGGAAGAGAGGGUAGGUGGUUGAUUUCUUCACUGCUUUGGGCUGGGUAUGUUGAAGAAUAACCCGACCAGCCCAAAUCAGCCCAAAAAACUUGACCUCCUGCGCGGUAAUUUUAUUUUUUAACGCCAUAAUAAUCGUAAUAAUUUAAUAUUAAAAAACACCGUCAACAAUCUGGAUGAUAAAAUCAUUUCGUUUUUUUAUGGUUCGUUUGGAUGUGUUUUUAAAAUGAUUGAAAACGCUUUUAGAGAAAAUGUUUUUGGGUUUCAAAAACACUUGAAGUGCUUUCUACAAGAAGCACCAGUUAUGUGCUUCUUCUAGGAAGCACUUUAAGUGUUUUUUUUCAGAAUUUACUUGCAUCUUUACUAAAGAUUGGUUCUAAAAACAUUUUCACAAAAAAAGUUUUCAGUCAUUUUAAAAACACAUCCAAACAAGUUCUUAGGUGCUUCAAUUUUGUUACCAAGGCACGAGAUCUGUUAUUUACGUUUCAAAAUCACUUUUUGAAGUCAUUCAUAUGUUAUUUUUGAAUCUUCUAUGCAAUUAACCUUAAAAAAAUCACUUGGCUAAAAUAUCUCACAUCUAAAUUUCAAGCGCAAGUGUUUAGUCGAACCCCAUUUGUAAUGUUUGUGUGACUCGUGUUCCUAAGCACUUUCAAUAAAAGCACAUUUCAUUAAAUAACUUCUUGAAGCACCCAUCACUUUAAAUUUUUUCCCUCGAACGUUUGCAAGAUACUUUGAGGUGUUCGAAAAUGGUUGAAGAAGUUGAGCCAACAAACGGAAAAAUAUCCCUUGGAUAUCAUGGAAGCCCCAAGCCUAUGUAAUAAUAUUAACCCUUAGAAGAUAGUUUAGAAUCACCUGAACUAUAAGUCGGGACGAAAGAUUGGUGAAUCAGGCAACCCCUAUACCUUGAAUCGGACCUUGCUUUGUUCUCGUGCAUCACUGAAUUAAGUGUUAUCCAAAUUCGUUUUAGCUCGUUGAAAAGCAUUUUUAACCAUUCCGAUAUGAAUUUAUACGCAUGCUCAUUCUUCACAAAGGUAGUGUCAACUAUUUCACUGCAAGCUUUUAUCUGAAACUUUAUCAAUUUCCAAUUCCACAACUCAGUAACUCGAGUAAAAACAGCAUUGUACGUCCGCACAAUGCCAAGUUACAAACUCAUGGUAUUAAUCAUGGGUAUACCGGGAUACUGGCAUUCUGUGCCAAUGUAAGUUGCUCUCUCAUUCUAUGGGACGGGCGUAUUGAAAUCGUAAAAUCCCGUGCCAAUGUAAAUCUCUCUCCAGAAGAGCAUGAUAGUGAGCGAAAUACCAUAACAUUAACAUCCCAGAUUGUUGCCAAAGACUUGUCUCAAACAGUAAUCACUAAUCAGACCCCAUUGGGAGAAUCUCCCAACAGAAUUGUUCCAACGUCCAGAGGUAAAGUCAAUCACCAUCCCCCGGGUAAAGUCAAACACUACCACCAAGGUAAAAUCAAACAGCAAUAUCCUCGCAUCACAUACAACGAGACUAAACAACGAUAACAUUACAAAACAAAAGCUAUUACCAAUCCAUCAAGAACACUAAUCAAUGCUUAAAUGCUACUUAAAAGAAAACCACACACUAAAUUGCAUAAUAAGAAACUAAGGAAAGCGUUAUGUUACAAAGAAAACUGAAAUUUAUAUAACAUAAGGAGGGUAAUUAAGUACAGAAACGACGAUAUGGGAAUCACGGGGAGCAGACAAUCCUCAAACUUAAUCACGGAGAGCAUUCAAAUAUGUGCCAUCAAGAACUUGGGCUAAGAUCUCCUUAACAAUGUUGCUGAUUAUUGUAGCUUCAUAGCUAGCAGUUCAAAACAAAAAACACAUUAAAUCAGUGAACCUGUUCUUUGCUAUAGAGAUGUAAAAACAAAUAGAGAAAAAUAUUACACGAUAUUAACAAAAUGUGUACUUGAAAUUUUUUUCUCUUUUUCUAUCCAAAAUGCACUAGUAAUUACUAAAAUCCACUAUGUGUCGCUUGCUAAAGAUCUAAAGAGUAAGAAUGAAACACAAAACUAAAUUGAUGACAUUAUUGUAGGAAAUUAACUAUACACGGUAAGGGGAAGAAAUGUACGUACUCUUCCUCCUUGACAUGAUGUCCUGACAAAUUUGCUACUUCUGUAAGAGCUCUCUUCCACACGGGCACCUUCUCGUUGUUGUUGCCGGAUUUGCUCACAAGUUCUGUAAACGCGUUACCGAAACUACUCUCUUGCUUUCGUACAUGGGACGGUUCCACCUUGUAAAAAACUGGCAAAACGAUUUGUUGCUUUGAUUCUCUACAUUGAAGAAUCUUGACAAGCUCGUCCAAGCACCAGCUUGAAGAUGCAUAGGUUCUAGAGAAUAUGACAAGAGAAAUUCUUGACUCUUCAAUUACUUGGAGGAGCGUUGGUGAUAUUUCUUCUCCUCUUCUAAGUUCGCGAUCAAUGAAGGUGUUGAUUCCCUUAUCAACCAAAGCUUUGUAUAAAUGAUCCGUAAAAUUGGUGCGUGUAUCCUCUCCUCUAAAACUCAAAAACACAUCAUAUCUCCAUGAAGGAGGCAAGGAAGAAGAAGCGACAAGUUGAUUGGCCAUGGGAAAAUUAAAGCCAGGUAAACUAAAGAAAACAGCCUCUCAAAGAACUGGAAUGUGUAGUAUGGUAUGACAAUGGACUCUCUUGUUAUAUAAGUCCUCAAGCUUUUCUUCUUACCUACUACCUUCCAAUGUGAAUGUGGUCAAGUUGAGAGGAACUUUCCCGACGACUUCAUAUUCACUUAUUGAGUAUUUUAAUUGCUGGCCUACGGCAUGCGAUACAACAACAUAUAUGUUUCACAACGAAAGCGCCGUUGCUUCUCUGUCUUAUAUUACAGUUAGUCUUCCCUUCACAUAGGUCCCACUAAAAAAAAAAAAAAAAAAAAAAAAAACCUCGCAUGCGCGUCCGUAAACAUAUAAUAUAAAAAUUAAGAAUGAAGUUUCCCAAAGCCUAGUUGUUUGCGAUCUAAAAAUUAGGGCUUUUACUAUAAUACUUCGAAGUAUGAGAUGAACCAGUAUUUGAGAGGUUAGAUUGAAACUGUCAAGAUCUAGCCAUACGAAUCUAACAAUUCAUCUAACAAUUCAAAUGUUUCAUGCAUCUUAUACACAAGUGUAUUGUAGAUUUUUUGUUUUUAGACAAAUGAUUGUGUUAUUGGGUGAAUUUUUUUUAUUUUUACUAAAUUAGAAUUGUGUGCUCACCCUUUGGUCUUGUAUAUUUACUUAUACUAAUCAUGAUGAGUUUAGGGUAUUUUAACAAAAAACUCCCAGUAUUGUUCACUUUAACGAAAAACCACAUUUUUACACUAAAAAGUCAAUCUUGGUACUAUUCACUUUACCUUUUAUUUUGUCAUUCUCGUUAAAACUCAAAGUUUUCAAGUCAUUUUCAUUAGUUUUCCUUUAAUAUACAAACCUAUAAGGAUUUGAUCGUCAUAUCAUAUCGGAUUCUACUUUAAGUUCACAAUCACAUUCCUAAUUAAUAAUUUUGUUUACAACACUCGCCCUUGAGCAUGUACAACUUAAGAAGCAGUUGCAUCGGAUUUUUCUUGAUUAGGGAAUGGAGUUGUGUCGUCAGUUCUCGGUAGAUAUAAUAAUUGUUAACACGAGUCUCAUAGUUAGUUUCUCUCGUACCGUCGAUGUUCUCAAAAAAAAAAAAAAAAAAAAAAAAAGGCUGAUAGUAAGGGGUGCCUAUCAAAAAGAAAAUCUCACAAAAACCUUGCUACGGCAAUCCAAUGGACUUAAGGAGAAAAAAGUGAGUUAAUGCAGGAUGUCGAUGAUUCCCAUUUUCAGGAGGAUCAAUAAAGCUCACAAAGGUAUGACUAACCCAAGCGUCUCAUCAAAACAUCAUCAGGUUACAAAAAACCCAAUGAAAAAAAGUGCUCCUAAUCAUAGAGAAAAUGGUACAUUAAAGUCAUGAGAAUAUACUUCAAAAUACUUUCCUUGAGUUCGAAAAACUCCCUUGAUUUGCCAUAGGAGAAUUAAAGCCAGAUAAGCUAAAGGAAAUAAUCACUCACUGAAUUGGAAUAUGCAGUAUUGUAUGGACAAUGGCUCUAUAUUGUUAUAUCAAUCCUCAUGCUUUUCUUCCUACCUACUAUGUAAUGUAGUCAAGUUAAAGAAGAUGAACUUUAGUGGCAACUUAAUUUCAAAAAUGAUUUCUACUAAGCAUUUUCCUACUCAUCACCUUUCAUUGUGGCAACUUCAUUUCAAAAUUGAAUUUGCAGAAUGUGGUUUAAGAAGAUGAUAUCUCUCGCAUUACAUUUCAAGUAUUUUCCUUAUUCAUAAAAUAGUAUCCUUUCGGUCAAUUUCCACUCGUUGACUUUUUUAAUUGUUGGCUUAUGGCAUCCGAUGGAUCAGCAUGGAUGUGGACUCACCAACUGAAUUGUUCUUUUAAUCAGAUAAUUACACAUCAUUGCUUCUGUCUUAUAUUAUAGCUUCUAAUAAUAAUAAUAAACCAUUGACCCAAAAAAUAAAAAAAACAACUCACAUACGCAUCCCUAAGUUAAUAAAAAUGAAGUUUCCCAUAAAACUGUUGUAUGAGAUAUAUUUAGAGAUAGCAAUUUAAUCCAUUAAACCCGAUAAAUGAUUAAUCCUUUAUUAACGUCUUAUUGUUCUUCUGGUUCCAUUUCUAUAAAAAGUUUGUAAAAUAAGAACAUUAUGCCGAAAUUCAUAAAGAAAAAAUGCACUAUUUAUUUUUACUUCAUAGUUUAUAUGUUGAAUUAACUCAUUAGAAAUACAAAAAUAAAGAUUUAUGCACCCAUCAAACUGUGAAUGACUACUCCCAAUAAUAACUUAAUAACUUAGUAUUUUCCUCAGUUCAUAAAAUUUAGUAUUCUUUCAGCCAAUAAUAACUUAACCUUAAUUUCCACUUGGCUUUUUUUAAUUGCUGGCUUACGGCUCCGAUGCAACAACAUAAAAUAUAUUAACCAUAUGAAAGAGUCGUUGCUUCUCCGUCGUAUAUUGCAGUCUGCCGUUCACAUGCGUCUCCGUAAACAAAAUAUAUAAUUAAAAAUGAAGGAUGAAGUUAAAUUGAAACUGUCAAGAUACAGCAAUACAAAUCUAACAAUUCAAAUGUUUCACGCUAAUUUUUUUUUAACAAAUGAUAGUGUUAGUGGGUAAAUUUUUUUCACUAAGUUAGAAUUGUGUCCUUAUCCUUUGUCCUUCUUUACCUACAAUAAUCAUGAUGAGUUUUCUUGCCUUGCAAUACUAACCUAUGAGAAUUUGAUCGUCAAAUCAUAAUUGGAUUCUACUUUAAGUUUACACAAUCAUAUUUCUAAUUAAUAAUUAUGUUCACAACACUCGCUCUUUAGUGUAUACAACUUAAGAAGUAACAAUAUUAGGUCUUUCAUGAUUAUGGAAUGGUAGUUGUUGUCGUCGGUUCUCGGCAAAUAUAACAAUUGCUAACACAAGUCUCAGAGUAGGGGCACAUAUAAAAAUGAAUAUCUUACAAAAACCUUGCUAUGAUAAUCCAGUAGACUUAAAGGUCGUACCUAGUGCAUAAGGCUCCCGCUUUACACAGGGUCUGGGAGAAGUGAAUGUCGGCUAGCCUUACCCCAAUUUAUGGAGAGGCUGCUCCCAAGUCUCGAACCCGAGACCUACCGCUCAUGGACGAAGGCAAUUGCCAUCGCACCAAGUGCGACCUCUAUAAUCCAGUAGACUUAAGGAGAAAAAAGUGAGUUAAUGCAGAAUGUUGGUGUUUCACAUAUUCAGGAGGAUCUUUGAAGCUCACAAAGGUAUGACUAGUACAGGUGUCUCAUCAAAACCUCAUUAGGUUACCAAAAAUCUAAUGGAAAAGUGCACCUAAUCGUAGAAAAAAGAGUACAUUAAGAUCAUGAGAGUGUACUUCAAGAUAUUCUCCCUGAGUUCGAAAAAAUCCCUUGAUUGGCCAUAGGAGAAUUAAAGCCAAAUAAGCAAAAGAAAAGAGUCACUCAAAGAAUUGGAAUAUGCAGUACGGUAUGGACAAUGGCUCUCUAUUGUUAUAUCAUCCCUCAUGCUUUUCUUCCUACCUACUAUGUGUCUUUCAACGUGAAUGUGAUCAAAUUGAAGGAUUGAAAUUUUCGUGACAACUUCAUUUUAAAUGUAAUUUAUAACAAGCAUUUUCCUACCUAGCUAUUACCUUUUAAUGUGGCAAUUUCAUUUCAAAGUAAAUUUACAGAAUGUGGUUCAAGAAUUGUCUCUGUAGCAUUUCAUUUCAAUUAUUUUCGUUAUUCAUAAAAUGGUUCAUUUCAAUUAUUUUUUAGUCAAUGGUUUAUUAUUAUUAUUACUAACUAUAAUAUAAGACAGAAGCAAUGAUGUGCUGUUAUCUGAUUAAAAAGACAAUUAAGUUGGUGAGUCCACAUCCAUGCUGAUCCAUCGGAUGCGGUAAGCCAACAAUUAAAAAACUCAACUAGUGGAAAUAAGGUUAAGCUAUUAUUGGUUGAAAGGAUACUAUUUUAUGAAGGUUUUUUAGUUAAAAUGGUAUCUGAGAUUUGCAUAACACAUCACUUUAGUCUCUGAGAUUUGAAAUCAAUAUAAGUUAUAUCUGAGAUUGUCCACCAUCAAUUAUUUUGGUCAUUCCGUGCAAAAUUAUGUUAAAUAAGGAUCAAAAUGACAAAAUCAUUUUGGUCAUUGUAUUCUUAUUUAAGUGAGAUUUUUCAAGAAAUGAUCAAAAUAAUUGAUGGUGGACAAACUCAAAGAUCAAUUCUAUUAAUUUCAAAUUUCAAGUACCAAAGUGAGGAGUUAUGCAAAUUUCAUAGACUAUCUUGACUAAAAAGUCUUCAUAAAAUAGUAUCCUUUAAGACCAUCUCCAAUGGUUGGGCUAAAAGCCAAAUAUUUUAGCCUGAAAAAUUUAGCUUUUAGCAUAGAAACAGUUUUUCUGCUCCAACCGUUCUAGCCUAAAAUUUUAGCCCGGAAUUAUUAAAGAAUGAACUUAGGCUAUUUUUUUUGUUAAAUUAAAUUUAAAAAAUAAAUAAAUAUGUAGACUAUCGUAAAUUAAUUUUAUAAACAUUUUAAUCUAAAAAAAUUUAAAUUCCGAUAAAUAUUGAAAAUUUUAAAUUCCGAUUUCUAGGCUAAAUUUCGGUGGGAAUCUGGUAUUGAUUUAGCAUUUAGCAUUUAGCCCAAAUUUCCCCUUGGGUUGGAAUGGGUUUAGGGGGAAAUUUUGGUGGGUAAUUUGGCUUUUAGCCCACCAUUGAAGUUGAUCUCAGCCAAUAAUAGCUUAACCUUAUUUCCACUCGUUGAGUUUUUUAAUUGUUGGCUUACCGCAUCCGAUGGAUCAGCAUGGAUGUGGACUCACCAACUUAAUAGUCUUUUUAAUCAGAUAACAGCACAUCAUUGCUUUUGUCUUAUAUUAUAGUUAGUAAUAAUAAUAAUUAACCAUUGACUUAAAAAAAAAAAAAAAAAAAAAAAAAAAAAAAACUCGCAUGCUCCUUAGUAAUAAAAAAGAAGUUUCCAAAAAACUGAUGUAUGAGUUACAUUGAGAGAUGACAAUUCAAUCCGUUAAAUCCAAUAAUUAUGAUUGACCCUUUACUAACAACUUACUGUUCUUCGGGUUCCUUUUUUACGGAAAGUUUGUAAAAUAAGAACAUUAUGCAGAAAUUCAUAAAAAAGAAAUUCACUAUUUAUUUUCCGUUGUACAGUUUAUAUACAAAAAUAAAGAUUUAUGCACAUAUCAAACAGUGAAUGACUACUCCCAGUCCCAGUUCCCAUAAGAAGGAUCUAGGUAUUUUCCUUGGUUCAUAAAAUUUGGUAUUCUUUCAGCCAAUAAUAACUUUACCUUAAUUUCCACUUGUUGACUUUUUUUAAUCGCUGGCUUACGGCUAAUUUCCACUUGUUUAACUUUUUUUAAUUGCUGGCUUACGGCUCCGAUGCAAAGACAUAAAUAUAUACACGUAUGAAAGCGUCGUUGCUUCUGUCUGAUAUUACAGAGUCGUCCGUUCACAUGCGCGUCCGCAAACAAAAUAUAUAAAAAUGAAGGAUGAAGUUUCCCAAAACCUAGUUGUCUGAGAUCUAAAAAUUAGGGUUUUUAUUACAUGAAAGGUUAGACUGAAACUGUCAACAUACAGCCGUACAAAUCCAACAAUUUAAAUGUUUCAUUGUUAGAUCCCACAUCGUUCAGGAGAGUGGAUCCUUUAUACCUUAUAUGUGCAUGCUCACCUCCUUUAGCACGAGGCCUUUUGGGAACUCAUUGGCUUCGGAUUCCAUCGAAACUUCGAAGUUAAGCGAGUUCGGGUGAAAGCAUUCCCAGGAUGGGUGACCCAUUGAGAAGUUCUCGUGUGUUUUCCCAGAAACAAAACCGUAAGGGCGUGGCCGGGGCCCAAAUCGGACAAUAUCGUGCUACGGCGGAACGUGACAUUCAUGCAUCUCAUACAUAAGUGUAUUGUAGAAUUUUUGCUAAUUUUUUUUUUUUGGACAAACGAUAGUGUUAGUGGGUUUUGUUUUUUCUCCACUAAAUUAGAAUCGUGUCGUCACCCUUUGGCCCUGUAUCUUUACGUAUACUAAUCUCGAUGAGUUUUUUUGCCUUGCAAGUAAUACAAACCUAUGAGGAGAUUUUAUUGUGAUGUGGUUAAUAUUCAAAUAAGUCUAUAUAUAUAUAUGUAUAUAUAUAUAUGUAUAUGUAUAUAUAUAUGUGUAUAUGUAUAUGUAUAUAUAUAUGUAUAUGUAUGUAUUUAGUGUUUCUUGACUUGGGUUUUAGUUUGUAAACAAGUUUAUUGAGUUGGAAGAAUUGUCAUGGCCCGAUCCCAACAUACGUCGCAAAUCGACACGUGACAAAGGAAAAAUAACAUUCGUUGAAUAUGACAUACCAUAGUGAAUGAAAUACUUUAAAUGCAACCCAAACUAAAAAGAAGGUGGCUAAGUUCUUCACAAGAUAUUUACAAAUAUCCACAUCCCAAAAAGAAGCAUAAUCUUUGCUUUACUAAGAACAAGUUUAAAGUGCUCAAAAGAAAGUCCCAAAAGAUAAAAUACAAGAGUGAAUCAAGGGUAACCUAAUGCUUCACGUCUCUGAUAACCGCACUGCUACCCCCACCUAUGGACUUCUCGGAGUCUACUCAAACCUGUCACCUGUAUGAUCAGUGCCUACACCAUCGAAAUGGUGCAUCGAGCAAACAUCAACCCGGAUAAGCUGCGAAGCUCAUGUGAGUGACAAUAAUACAAAGUAUGUGACACAAUAAUAAAACCAACCAUCAAUCACAAUUUAUAAACCUUGAAUAUAAAUCAUGCAUGAGAAAUCAAUACCAAACCUUUGAAAACUCCGAAUGAGUUACCUAGACAUUCAAUGAUUCAUCUAAAACAAUCACAACAUCUCACAGCCAUAUUCUCAUACAACAUAAUGAAAAGUAAGGUUAAAGCGACAUAGUUCGGCCGAAGCCUACACCUUUGAAGCUAUCUCAAUCCAAACUCAAUGAAACACAAGGUGGAUACGAUCCCGGAUCAUCACUCAACGGAAUCGCAGAGUAGGAAGGAUUUCGGACCAUCUCUCAACGGAAUCAGAGUGAAUACGAUUACGGACCAUCACUCAACGGAAUCGCAGAGUAUGAGGGAUUCCAGACCAUCUCUCAACGGAAUCCUAGUGGAUACGAUUCCGGACCAUAACUCAAUGGAAUCGUGGAAGGCCAACAACCAUAAUGUAUAACGGCUCAAAGAAAUGAAACAAGCACAAGUUACUCAAUUUACAAAAGCUCAACCAAGGGAAAUAAGGCACAAAUACUAAAUUUAGACGGAUCAACGAAACAGAAAAUGAAACAAUAUCGAAGCAACAAAUCCCCAUCACAAUGGUUAACAACCCAUCACUAGCCUUCAUAUUUCAUCACAUCAUGCCAAUCAAACAAAUCAAACCAUAUUUCAAUACACAUACGUCAAAUAUCAUUUCAUAACUUGAAUAAAUGGCUAAACAUUAAAAAUAACAAUUCAAUAGAAACAUAUAUAUAUAUAUAUAUAUAUAUAUAUAUAUAUAUAUAUAUAUAACCAAGUCAUAUCCACACUAUAUAACCAAGUGAUAUCCACACAUGAUAACAAUUACGAAAACAAGGUAACCACCAAUAUCACAUAUGUUAAAGUCACUCACCUGGAAUCCGCGCUAAUGCACCCUAGCACGAGAGUCAAGACAUCACGUUCUAUCACCGCGUAAACAAGGUACAAGUCCAUAUUUAGAUUUCAUUCGAUAAUUCACAUACUUAAAAACUCUCAUAUGUCUCCCACAACAACAUUUAAUGAGGAAUCGAACCGUCAUUCUAAGGUAGGGUCCAUGAUCUUACGUCACUUAUUUCGUAAGAUCCAAUCACUAGAUUUUCACUUGUAAGUCCCUAAGGUUCUUAAACAAUAUCUACCAUAGCAUACUAAAAUUGGUGUCAAUACAAUGGUAAGAUCGUCAAUUGUUAGAAUAAUCAAGUGGUGGACCUUAUCGCUAAUAUACUCAACCAACAACAAACAACAACAACAACAACAACAACAAAGCCUUUUCCCACUAAGUGGGGUCGGCUAUAUGAAUCCUAAAACGCCAUUGCGCUCGGUUUUGUGUCAUGUCCUCCGUUAGAUCCAAGUACUCUAAGUCUUUUCUUAGAGUCUCUUCCAAAGUUUUCCUAGGUCUUCCUCUACCCCUUCGGCCCUGAACCUCUGUCCCGUAGUCACAUCUUCGAAUCGGAGCGUCAGUAGGCCUUCUUUGCACAUGUCCAAAUCACCGGAACCGAUUUUCUCUCAUCUUUCCUUCAAUUUCGGCUACUCCUACUUGACCUCGGAUAUCCUCAUUCCCAAUCUUAUCCUUUCUCGUGUGCCCACACAUCCCACGAAGCAUCCUCAUCCCCGCUACACCCAUUUUGUGUACGUGUUGAUGCUUCACCGCCCAACAUUCUGUGCCAUACAACAUCGCUGGCCUUAUUGCCGUCCUAUAAAAUUUUCCCUUAAGCUUCAGUGGCCUACGACGGUCACACAACACUCCGGAUGCACUCUUACACUUCAUCCAUCCAGCUUGUAUUCUAUGGUUGAGAUCUCCAUCUAAUUCUCCGUUCUCUUGCAAGAUAGAUCCUAGGUAGCGAAAAUGGUUGGUUUUUUUGAUCUUCGCUAGAUUGCUCCGGUCAUUAGUGUGGAUAAGUAUAUAAAUGGAUAGAGAUAGGAAAGCCAACACAAGAUGUACGUGAUUCACCCAGAUUGGCUACGUUCACGGAAUAGAGGAGUUCUCAUUAAUUGUGAAGGGUUUACACAAGUACAUAGGUUCAAGCUCUCCUUUAGUGAGUACAAGUGAAUGAUCUAGUACAAAUGACAUUAGGAAAUAUUGUGGGAGAAUGAUCUCGUAAUCACGAAACUUCUAAGUAUCGGAGUGUGGUAUCGUCUUGACUUGCCUUAUCUGUCUCAUAGGUAGAUGUGACAUCUUCUCUGGAAGUACUCUUCCUCCAUCCAGGGGUGGUAUCUUUAACUGGUGGAGAUGCACAAGGUAAUGUAUCAAUUUCACUUGAAGCUUACUUGUAGUUUCAGGCUUGGUCAAGCGCGAUACAAACCAUGUAGUAGGAGUCCCCAAGUCGCCGAGCUAGGGGAUCUGCUGAAAGAGGUGAUAGACAAGGUAAGCAAUCAGAGCUCCGGCUGAUUGUUCACAUUCUCCUUAUCUUGCAGGCAGCAUGAAGGAUAAAGAGAAGAAAAAUGAGAAGAGAUGAUAUGGGAUACUUUUGCUUUUGAAGAAGUAACUUUCCACAGGCUUAUUCUUGAACUGAGCUGGAGGGUUUUCUGGUUUCCUCCAGAGUAUAAGGCCGACUGAAGAAUUUGAGGGUCAAAACAAGUCCAUCAAAUCUAGAGUAUGUUCGACCCUGCUGAUAUGAGAUACUUUUGCUUUUGACAGAGUAAUGGAUGUAUCGGCACGUGUGCUGUUACGUUUGUCUCCACAUGCUUCCUUGUAUCAUUCUCACUUGCCCUAUUUGUUCCUCAGGCAGAUGCGGUAUCUUCCCUGGGAGCAUAAGAUGUUGAAGAUGAGUACUCGAGAGCAAUACCAGGUAAGUAAUCAGGUAAGGGGUUCCAGGCAGUCAGUUCCUGGCUAGAAGCUUGAUUCCAAGUGCUGACUGAUUGCUCUCUUUCUCCUUGUCUUGCAGGUAAGAACAAGGCCAAAGGAAAAGACAGGGAAAAAGCAUGAUAUGGGAUACUCUUGCUUUUAACCCUGAUGAUAUGGGAUAUUCUUGCUCUAGUAUAGCUUGUUUGCAGAGGUAUUAUCAGGGGGGAAGAAAGCUGAGUAUUUCGAAAGGCUUCGUUGGGAGUGCCCUCUCAGAUAUGAGGAAGGGUUGAGCAUUUUUGCAGGUCUGCCUGUCCGUUGGGGAUGGAGGUCGACAUAUAUAGGAGUUUCCCUAACAGCAAGUAGUAAUGAUAUUCCUUUACCCUGCUUGGUCAUAGCACGGUAGUAGGAGCUGCCAGCUUCACAUGUUUUAACUCUGUCAGAGCACUUUGAAAAAGUGGUCUGUGGUAUCUGGAAAGCUGAUGUUGUGUGUGAGGAUUACAGACAAGCUUUAUCCAAGGAGAUCCGGCUCUUGAAGUUGGGAAAGUGGUGCCUCUUCGGUUUUCGAACAAGCAAUCCUAUCGAGGAUCUGGCUCUCGAGAUUCGGAGAAUGAUGCCUCUUCGAUUUUUGAGAAAGCAAUCAUGCUGGGGGUCUGGCUCUCGAGAUUCGGAGAGCGGUGUCUCUUCGAUUUUUGAGAAAGUAAUCAUGUUGGGAGUCUGGCUCUCGAGAUUCGGAGGGCGGUGCCUCUUCGAUUUUGGAGCAAGCAAUCUUGUUGGGAGUGUUUUCUCGAAUGUGAGUAAAGGUUGGGCAUGUUUGCUAGUCUACCUUGCCACAAAGCACAGAGGUUGACACACAGGGACUUUCCAAUUAUCCAGCAAUGGUACUGUUCCUUUACCCUCUUCGAUUUUUUAGAAAGUAGUCAUGUUGGGAGUCUGGCCCUCGAGAUUCGGAGGACGGUGGAUUUUGGAGCAAGCGAUCUUGUUGGGAGUGUUUUCUCGAAUGUGAGUAAAGGUUGGGCAUGUUUGCUAGUCUACCUUGCCACGAAGCACAGAGGUUGACACACAGGGACUUUCCAAUUAUCCAGCCGUGGUACUGUUCCUUUACCCUUGUGGGUAAUAAUAUGGUAGCUAGACCUUCAAAGUUUAUGUGUCUAAACUUUUAGUGCUGUUUCUUUGCUAUUCUUUUACCCUUCUUGGUCAGAGCGAUGUAGUGGGAGUUGCAAGCUUCACGUGCUCAACUUUGGCAGAGAACUUUGGCAAAGUUAUCUGUGGUACCCAUGAGCUAUUGUUGCGUGUGGGAAGUGGGUGAUUGAACAGUAAGAUUCAUGUGCUUUCUACUUCACCAGAAGUCUUCGACAGAAUGCCCAUAAUUUCCGCAAAGCUGAGUGUGCGUGUGGCAGGUGCUGACAAGGCUGGAAAAGUAGGUGCCUCUUCGAUUUCUGAGAUCGGCCCUCGUGGUCUCUGAGCAGCCCAACUUUUGAGAAAGCGAGCGCCUCUUCGAUUUCUGAGAUUGGCCUUCGUGGUCUUCGAGCAGCCCAGCUUUUGAGAAAGCAAACGCCUCUUCGAUUUCUGAGAUCAACCCUCGUGGUCUCUGAGCAGCCCAGCUUUUGAGAAAGCAAACCCCUCUUCGAUUUCUGAAGCUCCGUCGAGAUUCGGAGAGCGAUGUCUCUUCGAUUUUUGAGAAAGUAAUCAUGUUGGGAGUUUGGCUCUCGAGAUUCGGAGGGCGGUGCCUCUUCGAUUUUGGAGCAAGCAAUCUUGUUGGGAGUGUUUUCUCGAAUGUGAGUAAAGGUUGGGCAUGUUUGCUAGUCUACCUUGCCACAAAGCACAGAGGUUGACACACAGGGACUUUCCAAUUAUCCAGCAAUGGUACUGUUCCUUUACCCUCUCUUCGAUUUUUGAGAAAGUAGUCAUGUUGGGAGUCUGGCUCUCGAGAUUCAGAGGACGGUGCCUCUUCGAUUUUGGAGCAAGCAAUCUUGUUAGGAGUUUUCUCGAAUGUGAGUAAAGGUUGGGCAUGUUUGCUAGUCUACCUUGCUACGAAGCACAGAGGUUGACACACAGGGACUUUCCAAUUAUCCAGCAGUGGUACUGUUCCUUUACCCUUGUGGGUAAUAAUAUGGUAGCUAGACCUUCAAAAUUUAUGUGUCUAAACUUUGUUAGUACUGUUUCUUUGCUAUUCUUUUACCCUUCUUGGUUAGAGCGAUGUAGUAGGAGCUGCAAGCUUCACGUGCUCAACUUUGGCAGAGAACUUUGGCAAAGUUAUCUGUGGUACCCAUGAGCUAUUGUUGCGUGUGGGAAGUGGGUGAUUGAACAGUAAGAUUCAUGUGCUUUCUACUUCACCAGAAGUCUUCGACAGAAUGCCCAUAAUUUCCGCAAAGCUGAGUGUGCGUGUGACAGGUGCUGACAAGGCUGGAAAAGUAGGUGCCUCUUCGAUUUCUGAGAUCGGCCCUCGUGGUCUUUGAGCAGCCCAACUUUUGAGAAAGCGAGCGCCUCUUCGAUUUCUGAGAUUGGCCUUCGUGGUCUUUGAGCAGCCCAGCUUUUGAGAAAGCAAACGCCUCUUCGAUUUCUGAAAUCAACCCUCGUGGUCUUUGAGCAGCCCAGCUUUUGAGAAAGCAAACGCCUCUUCGAUUUCUGAAGCUCCGUCGAGUGCAGAUUUUUAUAGGGGCUGGCAUUAAGUUCUAAAUCACACUUGAAAUCCACCAGUAGAAGCUCCAUUCUUGCACUUCUAAGAUCUUGAUUUAUCCGACCUCUUCUCUCUUCAACACCUUUGAAAAUGUCUAGCCCCUCCGACCGUCGUUUUGACUUGAACCUUGUUGAAGAGGCAGCCCCGCCUUCUCCAGACAACAUAUGGCGCCCAUCCUUCGUCUCCCCUACUGGUCCUCUUACUGUUGGGGAUUCCGUAAUGAAGAAUGAUAUGACCGCUGCGGUGGUGGCCAGGAACCUUCUCACUCCCAAAGAUAACAGACUACUUUCCAAACGGUCUGAUGAGUUAGCUGUUAAGGAUUCGCUGGCUCUCAGUGUUCAGUGUGCAGGUUCUGUGUCUAAUAUGGCCCAACGCCUAUUUGCUCGAACCCGCCAAGUUGAAUCAUUGGUGGCUGAAGUGAUGAGUCUCAAACAGGAGAUGAGAGGGCUCAAGCAUGAGAAUAAACAGUUGCACCGGCUCGCUCAUGACUAUGCUACAAACAUGAAGAGGAAGCUUGACCAGAUGAAGGAGUCUGAUGGUCAGGUUUUACUUGAUCAUCAGAGAUUUGUGGGUUUGUUCCAAAGGCAUUUAUUGCCUUCAUCUUCUGGGGCUGUACCGCGUAAUGAAGCUCCAAAUGAUCAACCUCUGAUGCCUCUUCCUUCUAGGGUUCUGUCCAGUACUAAGGCUCCGAAUGAUCCCCCUCCGGUGCCUUCUCUUUCUGGGGCUCUACCGACUGCUGAGACUUCUCCUAAGCAACCUUUGUGAAGGCUCCCUCUUGUUUGUUUAUUUUGACUUAUGUAUAUGUACAUAUUUGUAGCUUAUCGGGAAUAUCAAUAAAUAAGCUUUCCUUCAUUUCAACGUUUGUGUUAAAUACACCAAAUCAUUCUUCGCUAAGUUCUUUGAAUUUUCUUUUGUUGAAGCUUGUAUGUGGAAGCUUUGUGAGUGGAGCAUGUAGGUUGAGGUAGUGUUCCCUUAAUUUCCUGAGUGAGGAAAACUUCUCGGUUGGAGACUUGGAAAAUCCAAGUCACUGAGUGGGAUCGGCUAUAUGAAUCUUAGAACGCCAUUGUGCUCGGUCAUGUGUCAUGUCCUUCGUUAGAUUCAAGUACUCUAAGUCUUUUCUUAGAGUUUCUUCCAAAGUUUUCCUAGGUCUUCCUCUACCCCUUCGGCCCUGAACCUCAGUCCCAUAGUCGCAUCUUCUAAUCGGAGCGUCAGUAGGCCUUCUUUGCACAUGUCCAAACCACCGUAACCGAUUUUCUCUCAUCUUUCCUUCAAUUUCGGCUACUCCUACUUUACCCCGGAUAUCCUCAUUCCUAAUCUUAUCCUUUCUCGUGUGCCCACACAUCCAACGAAGCAUCCUCAUCUCCGCUACACCCAUUUUGUGUACGUGUUGAUGCUUCACCGCCCAACAUUCUGUGCCAUACAGCAUCGCCGGCCUUAUUGCCGUCCUAUAAAAUUUUCCCUUGAGCUUCAGUGGCAUACGGCGGUCACACAACACGCCAGAUGCACUCUUCCACUUCAUCCAUCCAGCUUGUAUUCUAUGGUUGAGAUCUCCAUCUAAUUCUCCGUUCUUUUGCAAGAUAGAUCCUAGGUAACGAAAACGAUCGCUCUUUGGUAUUUCUUGAUCUCCGAUCCUCACCCCUAACUCGUUUUGGCCUCCAUUUGCACUGAACUUGCACUCCAUAUAUUCUGUCUUUGAUCGGCUUAGACGAACACCUUUAGAUUCCAACACUUCUCUCCAAAGGUUAAGCUUUGCAUUUACCCUUUCCUGAGUUUCAUCUAUCAACACUAUAUCGUCUGCGAAAAGCAUACACCAAGGAAUAUCAUCUUGAAUAUGUCCUGUUAACUCAUCCAUUACCAACGCAAAAAGGUAAGGACUUAAGGAUGAGCUUUGAUGUAAUCCUACAGUUAUGGGAAAGCUUUCGGUUUGUCCUUCAUGAGUUCUUACGGCAGUCUUUGCUCCUUCAUACAUAUCCUUUAUAGCUUGGAUAUAUGCUACUCGAACUCCUUUCUUCUCUAAAAUCCUCCAAAGAAUGUCUCUUGGGACCCUAUCAUACGCUUUUUCCAAAUCUAUAAAGACCAUGUGUAAAUCCUUUUUCCCAUCUCUAUAUCUUUCCAUCAAUCUUCGUAAGAGAUAGAUUGCCUCCAUGGUUGAGCGCCCUGGCAUGAACCCGAAUUGGUUGUCCGAAACCCGUGUCUCUUGCCUCAAUCUAUGCUCAAUGACUCUCUCCCAGAGCUUCAUUGUAUGACUCAUUAGCUUAAUACCCCUAUAGUUCAUGCAAUUUUGUAUGUCGCCCUUAUUCUUGUAGAUAGGCACCAAAGUGCUCAUUCGCCACUCAUUUGGCAUCUUCUUCGUUUUCAAAAUCCUAUUGAAAAGGUCAGUGAGCCAUGUUAUACCUGUCUCUCCCAAAACUUUCCUCAGUGAGCCAUGUUAUACCUGUCUCUCCCAAAACUUUCCACACUUCGAUUGGUAUCGUCUGGGCCUAUUGCUUUUCUAUGCUUCAUCUUCUUCAAAGCUACAACCACUUCUUCCUUCCGGAUUCGACGAUAAAAAGAGUAGUUUCUACACUCUUCUGAGUUACUCAACUCCCCUAAAGAAGCACUCCUUUCAUGUCCUUCAUUGAAAAGAUUAUGAAAAUAACCUCUCCAUCUGUCUUUAACUGCGUUCUCUGUAGCAAGAACAUUUCCAUCCUCAUCCUUGAUGCACCUCACUUGGUUUAGGUCCCUUGUCUUCUUUUCCCUUGCUCUAGCUAGUUUAUAGAUAUCCAACUCUCCUUCUUUGGUAUCUAGUCGUUUAUACAUAUUGUCGUAAGCUGCUAACUUAGCUUCUCUCACAGCUUUCUUCGCCUCUUGCUUCGCUUUUCUAUACCUUUCACCAUUUUCAUCGGUCCUAUCCUUGUAUAAGGCUUUACAACAUUCCUUCUUAGCCUUCACCUUUGUUUGUACCUCCUCAUUCCACCACCAAGAUUCCUUUUGGUGUGGGGCAAAGCCCUUGGACUCUCCUAAUACCUCUUUUGCUACUUUUCGGAUACAACUAGCCAUGGAAUCCCACAUUUGGCUAGCUUCCCCCUCUCUAUCCCACACACACUGGGAGAUUACUUUCUCUUUGAAAAUUGCUUGUUUUUCUUCUUUUAGAUUCCACCAUCUAGUCCUUGGGCACUUCCAAGUCUUGUUCUUUUGUCUCACUCUUUUGAUAUGUACAUCCAUCACCAACAAGCGAUGUUGAUUAGCCACGCUCUCUCCUGGUAUAACUUUGCAAUACUUACAAGUUAUACGAUCCCCUUUCCUCAUUAGAAGAAAAUCUAUUUGUGUUUUUGACGACCCACUCUUGUAGGUGAUCACAUGUUCUUCUCUCUUCUUAAAGAAUGUGUUGGCUAAGAAGAGAUCAUAUGCCAUUGCAAAAUCCAAGAUAGCUUCCCCAUCCUCGUUUCUCUCCCUAAAACCAUGGCCACCAUGAAAACCUCCAUAGUUGCCUGUCUCCCUGCCCACGUGUCCAUUUAAAUCUCCUCCUAUAAAUAACUUCUCCGUCUGAGCAAUUCCUUGCACCAAGUCUCCAAGAUCUUCCCAAAAUUUCUCCUUCGGAUCAUAAAUCGAAUGUCACACAUUGAGAAAUUUGACUUUUUCCAAAAAUUCUCAAAUUUUACAAGAAUAAAGAUCUCAACAAGUAGAGUAAACUUUAUACCUAUGGCCGAGUCCAAUUUGUCCGGGAAGGCCCUCAAUUUGGCUCACACCCGUCGAAACCCUAAGGUAGGUGUUAUUUAAUUCGGCUUCCUUGGUGUUCCAAACCCACCAGUUGGGUCUUGUUCCUAGGUCCAAGGGAAGUUGAUUAAGGGUGAUGGUGAAUGGUGAUACUCUCCGAAACGACAAUUUGACAUUGAGAACCUCCGGGUUCUCCUGUGGAGUUCUACCCGAAUUAGGCCUUAAAAAUCCUUGAUUUUUGGUGGAGAUGGAAGGAAGAAGAUAGUUGAGCAAGUUGCAGGUGAAGGAGAUAGGAAAAUCAUAUGAGAAAAUAAGCAAUUGGCCUAAAAUUGGCCAGUUGGAGAGGGUGCUGGUGGAGCACACGGGUUCACAAUGGAGAAGAGAGGAUUUUUGCCCUUUUUCCCUUUAAUUGGUCCUUUCUACCCUUACAAAUCUGAUUGUCCCCCUUUUUAUUAUUAGACUAACUUAACCUUUAGCCCACAUGUGGAAAUUAAACAAUUCCCACAAUCUAUGGUUCACAACUUCAAACGUCAGUAACUAUACCGUUAUAACUCGGACUCGCAAACGCAUUUCGCCUAUGCGUUCGUGGAUUCAAGAUCUAUUUAAAAAAAAAACUAGUUGUAACUUUGAAAUAUCAACGAAAGAUAAGGAUUGAUUAUGAAACUUCUAACUCGAUAACUAAUCAAUUACUAAACUUAUAAUUAGUUGAAUUAAAAUUAAUUGAUAAAGAUAACGUAAUCGCAAAAUACGAAUUUAAAUUACGAAAUACGUAAUAAUUAAAUGGUGAAAUUCCGGGGAUUGGAUUUCAUAAGAAUAUUGUGGAGUGGAGGCAUUUGAUUGCUGAUGUUCGGUGAUAGGAAAUUUUAUUGUCUGAAGUUUGACAAAAACUUGAAAUCGGUUGCUUAGGUUUUGCUUAAAGUUUUGGCUUUUGUAUGAAACUGGGAACUUUGUAAAUGCGAAUUUCCGGGUGAUCAGUUGGGGCAUUGGGCUGUCACCAGCGAAAUGGGAAUUUACGGCAACGUCGAUGCCGAGAUGGAUAUAAUCAGAGGUGGUUGUCGAGUUGGGAUGUUUGGCAUUCUCUUUUCGUUGUUGGGAGGUGGGGUGAGCUUCAGAAAAAUCAAGAUAAAAUUGGAAUUUUGUAGGAUUUUUAAUGUGGAGUGGUUUCAUAAAUUUGUGGGGUGUGAAUAAAAUUACCCUACAUAAUUUAAUGACUCAAACCCAUCGAGGGAUUGAAGCACAAACCUUCCAUGUUCUUCUCUGCUGUUGCAUAAUCCUUUAUAUUCUCUUCAAGAUUUGCCAUCCGCAAGAAGCUUUUUGUAGUCAACUGUAUUAGAUCAUCUAGUUUGGGCAACUUCACCACAAUUGUCGAGGCCGGUGGGAGGUGACUUCGGCCCGGCCAUCAAAUUUGGAGGAACCGGGUUGGCCCGUUUUAAAAUGCAACAGGCGGGCCGAGCCGGGCCGGGUAUAAGAGUUUUGAAAUUUGGAACCGGACUUAACCAGGCCUGUUUGAAAUGGGUUGGUUCGGGACGGGUGAGUCCAUUUACAUUUUUGUUGUUGUUAAAAAUUGAUGGGCCGUUGAGGCUUGAUUCUUGAAGGUUGACUCGAACACAUGGCAAGCAGGCACGAGGUGAAGGUGACGACUUGUUUCUUUGUUCAAUCUUUCUAAUUCACACCUGAGUAGUUUGGUCAAUGGUAUGAUCUUCAAAAUUGAUGGCUUUUCUUCCAGUUGGUGACUUGAUCUUUAAGGAUUUGAUUCAAGGGUGGUGAAUCGGCAUGUGCAGCCCACAACGCCUAGCGAGUCGACCCAAGUAUUUGAAGGUCAAAACGAGUCCUCCACCCAGAGUGAUUGCAACCCUGAUGAUAUGAUACUCUUGCUUCCGAAGAAGUAGCGGAUGAAUCGGCACGUGCUUUGUUGUGCUUGUCUCCACAUGCUUCAAUGUAUCAUUUUCCCUUGCCUUAUCUAUUCUUCUAGCAGAAUGUGGCAUCUUCUUGAGUUCCUCAACUCAGACUCCUUCUGCUGAGUUGACUGUGCAGGCUGCAUUCUUCUCUGCUUGUUUCUUCUGCACGUUGUCUCCACAUGCUGCAAGGUAUCAUUUUCACUUGCCUUAUCUGUUCUCCAGGCAGAUGUGGCAGCUUCUUUGGAAGUACAGCAAGAGCUGAAGAUGAGUACUCGAGAGCAAUGCCAGGUAAGCAACCAGGCAAAGGUUCCAGGUAGUCGAUCCCUUACCCGAUUUUGAGUGGAGGUUCCGACAUAUUGCUUUCUUUAUCCUUGUCUUUGUAGGUAAUAACAAGGACAAAGGAAAGGACAGGGAGAAAGCAUGAUAUGAGAUACUCUUGCUUUCUACCUUGGUGAUAUGAGAUACUUUUGCUUUGGUGUCAUUUGUUUGCAGAGGUACCCCAAGGAAUAAGGAACACUGAGUGACUCGAGAGGCUUCGUUGGGAAGGCUUUCUCGGAGAUGAAGAAAGGUUCUGUAUGUCUGCCUUGCUAUGGAGGGUGAAGGUGGACAGUUAUAAGAAGUUCUUUAAUACCUGUAGAGGUACUAUUCUUUCACUCGUGUCGGCAACUAUUGCGUGAUUGAAUAGGCUUCACGUGCUUUGUUCUUUUUCAGAAAUCUUCGACAAAUUGUCCGUAAUUUCGCCGAGCUGAGUGUGCAUGUGACAGGUGUUGACAAGGCUGAAAAAGACUGGCGCCUCUUCGAUAUCUAGGAUCGGCGCUUAGACAAAUUGCCCGUGAUUUUCGCAAAGAUGAGUUUGCGUGUGAUGAAUGCUGACGCGUCUGGAAAAGCAAGAUGCCUCUCCGAUUUCUGAGCUUGCCUCUUCGAUUUUUUGAAUUGGCCUCUUCGAAUUCUGAGCUCGCCUCUUCGAUCUCUGAAAUCCCGUCGAGUGCUGAUUUUUAUAGAGGCACGCAGUUCGUUUCAAAGCACACUUGAAUUUUCGCUUGUAGAAACUCCCUUAUUGCACUUCUAAGAUCUUGAUUCGUCCGACCUCCUUUUUUUUAACACAUUUGAAAAUGUCUGGACUCUCCGACCGUCGUUUUGACUUGAACAUUGGUGAAAAUGCAGUCCCGCCUUCUCCAGACAACAUAUGGCGCCCAUCCUUCAUAUCCCUUAGUGGUCCUCUUACCGUCGGGAACUCGGUGAUGAAGAAUGAUAUGACCGCUGCGGUGGUGACCCGGAACCUUGUCACUCCCAAAGAUAACAGACUGUUUUCCAAACGGUCUGAUGAGUUGGUUGUUAAAGAUUCUAUGGCUCUCAGUGUGCAGGUUCUGUGUCUAAUAUGGCCCAACGCCUAUUUGCUCGAACUCGUCAAGUUGAAUCAUUGGCGACUGAAGUGAUGAGUCUCAAACAGGAGAUUAGAGGGCUCAAGCAUGAGAAUAAACAGUUACACAGGCUCACACAUAACUAUGCUGCAAACAUGAAGAGGAAAACUGACCAGAUGCAGGAAUCUGAUGGUCAGAUUUUACUUGAUCAUCAGAGGUUUGUGGGUUUGUUCCAACAGCAUUUGCCUUCGUCUUCUAGGGUUGUACGGCGUAAUGAAGCUCUAAAUGAUCAACCUUCGGUGCCUCCUCCUCCUGGGGUUCUGCCUAGUACUGAGGCUCUGAAUAAUCAACCUCCGGCGCCUCUGUUUCCUGGAGCUUCGCCGAGUGGUGAGGCUUCACAUGAGCAACCUUUGUGAAUAUGUUCCCUCUGUAAUUUUCCAGAGAAAUCAAUAAACGAGCUUUUCUUUUAUUCAGUGUUUUCUUCUUCUUCUUCUUCUUCUUUUCUUUUCUUUCACAUGGUGCUGAUCCACCAUUCCUUUUUUUUUCUUUUUACAUGGUGCCAAAUGCACCAUCACUCUUUAUAUAUAUAUAUAUAUAUAUAUAUUUAUUUUUUUUUUCUUUCUUUUCUUUCACAUGGUGCCAGAAGCACCAAAAGACUUUCUUUCUUCUUCUCUUUUUUUUUUUAUGUUUUUUUUUUCAUGGUGUCGUCCACCAUCAUCCUUUUUAUUACAUAUAUAUAUUUUAUCAUGGUGUUGCCCACCACUCCAAAAAUUUUAUUAUUUUUUUUUCUUCUUUCCUUUCUUUGCUUUCGGUGGUGACCACCACCAUUUUCCCUUCUUUUUUUUAUUUUUAUUUUUUUUUGCUUUCAGAAUGGUGUGGCACCAUUCUCCUCCUUUUUUCUUAUUAUAUAAAUAUAUAUAUUAUUAUUUUUUUAUUUUUUUAGUGGUGCCUGCCACUUUCAUCCACUAUCUUUUUGUUAUUAUAUAUUUUUUAUAUAAAUUCUGGUGAUGGGAUGAAGAACUUGCAGGGAAGGACGAAGUCGAGGGGGCAGCAUGGAGGAGGAGGAUGCAGAGCUAGAAGAAGAGAGCGAGGAGACAGCGGAAGAAGCUCCACCACUACCACCAUUGAGCACAGGCACUGAACACAGUCACCGAGCACAGCCACCAGACUUUUCUUUGUCAAUUCUUGAGCUCUUCGACUUUGGUUGGCCUCUUCACAUUCACAACAAUGGUAGCCAUCACUGCAGUAUGUAUCCAUCUCCCAAUUUUCAAGUACUUCCGUUGCUGCAGAGACAACAAGGAUGAACUCGAGGGGAAUUUCUCAGGACACCCUACUAUACCUGCACAGGAAAGUCAUGGCGAACAGAGACGGUGGUCAAAUCGAAGCAGAGAGUAGAAAUGCCGAGAUUGAGGCGUCGGGUGAGGAGUUUGUUUGGUAUGUUCCUGACUUUCCAUGGGAUUGGCAAGAGCUGGUUCGGGUCGGGAUCCCGAACCGAAACCCUCAAUCCGAAUUCCAAACCGAAACAUUUCGGGAUGGGAUUUUAUAUCCCAACAUCGAACCAAAAAUAUGCAAUUCCCGAAAUUCGGGAUACCCGAAACUGUCGGGAUUUCGGGUCGGGAUUGGGUGGGAGCUACCACAGAGUUCUCAAUCUCUUGUGCAAACCAAAACCAUGGAAAAACCUGCAGGUGGAGACUGAGGCGGCAGUGUUAAAGUUCAAGAGAGUUCUCUCUCUCCUCAGCCAUGGAAGAGGAAGAGUGAGAAAGUUGAAUAAAAACCUAAAUUAUAUACAUAUACAUACACUUACAGCACGCAUGCAAUAAUCAAAUAUGAAACAAAAGGAAUCCUUGCUGCUCAUGAUGGAGCUGCCAUGCCCAUGAUGUGCAUCCACCACGCAGAAUCGGAAACCCAGUUCCGGAUGCUAAUCUCAAGCUUCCCCUCCAAUUUCCCAAAACAAAAACUUUGCGGCAGCACCAGGAAGAGAGAGAAAAGUUGCAGUUUCACAGUGACUCAGAUGGAGGAGCAGCGUGACUCGAUGGAGGAGCGGCGAAAGCAGCGUUUGGGAGAGUGGGAGUGAGCGACUGAGAGUCUGAGGAAGUGAGGAAUACAACAAAAAACCUAACUCCCAAUGGACGGUUGGAUUAGAUCUUAACCAAUCCAACGGUCCAAUAUAUAUAUAUAUAUAAUAUUCGGUUCGGUUCGGGAUUACCAAACACUUUCAAAGAUGUGGCCGCAUCCCAAACCGAAACUUUCGGAAAAUUCAGUUUGGACAUUUUUCGGGCAAAUUUCGGGACGGGUUCGGGAUUUUCGGGAAAAAAUUCCACCCCUAGGAUUGGCGAUGCCGUAAACUCUGAAAAUAGCCUGGUUCUGAAAGUUCUCUCAGCUUCGCCUGCAACAUAUUCUGCUAACCCCAAAAGUAAGCCAUCAAAUCCUUCAUCGCUCACUGGAUCUGCUAUAUCUUUAGUUUCAGUUGUGCAGGUAAGAAACGAUGCUCGGAUGAAUGGAUGUCUCCUCCUCCAACAAACCAGAUGUUGUCUACUACGGACCGCUACUUCGAAUGCCUCAGUUGAAGCAAACUUUCUGAGUCAAUCGCCCAAAGCGCGAAGGAAAUGGGUGAACAAAGCAGCAGCAACACUGCACCUCCAUCAACACCCGCCAAUGUCAUAGCAUCGCAGCCAGUUUGACCGGUGGAUUCCAGCAUAAGCAUCGGAUGCAUCAGUACAGAUCCCCGGAGCCACACGCCACCAUUUUCGAGAAACAUCUGCGGUUUCUGAAACCAGAAAUGCAGAGCUGGAAGAGAGUCUGUCGAAGCUGAAGAAUCUGGAGAAUAUUGUUGAGGAACUGCAAACCAAGUCUCACUUUGAAGGAGAGAGUGGAAAACUUGCUAAGGCCUAAGCCAAGUCGGGAGAACUACAAGGAUGACAUUGAUGCCCCGUCCGCCCUCGUCCACUUUAAGUACGAGUCCCUCAAGCUCCACGUCAUCACCUUCCUCGAGAAGUUCUUCGACUACCAGCUCCAAAACGCCGUUGUUGACCCCUCUUCCGUCCAUGUACUCGACAUCUCUGACGCCUGCCUUGAGCCUCGCUCCUUGCUGUGCGUUCUCUCGGCUCCGUAACCUCGUCGGUGAUGACGCUACACCCAUCUUCGUGAGCAGGCGGCAGAACGGUGGUGGAGAUCAUGAGGUUGAAACUGAAGUUGAAGAUGGUGAUGGUGAGGAGGAGGUCUUCUUUUCGUUGACAAGGAACGUGGGUUGGAAGAAUGUCCACUUGCUCUGGGUGUGCGCACCGUGUGUAGCAACGAUGGAAGAGACAGAAUGGGCAAUGAAGUUUAUCCACUACUCUGCCGCGUCGAGAUCAGAGGCGAGGGCCUUGAUGAUGGGUCUGCACCGUUGAGACGAACGCGCCUGAUGGAGAUCUACUGUCGGCAUACAAGGAAGUGGGCUUAUGGGCCUGUUGGAAUUGCAGAUGUGAUUUGAUCUGCUUCUGAGGCUAUAUAUAUAUAUAUAUAUAUAUAUAUAUAUAUAUAUAUAUAUAUAUAUAUAUUUUUUUUUUUUUUUUUUUUUUUUUAAGUUGUAGUUUUAUUUUAUUUUAUUUUAUUUUUAUUUUUACAAACAACGUGUAAUUUUUUUUGUACAAAGAAUGUAAUAAUAUUGACUUUCAAUAGUAAAACACUUAAUAAAACCUUAUUUUUUUAUUUUGACGUGACUGUACUCGAAGUUGAACGUUCGAGUUGCCUACGUACCCUUCCAAAGAAGACAUCAAGUCAUAACGUAGUUCAAAUGAGCGAUGAAUUUAACAAUGAUUUUGAUGAUGAUUUUGUCGUGCAUAGUUUAUGCUCUUGCGGGCCAGGAGCUUUUGGUGUCGUUUGCAGUUUCAACUCUUGCAGACAAGGAGCAUUUGGUGCCGUGUUGCAGUUUCAGCUCGUGCAGGUAAGGAGCGUUUGGUGUUGCCUUUUAUGCUCGUGCAGACCAGGAGCGUUGUGCCAUGCAGUUUAGGCUCGUGCAGGCGAGGAGCCUCGUGUCCUACAGUUUAGGCUCGUGCGGACAAGGAGCUUUGGUUCAUGCAGUUUAGGCUCGUGUGAACAAGGAGCAUUGGUGUUGCCUUUUAUGCUCGUGCAGACCAGGAGCUUUGUGUCAUGCAGUUUAGACUCGUGCGGGCGAGGAGAAAUGGUGAAUUUGUCAAGCAAUUUUGGAGAGGCGUUCCUCACAAUCUUCAUAGCAAGAAGCCUUGACCGAGUGAUUGAAGAAGUCUUCGGGUAAGAAGUCGCGCAUCGUGAUGGCAACGGACGAUCUUUGUGUCGUAAUUUCAUCAUCCUUAACACUUUUGUGUAACUUUGGAGGUUGACGAGAGUUGCUUUGCCUCCUUUCCCAUUGGUGAACUUGUGGAGGAAACGUAUGCUUCUUGUGUAAUUUCUUCGGAGUGACAUGAAUCCAUCCUUCAACUUCGCUUGACUCGGAGCAUACCCCCAACGGUUGAGGUGAAAACUUUGAGUCGGAAGAGCCAGAAGUGAUGGUGGUAUAGUUUGACUUCACCACAUCGUCAAGAUCUAGUUCGAUGAUUCCUUUAUGAGCCAGCUUCAUGAUGAGAUCUUUCAGCACGAAGCACUUUUCUGUCGGAUGACUGAUGAAGCGGUGGAAUUUACAGUACCUUGGACUGUCGGUGCGAUUCAUCUCUUAUGGCCAUCUGCACUCAGGCAAACCAAUCACCUUCUUUUCCAGCAAGUCUUAUAACAUGGUAACCACAUCAGAGUCGGGGAAUGGAUAAGUCAUCUCCUCAAGCUCCUUCAAAGUGCGUCUACGCAUCUCUUGAUCACGAAAAGCUUCGGCUUGAAUCGCCUUGCCUCGUGUAGGGAUUUUGACGGGAGCUGUGUUGACCGUCAUUGCUUCCUUGGUGGAUUUCCACGCAGCCUUCUCCACCUUUGUCUCAAGAACUUUGUCGUUCUUGUAGUCGGCGAUCGGUUCCUUCUUCCCAUGAUGGGCGAUGCUUAACUCCAUGUCAUGGACGCGGGUGGCUAGCUCUUCGAAACUCCGUGGUUUGAUGCCUUGAAGGAUGUAUUGCAAACCCCAAUGCAUGCCUUGGAUGCACAUCUCGAUUGAAGAGGUUUCCGAGAGCCUUUCUUUACAGUCGAGGCGUAGAGUGCGCAAUCUGUUGAUGUAGUCAAUGACUGGCUCGUCCUUCCACUGCUUUGUGCUUGUUAGCUCUAGCAUGCUUACAGUGUGGCGGGUGCUGUAGAAGCGGUUGAGGAAUUCCCGCUCCAAUUGCUCUCAGUUGUUGAUGGACUCAGGCUCUAGGUCCGUGUACCACUCAAAGGCGUUUUCUUUCAGCGAGCGCACAAACUGCUUGGCGAGGUAGUCCCCUUCGGUCCCUGCGUUGUUGCAAGUUUUAACAAAGUGGGCAACGUGCUGUUUCGGGUUUCCCUUUCCAUCAAAUUGCAUAAACUUUGGCGGUUGAUAACCUCUCGGCAUCCUUAAGGCGUCAAUCUUCUUUGAAUACGGCUUCGAGUAUAACCCGGAGGUAUUUGAGCUCCCUUCGUACUGUGCCUUGAUGGUGUUGGUGAUCAUUUCCUGCAGCUGCUGGAUAGAAAAAGAUCUCAUGAGUGCCGCUGCUUGGUCUGGCUCCGGCUUCACAUCGAUUCUCUCCACCGGAGGCUCAUCUUCUUCGCCAGCUCCUCUUUUUAGUGGAUCAUCUUUUGGGUUAGGGUUCUCGCCGUCCUGUGGCUCCAGUCGGCUGACGAGUGCCGCGAUUUGCAAGUCUUUUUCUUCCACAAUCUGUGUUAGCCUUGCAAUCGCUUCAUUUAUUUGAGCCAGUUGUUCUUUGAUGAAGGUAACGCCGAUGGUCAUGACUUGUGCAACCAAUAGAUGUGACUUUCCUUUAGACAUCCAGAAUGCUAACGAAGAACGUCGUUGGCUGCUUUAGGAUGUCAUCUUGUGUGCCUCAGCAUCAUGCUUCGGUGCCCCCAGCGAGGUUAGGUUGAUGACGGACUCAUGCCUCUGAUGCUCCCCUUGCUCCUUUAGCGGCACCAACUUUGAAGUGGCAUGUUGAGGAGCGGUUGUGGUGCCAAUGGAUUGUCCGUUCGCGGCAGAAGUGCUCAGGAUCCUUCCCUCAGUGGUUGCGAGAACGGCUUGUCCCUUGCUUGAUGCCAUUGACUUUGAGGUGUGUUUGGAUUCCUUGAACGGAGAAAGAGAUGAGAGGUAGAGAUUGUCCCACUAGGCGUGCCAAUUUGUGAACACGAAAUUUUCUUGAAACAAGAACACGUGUACAAAGAAAUAUUUUGGUGUUAAUGGUUUUGGGUUACAAUCUCUCUUAAAUUUGAUCCUCUGAUUCGAUCUCCGUAAGGUGUGUAUUUGUGGAUGUGCAAAUGAUUCAAGGGCCGUCGAGGCUUGAUCUUGGAUGAAUGUUCUUCAAGGGCCGUGGGCUUGAUCUUUGAAGGUGGAUUUGAACGGAUCUUCAAGGAGCCGUUGGGGCUUGAUCUUGAGGAUGAGUGUUUCUUCAAAGGCCGUUGAGGCUUGAUCUUGAAUAACGGUGAUGAAAGGAUCUUCAAGGGCUUUUGGGCUUGAUCUUGAAGAACAGUGAUGAACGGAUCUUCAAUGGCUUUUGGGCUUGAUCUUGAAGAACGGUUGGAUGUAUGGAUUUGUCGACGUUGUUGAUCCAAAGGGCCGUUGGGGCUUGAUCCUAGGAUGAAAGGAUGAUGAACGAAUGAACACUUUAUUCAAGGGCCGUCGGGGCUUGAUCUUGAAUUGGUGGAAGUUCUUCAAGGGCCCUUGGGGCUUGAUCUUGAAUUGGUGGAUGAUUGUUGAUCCAAAGGGCCGUUAGGGCUUGAUCUUAGGAUGAACGAUGAACGAAGAACGAAGAACGAAGAAGGCUUUCUUGAUUCUUCGGGAACCUGGAUGCUUGAGAGCUUCGGAGUUUCAGAGCUUUAGAGCUUCAAGAAUUUUGCCUAAUGAUUUUGGUUCCUCCCAAAUGAAUGAAAUUGGCUUCUAUUUAUAGAAUUUUCCAAGGCCUAAUUUUGAAUAUAAUAUUCCAGAUGAAAUAAGUCGUUUCUGCCAAGUGUUGACACGUGCCCUGUUUGAUGACUUUUCCAACUUAUUUUGAUUUUUUGUUUAGACACACGCUACGUGUAAAAUUUAUGUAAUACAUAAGCGUUGAAACUUUGAUUUAUCGGUCAACAUUUAUUUACCAAAAUUUCGAUGUCUACAAAAACAUGUGAAUAUUUUCAGUUUUUCAGGUUUUAGGUUGAUUACCACCACCAAAUUAAGUCAAUCAAAGAAAACAUAUAUGGAAAUUUACAAAUUAUUAUGAACAAUAUGCCAACAAAAUUAAAGAAACAGUACUCCAAAACCAAUUUAAAGAAAGAAUCUAAACAAAAUCGGCAGCUCAUCCAAAUGAAAAGGAUAGGGAGGAAAUCACAGAAUGUGAAAGUAUUUUAAACAAAAAUUGGAAUACUGGUUCCUGAGAUUUGCAUAACUCAUCGUUUUGGUCCCUGAUAUUCCAAAUCGAUAAAAGUGGUCCCUGAGAUUGUCCACCAUCCAUCAUUUUGGUCAUUCCGUUAAGUGUCCCGGAGUUUUUGGCCGGAAGUUUGGGCAAUUUUCAAAACUUCGUAACUCAAUCAUUUCUUAACCAAAUUCGACCCAUAAUAUAUCAAAAUGAAGAUAGGAAAGUGUAUAAUAAGAUUAUACUAUUUUGAAGCCCAAUGGUUGUCGGAUAUGGCUGGAAAAUAGCCUCAAAGUUGACUGGUCCGAGUGAAAACUUGAAAACUUGCCGAAAACUGGGUAAACUUUAAACGUUCAUAACUUCUUCAAUACUUAACGAAAUCAAGUGAUUCAAAAACAAAAAUCAUACAUCUCGACGACAAGAAGAGAAUGGUAUCUUUUUCGAUAGCUAACGUGCCAUUUUUUGGCCGGAAAACUGCUCGAAAGUGGUUGUCUUGGUCUUGAGUUAGCCACUUUCGAGCCAUUUUGCGGCCAAACCACGGCUAGUUAGCUGUCUUAAAAAGUACUAUUCUCUUCGUCUCAUCGAGAAGUAUGAUUUUUAUUUUUUAAUCACUUAAUUUCGUUCAGUAUUGAAGAAGUUAUGAACGUUUAAAGUUUACCCAGUUUCCGGCGAGUUUUCAAGUUUUCACUCGGACUAGUCAACUUUGAGGCUAUUUUUCGGCCAUCUCCGGCAGCCAUUGUGCUUCGAAAUAGGUAUAAUCUUAUUUUACACUUUCCUAUCUUCAUUUUGAUAUAUUAUGGGUCGAAUUUGGUUAAGAAACGAUUGUGUUACGAAGCUUUGAAAAUUGCCCAAACUUCCGGCCAAUAGCUUCGGGACACUUAACGGAGUUUUUAACGGAAUGACCAAAACGAUGGAUGGUGGACAAUCUCAGGGACCACUUUUAUCUAUUUGGAAUCUCAGGGACCAAAGUGAUGAGUUAUGCAAAUCUCAGGGACCAUUUUGGCGAUUUACCCAUAAAUUAAAUAAAAGAAAUAUAUAUAUAUAUAUAUAUAUAUAUAUAUAUAUAUAUAUAUAUAUAUAUAGACCACUUUUAUGGAUUUGGAAUCUCAGGGAUCAAAGUAAUGAGUUAUGCAAAUCUCAAGGACCAUUUUGGCGAUUUACCCAUAAAUUAAAUAAAAGAAAUAUAUAUAUAUAUAUAUAUAUAUAUAUAUAUAUAUAUAUAUAUAUAUAUAUAUAUAUAUACAUAUAUAUAUAUAUAUUUGGAAGAAACCGGAAUUAGCAUUCCAUGGCAAAGCCAAAGACAUACAAAGAAAGCCUAAAGGAAGCCCAACAACGAAAACCACACAAACAGAGCAGCAAAGGGGAUAAAAGAUAGACACUAGAACCUGAUUCAAGUGUCACCCCUAAAAUUGCAAAAACUACUCAAGAAGAUGAAAGGGGACAAGGCAAACCAUCUCUACUCAGAACAUGAACCAACAAAGAUGGAGGUCUAUGAACCCAAACGCGAUUGCACAUCUCUGUAAUAUGUGGCGACGCCAAGAAAUCUGCCGCUUGGUUGGCUGAUCUUGGAACCCAAGACCAGCAACAGUCCUGGAAAGCUUGCCCAUACUGUUUAACCCGAGAUAUGGUGGGAAAAGCCUCCAAACUGCCAACAUCCAAAGAAUGUGAUAAAGCUAAAAUCGUAUCCUUGGAGUCAGAUUCAAGAAUAAACUGACGAUGCCCUAACGUAGUAGCAAUUUCACAGCCUCGUAGCAUAGCCAGAGCUUUCGUAAGAUCAGCGUUGGGGGCAUAAACUGCAUACCGAGCCGCAGCAACAUAAAGACCUGUAAUCCACGAAUCACCACUCCGACAAAACCAGACCGUGUGGAUAAAGACCAGCUGGCAUCGACAUUAACCUUAAGGAAGGGUGAUGUUGGGGGAGACCAAACAACCACCGGGGCCGCAUCCCUGGAGAGGGCUGAGCUGGAAACAGAUUGAGGAGCAUUAGCUUGCAAAUACACUGAGAUCGAGGUAGAAAUGGUAAAAAGAACCUGAGAAGGGUUGACUGGAGAGUGAUUGUAGAGAAAUUGGCAUCGAGCUUUCCAUAUGUACCAACAUAUAUAAGCAGCAUAAGAAAGCAAAAAACAGUGCUAAAUAAAAGAAAAUUUUUGGUAAGAAGUAGAGAGUUCAAAAACAUGUCCAUGUGAUGAAAGGUUGAUCAAAUGUUUAUUUUUAGGGUAAAUAUCAAUUUACUACCCUCAAGUUUCAUGGUUUUCAACAUUUGGUACAUAAAGUUUUUUUCGUCCCAGAGUCAUACCUAAAGUGUUAAUUUUGAAACAGUCUCAUACAUCCAUUAGUCAAACUGUUAACUUUGCCGUUAACUGAUGACGUAGCGCCUAUGUGGAUAAUGACUGGACACCACGUGUCAUUAAAGGGUUAACGUGGAAUUUAAAGAUUUUAAAAAAUAUUUAUUUAAAGAAAAGUUAUUAUAAAUAAUAAAAAAUAAAAAAAAGCAAAACCCAGAUCGUCUUUCCCAAAUCCCCCAUUGCCCACCCUCUCAUCCCCAUCACUCGCAACCACUUCCCUCCGCAUUGCACCUCCAUCCCCCAUCAUCCUUCCCAAAAAUCCUGCCGUCGCCACCCAAGCCCACCCCCUUCUCCCAUCCCAAAAAUCCUGCUGUCACCAUUCUCCUCCAACUCCACCACCCCUUGUGGUCCACUGCACCUCCAUCCCAUCUUCUCCCAUACCCCACUUUCCUCCCCACUUAACAAAAUAAGGGUCUGAUGGAGACGAGAAUCCAGCCACUGUCACUCAAAUUCGACAAAAACGUCUCCAUCAAAUCAUUCAUAGUAUCGACUACAAGGCUGCAACAGAGGGUUGAGGCAGAGAUCAGGCAGAUUAGGAAGAGGUCGGGGUUCUGAUGUGGGAGUUCAAAAGGUCGAAGGCAGCGAUGGAGGAGCUGAGGGAGGAUUUGGAGAAGAGUGGACCACAAGGGGUGGUGGAGUUGAAGGAAGAGGGCGACUACAUGAAUUUUGGGAUGGGAGAAGGGGGUGGGCUUGAGUGGUGGAUUUUUGGGAGGGAUAAUGGGGGAUGGAGAUGCAAUGGGGAGGAAAUGGAGAUGCAAUGGGGAGGAAAGUGGUUGCGAGUGAUGAGGGUGUGGGCACGGGGGGAUUUGGGGAAGAUGAUAUGGGUUUUGCUUUUUUUUUUUUUUUAUAAUUAUUUUAUAAUAACUUUUCUUUAAAUAAAUAUUUUUUUUAAAUUUUAAAUUCCAUGUGGACCCUUUAAUGACACGUGGCAUCCAAUUAUUGUCCACAUAAGCGCCACGUCAUCAGUUAACGACAGAAUUAACAGUUUCACUAACGGAUGUAUGAGACUGUCCCAAAAUUAACAUUUUAGGUAUGACUCUGGGACGAAAAAAACUUCAUAUACCAAAUGUUGAAAACCAUGAAACUUGAGGGUAGUAAAUUGGUAUUUACCCUUAUUUUUAUCUACAAAAACAAUUGUGGGCUCAAAUAUAAAUUAUAAACAUGAGAAAAUGGGCCCCAAUCUAAACAGGUCCAAUUACUCUCCUCUUCGCAAAUUCCUUUAACACAUUAAUAGAAAGAUGUUAAACUAUUGUAUAACGGCGUGAGUUUGAAUUUCGUCGGUGACUAAUUUAAUAUUUAAUUUAAUAAACCAUUUUUUUUAUUUUUUUUAUUUUUAACUUUGCUCCUUCAUCUACUUCUCGACGAGUUUCCACCGUCCGAUUUGUCGACCCAUAUUCCAUGGUCAAGGAGUGGGAGAAAAUCAAUGACAUAAUUUUCUCUGGUCAAUCUAAAUUUCAUUGUUCACGUUGUGUAGCUGGUAAAAAUUAUUGCUCACGCAUGGGUCAGGUCAAUUAGUCAAGUGCAAUCUACUUGCUUCUUUGCAUUGCGAAAUGUUAAAGAUAAUUUCUCAAAAGUAUGAUUUUUUAUAAAUUUUUCGUCACCUUAUAUUUUUAGCUUAAUUUAAAAAGCGUGAGGUGGUACAUAAAAAGUCUCAUUUAAGAAAAACUCCUUAGCAUUUCUCAUUUGAAUUUGAAAGCACUUCUCGAAAAAGGAGGCAUGUAAACUGCAAUAAAAAGAUCCUUUUGAUCUACACUAGGACACACGUGGUUAACCAGCCUCCUUGCAGAUGGAUUCGAAUGCACUUAUAGACGUGGUUCUGUAAAAAAAUUACAAAAAAAAAAGUCUUUCUAGACUCAAGUGGUUUUAAAGAAAGGGAGAAAGUCGAACAUAAACCUAAUAAACAUGAGUAAAGGUUCUCAACUUAAAUUUUUUUCGAUUUGUUCGAUAUUUUUAUGAAAAUAUUUAAAAAAAAUCAGAAAAAAUAUGCAUUCCCUAAUUCAUUAUUUGAAACUGUUUGGAAUAAUUUAAAAAAAAAUACAAAAUAUAUGAAGCGUUCUUAUUGGUAAUAACCUUCAUAAAUAUUUAGCUCAGAUAAUGCUCGUGUUCUUACCGGUAAGAAGCUGUGUGAAUAUUCAGCUCAUAUAUUGAACGUGUUCUUAUCGUUAAGAACACAUGCAAAUUAAAGAUGCAUGUCAUUACUUGUCUUGACACGCUACCCUCGAAUCGUGGCACGCCAAAACAUAGUUGUUGGCAUGCGAUGACAUGUCAUGGCAUGCAUUUUGCUAAUAUUUUGCUCGCUUGGCAAGGCUUGUCAUGGCAUGUCUUGACAUAGUAACCUUCGCAUCGUGACACGCCAUGACAUUGAUGUUGGCCACAAGAUGACAAGUGUCGCGAAUUAUCAGCACAAUGCAUGUCAUGACAUGCCAUGCAUUCUCUCUAUAAACCAUAAUGGUCCGCUUGGUUUCUCGAAAAAUAUAGGAAAUUGAAAUUAAGAAUUUGGAGAGGAGAGAAAGAGAGGCUUACGUACAUGAUUAGUGAGUGAUGGAGCCAGUUUACCAAAGAGAAUUCAAGGGAGAAUUUUGAAAGCCAAUGACAUCAUUAAGGUAAAGCUGAGGAAGGUGAACCGCCGUGCAGUUUUGUUUUUUCCUUUCUGGGUAAUGUAUGCCAACAUCGAUGUUUUGGUGUGCCACGAUGUAAGGGUUAGCGUGUCAAAGUGUUAGAAAAAAUGCAUGUCAUGGCUUGUCUUGACACGGUAACCCUCGCAUUGUGGCACACCCGAACAUCACUAUUAGCCACGACGUGACAAGUAUUGUGAAUAGUCGGCAUAAUGCAUGUCAUGCCACGCCAUGCAUUAUGUCGAUAAUUCGCGAGGCUUGUUAUGGCGUGUCACGAUGCGAGGGUUAGCGUGUCAAGACGAGUCAUUACAUGCCAUAUAUUUUUCUAACACUUUGCCUACUAUUUCGGAAUAAUUUUUAAAAAAAUCAAGAAAAUAUAUGAAGCGUUCUUACCGGUAAUAACCUUCGUAAACAUUCAGCUCAGAUAAUGAAUGUGUAUUAUUCCAUCAUGGACUACCAUCAUGCUGCAACUUGUUGGCUUUUGACUGCAUCCAAAAAUUACUUGCAAUUAAUUUUCAACCAAGUGAGUCCAUUUCUUCUACAAAAGUUAGCCUUAUUAUUUCCUUUCAGAAAGGGGUAUGUUAUACAAAUAAGGAAUAUGGUUGGAGUCCUUGUGUAAUUGUAGUCCUAAUUGUAGUUGUAUUCCUGAUUUGUAGGGAAUUUUCCUUGCUAUGCAAGGCAUGUAAUUGUAUAUAAUAUCAUUCACGUAUCAAUAACAAAUAUGCUUUUUAGCCUACAUACCUUUUUCUACAUGGUAUCAGAGCAGGUUUAAAACCCUAGCCCUAUUUUCCUCUUUUUUUUCUCGGCAGCUUUCUCUGUCGUUCCCAUGGCUGAUUCUUCUUCUCCCGAUGGUGCUUUUUCCCUUCAUCAUUCAGACCACCCGAAUCUUGUCCUUGUAUCCAAGAAGUUGAAUGGUGAUAACUACACAUCCUGGGCCCGUGGCAUGCAGCUUUCCUUGAAUGCCAAGAAUAAACUUGGUUUCAUCACUGGCGAUGUCCCAGAGCCUUCUUCCUCCGACGAUCCCGAUGCUCACGCGGCUUGGCGUCGUUACAAUGACAUGAUUCUCUCUUGGCUUCUUCAUUCCUUGGAACCUGACCUUCAAGAAUCUGUGCUUUUUUCCACCUCUGUCAAGGAUGUGUGGGACGAUCUUCGCGAACGCUUCUCUCAGAGUAACGCUCCUCGCAUCUUUCAACUCAACCGGGAGCUUGCUACAAUUUCUCAAGGUUCUUCUUCUGUCUCCGCCUAUUUUACUCGCCUGAAAGCUCUCUGGGAUGAGCUUGCUUCUUAUAAUGAUGGUUGGACGUGCUCUUGCAACGCCAAGCAUGACCGUCAACAACUCAUGCAAUUUUUAAUGGGCCUCAACGAAUCCUUUGCUGCCGUUCGUGACCAGAUCCUUUUGAUGAAUCCCCUUCCCACUGUUCGUCAGGCCUGUUCCUCGGUGUCUCAAGCUGAAAAACAUUGAUCCCUGGGCGUCAUUCGCUCUGUCGAUCAACCUGCCGCCAUGGCUAUUCGUGGCUCGUCUCGUCCAUCCUCUGCUCGCCCUUCCCUCCACUGCACCUACUGCAAUUUUGAUUAUCAUACCCAAGACACCUGCCAUAAACUUCAUGGCUAUCCCGUUGGCCAUCCCCUCCAUGGCCAACCGUGGCGACCACCGCGCCGUGCAGCUGCUUCCAGUUCUGGUUCUUCCCGCAGCCAUGCGCCUUCCAGUCCUCCCCGUGCGCCACGGCCUUCUGCUUCCCGGCCCAAUAAUUCCACCCAGGCCCAUCACGUGCAAGGCACCCAGGCCCGUCCCUCCACUUCUUCUCCAACGACCCACCACGUGCACGGGGCCCAGCCCACUUUGCAUGACUUGCAGCUUGCCAUGCCUGAUCUCUCUGUCGAGCAACACUCUCGUGUUCUAGCUGCUCUCCGUGACAACGCCGAUCCUCCUCAGGCCAAUGCCGUGUUCAAUCCUGAUUUUGCCCAAGGUUUGUUACCUGUCACCUCUCGUCAUGGUCAAUGGAUUCUUGACAGUGGUGUUACGGAUCAUAUUACUUCUUCCGCUUCCUGUUUGGUUAAUACUUCUCCUUCACAUUUGCCGCCUGUUUCUUUGCCUAGUGGUGCCUCCGCUCCCAUUACUUUUACCGGCACUCUUCAUUUAAAUUCAUCGGUUACUUUGAAGGAUGUUUUAUGUGUCCCUAAUUUCAAAGUGGACCUUUUAUCGGUUGGUAAACUUACAGAUGGAUUAUCGUGUUCCAUAACAUUUUUUCCUUCUUGGUGUGUUUUGCAGGACUUGGUUUCGAAGGCGAUGAUUGGUGUGGGUAAGUGACGUGGCGAUCUGUAUUACCUUGUGGCCCUUGCCUCUCCUAUCCCCACCCGUCAACCUCUCUGCAACAUCAUUACCAUCCCCUCCUCCCUCUGGCAUAGGCACCUUGGUCACCCCUCCUCCACUCGUUUGCAAGCUUUAACAUCUAGCUCUCUUAAUUGUUCUUUUGAUUCUAGUCAUAUUUGUGAUGUUUGUCCUUUGGCGAAACAAACUCGUCAACCUUUUCUUUUAAGCUCAAUUUCAUCCACUUUCCCUUUUGCUUUAAUUCAUUGUGAUAUUUGGGGCCCGAAUCGUCAAUCUUCUCUUUCUGGUGCUCAUUAUUUUUUAACCAUUGUGGAUGAUUUUUCUCGUUUUACGUGGGUCUUCCUCAUGAAACAUAAAUCCGACACUCAACAAUUAAUUAAGGAUUUUUUUGCUUAUGUCAAUACCCAAUUCCGCACUACAAUCCAAUGCAUUCGUACUGACAAUGGCGGUGAAUUUUUAUCUCUUCGUAGUUUUUUCUCUGAUCAUGGGGUGCUCUUACAAACUUCUUGUGUUUAUACUGUUGGAAAUAUGCCCUGAAAGUCAAUCUUUGGAAGAAAUCUUUCAGGACAAAUGAAUGGAUGUAUGGAUGAAUCUUAUACAUCAAAGGCAAAAACACGAAUUAGGACUAUCUCAAUGAACGAUAUAUGUCCUAAAUAGUGUAUCCAUGGACAAUAGAUUGAUUAAAGAAGUAAUCUAAUGAUGUUAGAUUACAGAGACCUUCUUCAUGUAACCAAAUGUCCAAAAGGUUCCUAGUCAUUGGAUUGUCGAAGGGAUACUGACAAUACGUAGACUGGUACAAACUGUGUCUGCUUCAAAUGGAAGGAUGGAAAGUCUCAUCCCAUUCGUGUUGUGACACUAAGACAAGUAUGUAGGUGCUCAUUUGGGGAAUGAGUUCACUGAACACAAUCGAACGAGAGUACUUGCAUGGAGGUCUACUCACAUGUCAAGCAAGUAACUCUAAUGGUUGGAAUAAUGUAAGUAGUCCUUAGACCUGAGGCAUCGUCGUUGUCUUGUGGCUAAGUACUUAAUCUUUGAUUAUGUCAAAGUCUCCCCAUUCGAGGGUGUCCACGGCAUGAUUGGGGUUAAGCCACUUAGUCAUGAAGGCAAGUGUAUGCACAACAAGGAAUCUCUAAUCCUCGGUAAGAGAGGAAGAAUGCUCUAAGAUAUGAUUCGAGAAUCUUCGGCCGAAGUAUCGAGUGUAUUAAAAGGAAUGCGUUCCUAUACGACUCAAAUGAAUCAUAUAAGAAGGAAUAAUCACAUUAGGGGUUUGACAUAAUAUAUCCAUACCCUAAUGAUGUGAUUGAGAGUAUUGUAUUAGAGAAGGAUCGAAUUACAUUGUAAUUCUAACUGAAUAGGUUCUCUGAAUAAACUUCUACAUUAGCUUGGGUAGCUAUGACAUAUGGUUAGAUGUCACUCAUAGCUUGUGAGUUCUUCUAGAUGAUUAAAUGUAGUCAUCAAAGAAGAAUGGUGAAUUGAAAUGAAGUUUCAAUUCACUAAGUGAUUGAAUUAAUUGAUUAGUGCCAAUUACCUCACUGCCUUGCUAAUUAGAACCUAAAAGAUUGUUCACCAAUACACUAUUGUAGUGAGUAAUUAAUGGAUGAUGGAAACAAUUAAUUGGAUUAAUUAUGUGUUGUGAUUAAUUUAGAAAAGUCUAAAGAAAUCAUAAAAGCGAUAAAGAUCGUUUUGGGCUUAAAGAAACGUUCGGGUUUAAUUGGGCCCAUUGGGCCCAAACCCAUUGGGCUUUUAUUCAAGCAUUGGAUGACUUGAAAUAAAUGAAAGCCCAAAGCCCAAACAACACAAAGAGGGCCGGCCAUAUUAGCUGUGAAGAGAGAGAGAGAGGUCAAAUGUUGACUUGUUUUCUUUUGGCUAUAAAAGGAACUUUAUAGAAAAUGUUUCAUUAGGGUUUUUUGUGUGUUUAGAACAACAAAUAGGCAAAAGAAUAUCUCUCUAAACCACAACAAAGGGCCGGCCACCUAGGGGGUGAUUUAGCUAACAAUCUUUCACCCUUUUGGUUAUUCCUUCAUCCUUCUCAUUAAACUAGUGGGUGAGGAUCUUUAGAGGUUUCCUACUUUGGAAACUUGAAGAGAACCUAGGAGCACUCAUUCUUUCAAAGUGGAGGAGGCAAGGAGGGAAGCUAGGCUGAAGGAUUUCAAGGAGCAAAUAGAUUGGAGGUGGUCCAUCCUUGGUCUAAAAUCAAGAUCAAGAGGUAUAGAUCUAUUCCUUGACUUUGUUCUUGAUUCUUUAAAAUGUUUUGAUGCAUUAUAUAUAUAAACCUAUGAACCUUGAAGGGGAUUUGCAUGACUAUAGCUUUGAUAUUAUUUGAUAUACAAUGCUUCCGUUGCUCACGUAUAUAAAAUUUUGAAUUGUAUAUGCAUGAUAGUCAUCUAGAAAUCCCACAUGAAACUCAUAAAUUUCCCUUCAAUUGGUAUAUCAGAGCCAGCCAAAGGUUUAUGUAUAAUGUGUCCUUUUGGAUUUUAUGCAUAUGGGUAUUAAUGUUAUGUAUGACAUAUUACUUUUCCAUUCAAAGUAUGUUUAUCUUUUGUUUUUCAAUAGUUGAAAAAUGUUAGUCAAAAGUUGAGAAAGAUAUGUAUGCAAAAUGUUUUGUAUGCAUGAAUGAAAAAUGAGUUUAGAACUAGAAUGACAUAUUAUUUCUUCAUUUAAAAGUAUGUUUAUCUUUUGUUUUUCAAUGGUUAAAAAAUAUAAAUCAAGAGUUGAAAAAGAUAUGCAUGUAAAAGUUGUUUUGUAUGCAUGAAUGAAGAAUAAGUCAUGAACAAAAUUUGGGGUUUUUUGUUACUUGGGGUUGGCAUGGUUUUGGCUUAGUGUUUGUGUUUUUAUUUUGAAUCACACACACACUUUAAAGCUAGAAAGUAGAAAUCUUGUCACUUUUGUUUUUGGGUUUGAAAAAUCACCAAGAACAUAUAAAUCUUGAAAAUGUGUUCAUGGUUUUGUUCUUGGUAUUCAUGGUUUGGAUUUGAUGAAAAUGGUUUUAAGUUUUUCAUGCAUUGUUUUGUGGUUUUGGAUGAUGUACAUACCAUCCAUAGCCAUUUCAAUAAUUUAUUAAAUCCUAGUCUUUAUUAGGUGUAUUUCCAUCAUCAUUUCCCUAAAGUCCUUAAAGCAUAGACAAGUGACAAAUAAAAUUUGUUUUUCUACUUUGAAAUGAUUUAAAGCAAAAUGAGUGGGAUUUUUCUAUUUCCCCUCACUUAUGGCUGGCCUACCUAAUGGAAUACCCACUUGUGGGGUAUUUUGUAAUUUAGAAAAAGACAUUUUAUACUUUUGAGUAUUUAUGGUUUGACCCCUAACUUUUUCUUAUUUGCAUUUAGGCCCCUACUAACUAGAAAGUUAAAAUAUUUUAUUUUAAUUUUGUUAGUUGUUUAAACUCAUAAUUAUAUUAUGCCCAUAUGCACUAAAUCUAAAUGUUUAUGUUGCAUUCCAUUUAAUUAUUUAAAUGUGUUUAAAUAGUUGUGAAAUGGAUGACUUUGGACUUAUGCCUUAAACGAUAAUUGAGCUAUGAGAUAAGGCGCUAAAAUCAAAUUGUUUGAACCUUGGGAAUGUGUUUUAAUUACUGUUUAAUUGGACCUUGUCACGUUUGACGUUAAUCUAUCUCUCUCCUUUUAGUAUAUGUAAUUUAUAGGAAUUUGUACAAAUCGGUUUGUAAUUCUUAUUACUUCUUAAUCUCUAUUCAUUAGUUGAUUCCCUCUAGUGCUAGACUAGAGUUUCUUUAACUAUUAGUAAGGAGACAUAACUAAAAGAAGGGUUUUGACAUGAGAUUAAAGAUUAAAUGGGUCCAACGCCCUAAUUAGCAAUGAAUGAUUGUCUUUCAUUUCUAAUGGCUCAAUGAAAAUGGUUUUAAUUGGAUUGAUAAGCACGUAAUUAAAUUGACACAACCUCCCCGAGUUUUUAUUCAACAAUGUUGGCUCGUUGUUGCAAUAACCUAAUAAGUCCAUAGUCAUCCAAGAGCCUAAGAUAACUAUAAAGUCCAAUUUCAAAGGAAUGCAAAAACCGUAGUAGUAGUAGUUACUUCCAAUAUUUGAAAAAAUCGUUUUUGAUAUUGAUUUGUUUUUCUCAAAACAAAUAGUGGAAGUAUCAUACGCUACUAAACUAUAAUGAAUACAAUUAGUAGUAAUAUAUAUCUCCAAUAUUUUGAAAAAAAUGUUUUGAUAUUGAUUUGUUUUAUGAAAACGAAUAGUGGGGAUAUUAUAUGCUACUAAUUUCAUUAACUUUGGACUAGUAGUUGUAAUAGGACAUUAUUUAUUUGAUUGUGAUUAAAUAAAUGAAAUUGAUGAGACCUUAAAAUCCCUCAACCACUCAAUAUUAAGUUGAAAACGUAAGAGUGCUUUGAACACUUUUUCGUGGCCUUCCACCAUGGUAGGCUCCAAGCGUUUAUGACUUGUACACCGCCUUCACCCUAUAAUGGGGAAGUGACAAAGUGCAUGCUUAUAUUCAGGAGGAGUUUAUUUAAAAACAUUUGAUGAGGUGAAGAUAGGCAACGAGUAUGGCCAAUAUCGUAUAAUCGUGAGGUCAUGCUUGAACCCCUAUCUAAACCAGCAUGGUGGGAAAGAACUUAACUAAGAGAAAUGGUGCCAAUAUCGUAUAAUCGUGAGGCAUUGUUCUCUAGAGGCCAAAAAGAUGGGUAAUUGCAAAAGGUUGUUGCAAAUGAGUAAGCUACUCUCUCAUUAUUAUUGUUGCUAGCCGAUAUCGUAUAAUCGUGAGGUGGGCUUGGUAAUAGUGAGCCUCCCAUAACCCGCUAGGAGCUUUCUUUGAAAUCUCCCGGAUUCCAUUAUGGGGGAUAUGGAAUUUGCCAAAAAAUGGUGGGUGGUGUCAUUCGGUUUAAAGACCCGAAUCGUUUGACUUAAUCAACAAUCAAUCUAAUUAUUUUAAUUGUUUAUGUAUAUAGAUAUGGUUGGAAGCACACUCGCGAAAAUACUCGACAAACAUUGCCUUGAGGGGCACAAUUUCCCAUCAUGGUAUCGUAAUGUCAAGAUUCUCCUAACAUUGGAGAAGAUUGUUUACGUACUAGACAAGCCUCCACCUCACAUACCUCUCGGCCCUGAGGCUACAGAGGAUGAACGUGCUAAGUUUGACAAGCACGUUGAGGAUGACACACAAGCCAAGUGCUAUCUGUUGGCUUCCAUGAAUGAGGAGCUACAGAGACAGCAUGAGGACAUGGACAGUGCAUUUUCCAUAAUACUCCAUCUUACGGAGUUAUAUGGCGAAGGGACGCGCAACCGUCGCUUUAGCACUGUCUGUGAGCUUGUGAAGACCAAGAUGGUCAAAGGGGCUCCAGUACACCAACAUGUACUGAAGAUGAUAGGAUUCAUUGAACAAUUGGAGAACCUUGGUACUCCACUUGACGGGGAAUUGGCCCAGGACUUUAUAUUGGCUUCUCUUUCUGAUUCAUUUGCGCAGUUCGUAAUGAACUACAAUAUGAAUAAGAUGGAUAGUACUCUCUCUGAGUUACUAAAUAUGUUAGUAACUGCCGAGAAGACUAUGAAGAAAGAGAACGUUGUAGGGACUGCUGCAAUAGCCUACAACAAGCCAUCCUCUUCCAAGGCCAUGCCGCAAGGCAAAGGCAAAGGGAAGGAGAAGAAGUCACCCACUCCUAAGCCGAAAGGAGGAGUGAAGAAAAAGAAGGCAAUGGAGCCCAAAGGGACUUGCCACCACUGUGGAAAGGAGGGGCAUUGGAGGAGGAAUUGCAAGUUAUAUCUUGCAAGUCUUAAGGACAAACCACAAGGUAUGGUUUAUGAUCCUAUCUUCAAUUCUAAAUAUUAGAUCUUCUAAAUAUUUAUAUUUGAUAUAAAGAGCUAAUCACUUGUAUAAUUGUAUAUAGGUGGAGAAGCCAAGUAGAAGAAGAACAAGCAAAGAAAAUGUGGUAAAGGGUUCGGCUACUAUGUUUUUUUUUUUUUUUGCUCACUACUUAGGAAGUUUGUUAGGCAUUAAAGAUUGUCUUUAAACUUUCUUAUUUUGAUAAGAACUUAUUAUGUGGCUUCAUAUGAUGGAAGACCACUAUUAAUGCCUAAAUGUAUAAAGGUAUUUAUAUUAGUCUCUAAAUGUUUAGAGCUAAUAAUUAUUGUAUUAAACAUUAUGAAUGUUUGAAUUAUCAUGUAAUGUGAUGAAUGCCUUUUUUAAUAUACUAUUUCCUUAAAGAAGUGUUAUGAAUUGAAAAUUGUCUUGUUGUAUCCUAGAUGAGAUACAAGAGUUAUAUCACAAAUGAUAUAAGUAAUAAGAAAAAGGUUUCUUAUAAGGUUAAUCACUUAAAUCACAAUGAUCAAGAUCACUCUUGAUUCAAUUAGUAGUUUUGAACAAUAUAUUGGGCAUUCUUUAAAAUUGUUUUAAAAUGUCAAUUGUGUUAGUGAUGAAACCAAGAAAGAAGUGUCUAAAUCUAUAAAAUGUUUAAAGACUUUAGUCACUUAAAUAACAAGACAUUAACUUAGUGAAGAUUGAAACAAAUAAGCUUGAAAUGUUUUAAGCUACUACACAAUGUCUUCUUCCAAUAUAUUCCAAUUUUAUGCAUUUUAAAUGUAUAAAGUGAUUUCUCAUUAAAGUCAUGAGAAAUAGUGGGAGGUGUGAAAAUGGAUAUAAACUUGAAUGUGAUUGGUUUAUAGUUGUCUAAAUGAAUAAUAGUACUUGACUAUUAUUAAGAGUUUGUAAUUUUAAUUGUUAAAAGAACUCAAGCUCUUCAAACGUUAAAAUUCUAUGUUGUGAGACAUUUGAAGAAUAGUCUUUGAAUGUUGGUUUCGUCAACCUAGCAUAAAAUGGUUAUAUGUUGGGAGUUGUCCAUCAUUCUCUUUUUAUGAGAACAAGCUAAUAACAAAGCAUAUGGACAAGUUGAUGAAACAAAAGGGAAUAAGUUUCAAAAUGAGUCACAACAUAUAGUUUAACAACAAGACAAUCCAAAUUCGACAUCUCAUGUAACGAUAUUGCUCUAUGAAGUUUUGAUAAAGAAUUAAAACAACCACCUAGAAGGAAUGGUUGAGUUUCUAUGUCAUUAGAAGGAGCUAUGUUCUACUAAAGACUUAGAUAAUUCUUAUAUGACUACAUUAAAGGUCUUAGUAUGACUAAAACGUGAAAUAUGACACCAUAUGAUUUAAAUGAAUAGACUUAAUGAAACAAGUCACACAUUUUGGAAUUACUUGAGAAGGAAUUCUUUUGUGUAUGAUUCAUUUAAGUUAAUGGGAGCAAUAUGCAUUCAAAUCAAGAAAUUAUAAUUGUUAAUUUUGAAGGAAUGCUAAGUUACAAACAAGGCCAGUGGGAGUGAUGUCAUAAUUUGAGCAACAAAGAUAUGAAUAAAGUCUAUUUGAUAGACUUACUUAAACAUAGAUGUUACUCGAAAAAUGACAAAAUAUGACACGGUCAAUUUUGAAGUACAGACUUGAAAUUGGACUUAUUGAUAUAGCAAGGCUAUUUCAAUAAUGUUAUAUGGAAUUGAAUCUCAGAUGUUGGAGAUUUAAGAAAGCAUUUUACUAUAUGAUAGAAAAUCACUUUCAUAACCCUUAUAAUGAAUGUGUCAUAAAAUCACAAAAAGGGACACAUGUAUUGACUUGUGAAGUAGAUAUCCAAAGAUGAAGAAACCACACGGGUUGUCACUUUAAGAUAUUACUAUAUCCCAGGAUCAGAACCAAAGCAACUGAUAGAGUAUUAUUGCCUUUAAGAAAGAAACAUCAGAGUGGGACUCUGGAAGCGUGCAUUCACUUAGGUUGAUUAACCAAAGUGAAAGAUAAGCCAUUUUAACAAAUGGAACUUCAUAAUGGAUGAAGUACUAAUCAUAUGAAUGAAUUGUUAGUAUUACUACAAUGGUCUCAAGAUUGGAGCACAGUUUGUAUAAAGUAUACAAACGAAAUAUAUGUCGAUAUAUAGUUUUAGAAACUGCUUCAAAAGGUGUUUUGAAUGAAGAGGUUCUUAUAGAACCAAUGAUUGAAUCCAAACCAUAAGGUCGUUAGUAGGAUACUACGACGUAAUGGGGCGAUAGCUCAAGCCAUGGAAUCAAGGUCUCAUCAAAAUAUUCGAACACGAUGAAGAGACAUCAUCAAAUGUUUUUGGAAACAUUUGAUAAGUAAAUCCCUUUUAAAUAAUAAAAGGAAUUAAUACAUAACCAAGUUAACCUACGACCAUAAGCUCUCUCAGCUAAGAUGUAUAAGAUACACUAGUGAUUGACUUUAGUGCAAGUGGGAGAUUGUUGGAAAUAUGCCCUGAAAGUCAAUCUUUGGAAGAAAUCUUUCAGGACAAAUGAAUGGAUGUAUGGAUGAAUCUUAUACAUCAAAGGCAAAAACACGAAUUAGGACUAUCUCAAUGAACGAUAUAUGUCCUAAAUAGUGUAUCCAUGGACAAUAGAUUGAUUAAAGAAGUAAUCUAAUGAUGUUAGAUUACAGAGACCUUCUUCAUGUAACCAAAUGUCCAAAAGGUUCCUAGUCAUUGGAUUGUCGGAGGGAUACUGACAAUACGUAGACUGGUACAUACUGUGUCUGCUUCAAAUGGAAGGAUGGAAAGUCUCAUCCCAUUCGUGUUGUGACACUAAGACAAGUAUGUAGGUGCUCAUUUGGGGAAUGAGUUCACUGAACACAAUCGAACGAGAGUACUUGCAUGGAGGUCUACUCACAUGUCAAGCAAGUAACUCUAAUGGUUGGAAUAAUGUAAGUAGUCCUUAGACCUGAGGCAUCGUCGUUGUCUUGUGGCUAAGUACUUAAUCUUUGAUUAUGUCAAAGUCUCCCCAUUCGAGGGUGUCCCACGGCAUGAUUGGGGUUAAGCCACUUAGUCAUGAAGGCAAGUGUAUGCACAACAAGGAAUCUCUAAUCCUCGGUAAGAGAGGAAGAAUGCUCUAAGAUAUGAUUCGAGAAUCUUCGGCCGAAGUAUCGAGUGUAUUAAAAGGAAUGCGUUCCUAUACGACUCAAAUGAAUCAUAUAAGAAGGAAUAAUCACAUUAGGGGUUUGACAUAAUAUAUCCAUACCCUAAUGAUGUGAUUGAGAGUAUUGUAUUAGAGAAGGAUCGAAUUACAUUGUAAUUCUAACUGAAUAGGUUCUCUGAAUAAAACUUCUACAUUAGCUUGGGUAGCUAUGACAUAUGGUUAGAUGUCACUCAUAGCUUGUGAGUUCUUCUAGAUGAUUAAAUGUAGUCAUCAAAGAAGAAUGGUGAAUUGAAAUGAAGUUUCAAUUCACUAAGUGAUUGAAUUAAUUGGAUUAGUGCCAAUUACCUCACUGCCUUGCUAAUUAGAACCUAAAAGAUUGUUCACCAAUACACUAUUGUAGUGAGUAAUUAAUGGAUGAUGGAAACAAUUAAUUGGAUUAAUUAUGUGUUGUGAUUAAUUUAGAAAAGUCUAAAGAAAUCAUAAAAGCGAUAAAGAUCGUUUUGGGCUUAAAGAAACGUUCGGGUUUAAUUGGGCCCAUUGGGCCCAAACCCAUUGGGCUUUUAUUCAAGCAUUGGAUGACUUGAAAUAAAUGAAAGCCCAAAGCCCAAACAACACAAAGAGGGCCGGCCAUAUUAGCUGUGAAGAGAGAGAGAGAGGUCAAAUGUUGACUUGUUUUCUUUUGGCUAUAAAAGGAACUUUAUAGCAAAUGUUUCAUUAGGGUUUUUUGUGUGUUUAGAACAACAAAUAGGCAAAAGAAUAUCUCUCUAAACCACAACAAAGGGCCGGCCACCUAGGGGGUGAUUUAGCUAACAAUCUUUCACCCUUUUGGUUAUUCCUUCAUCCUUCUCAUUAAACUAGUGGGUGAGUAUCUUUAGAGGUUUCCUACUUUGGAAACUUGAAGAGAACCUAGGAGCACUCAUUCUUUCAAAGUGGAGGGGGCAAGGAAGGAAGCUAGGCUCAAGGAUUUCAAGGAGCAAAGAGAUUGGAGGUGGUCCAUCCUUGGUCUAAAAUCAAGAUCAAGAGGUAUAGAUCUAUUCCUUGACUUUGUUCUUGAUUCUUUAAAAUGUUUUGAUGCAUUAUAUAUAAACCUAUGAACCUUGAAGGGGAUUUGCAUGACUAUAGCUUUGAUAUUAUUUGAUAACAUGCUUCCGUUGCUCACGUAUAUAAAUUUUGAAUUGUAUAUGCAUGAUAGUCAUCUAGAAAUCCCACAUGAAACUCAUAAAUUUCCCUUCAUAUACCCCCCAACAAAAUGGCGUUGUUGAACGCAAACAUCGUCAUCUUCUUGAAACCGCUCGCGCACUUCGUUUUCAAUCCCAUCUUCCUCUCAAAUUUUGGGGUGAAUGUGUCCUUACUGCUACUUAUCUCAUCAAUCGUCUCCCAACCCGUAUUCUCCAUAAUAAAUCCCCCUUUGAGGUUCUCUUUUCAAAAACCCCAUCUUAUGACCCCUUCCGCGUCUUUGGUUGUCUGGCCUAUGCCACCUCUAUCACUCCCACCACCAAAUUUUCCCCUCGGGCUCAUCAUUGCAUUUUUCUUGGUUACCCUCAUGGACAAAAAGCCUAUACCCUUUACGAUCUCGACCAUCACCGUAUUUUCACUAGUAGAGAUGUCGUCUUUCACGAAGAUACUUUCCCUUAUGCCGUUCCUAACCCUCAUAUCCCAUCCACUUCGCCUACGCUACCCAUCCCACCCCCUCUGGAAUUUUCAUAUACCCCACCCCUCCCUGCCCCGACACCUCACCCUCCUACCACUUCAUCCACUUCCACGCCUCCCACAGAUUCCCUUGCUGCCCCCUUACCCGUUCCUCCACCUGCCCAUGCCCUCUCGGCAUCCCCUCCUUCCCCCACCGCUACUUCCUUACCUUUCACCCAUUUACCCACGGACAUCCCUACCCCCCCCCCCCCACUUCCUACCAAUCCUCCCAUUCCCCGCACCUCUUCCCGUGCCCAUAAACCUCCUUCCUAUUUAAAAGACUACGUUUACUCGCAGGUGAUUCUGCCAUCCCACCAAUCUUCAAAUUCGCAACCCGGUUCUACACAAGGUACGCGAUAUCCACUUUGUAAUUUUCUUUCUUAUCACCGUUACUCUCCCAGGCAUUUUUCCUAUAUAAACUCUGUCAGUCGGACUGUGGAACUUUCCUCCUUUGCCGAGGCUGCCACUGACCCCAAUUGGCAACGUGCUAUGACUGAGGAGCUUCAAGCUUUACAUGCUAAUGGUACUUGGACUUUAACUUCCUUUCCCCCUGGCAAAAUUCCCAUUGGUUGUAAAUGGGUGUACAAACUCAAGUACAACUCCGACGGCUCUAUUGAGCGCUACAAAGCUCGUUUGGUUGCUAAAGGCUUCACUCACGCUGAAGGUAUUGAUUAUCAUGACACUUUUUCUCCUACUGCUAAGAUGAUUACGGUGCGUUGUCUUCUUGCUCUUGCUGCUAGUCAGUCUUGGUCUCUUCAUCAGCUUGAUGUUAAUAAUGCUUUCUUACAUGGUGACUUACAUGAAGAAAUCUAUAUGUCUCCUCCUCCUGGUCUUCGGCGACAGGGGGAGAAUCUUGUGUGUCGCCUUCACAAGUCACUUUAUGGUCUUAAGCAGGCUUCUCGCCAAUGGUUUGCCAAAUUCACUAGUGCCAUCAUUUCUGCUGGUUUUCAACAAUCCAAAGCUGACUAUUCAUUGUUCACUAAAAAGUCUGGUAUUUCUUUCACAGCUUUGCUCAUUUAUGUGGAUGAUAUUGUGAUUACAGGCAAUGAUGUUAGUGCCAUUAAUUCUCUGAAGUCUUUUCUCCGUGAUCAUUUUCGGAUAAAAGACCUUGGUGAUUUAAAAUAUUUUUUGGGUAUUGAGGUUUCUCGUUCCAAACAAGGGAUUUAUAUUUCUCAACGCAAGUAUGCAUUAGAGAUUCUCAAGGACUAUGGUUUUUUGGGAGCACGACCCAUUGCUUUUCCUAUGGAUGACACAAAAUUAUCUGAUAAAGGAGAACUUCUCAAGGAUCUUGAAAGGUAUCGACGAUUAGUAGGUCGGUUAAUAUAUCUCACUAUAACUCGGCCGGAUAUCACCUAUUAUGUGCAUGUUCUAAGCCGUUUUAUGCACGAGCCAAGGAUAUCUCAUAUGGAUGCUGCGUUUCGUAUUGUUCGUUAUUUGAAGGCUACUCCAGGUCAAGGUUCAUUAUUUCGUUCUGACAACCAGACCAAGUUAACUGCGUUUUGUGAUUCUGAUUGGGCAGGUUGUCCUAUCACUCGCCGUUCGACUACUGGGUAUUGUGUAUUCUUGGGCGGUUCUUUGAUUCCAUGGCAGACGAAACGGCAGAAAACUGUUUCGCUCUCUUCAGCAGAGGCAGAAUAUAGGGCUAUGGCAGGUGCUUGUUGCGAGAUAGUUUGGCUUCGUUUUUUGUUGAAGGAUUUGAACAUUCCCUUGGUUGGUCCUUCCGUUUUAUUUUGUGAUAAUCAAGCAGCGUUACAUAUAGCUGCCAAUCCUGUUUUUCAUGAACGAACUCGUCACAUUGAGAUGGAUUGUCACUUUAUACGAGAUAAGAUUGUAGAUGGCACAAUAGAGACCAAGCAUGUGGGUACGGCACAACAGUUGGCAGACUUGUUUACCAAACCUCUUGGGAAAGAAAAGUUUUCGAGUAUGUUACGCAAGUUGGGAGUUCUUGAUAUCCACUCUCCAACUUGAGGGGGAGUGUUAGACAAAUAAGGAAUAUGGUUGGAGUCCUUGUGUAAUUGUAGUCCUAAUUGUAGUUGUAUUCCUAAUUUGUAGGGAAUUUUCCUUGCUAUGCAAGGCAUGUAAUUGUAUAUAAUAUCAUUCACGUAUCAAUAACAAAUAUGCUUUUUAGCCUACAUACCUUUUUCUACAAUCCACACACCCCAUUUUACUUCUCACACGCCCCUUGAUAAUUCUGUCCGUUGAUCUUCUUCAAUUCAUCCGAUCCGACAGCCGAAAAUUAAAAGAUGUGUGAGAAGUAAAAUGGGGUGUGUGGAUAUCACACCCCUUCAAAAAUUGUCCGUGUAGGACGUUCGUUCUUUUGUCUUCAUUUUCGUUCACUUGAACAUAUAUAUAUGAUCAUUUCUUCACACUUACAGGGAUGGCAGAAUCAAAUUAUUUGGCAAAGAUAACACCCAAGCUCUACUUGAGUCUGUCAAUGCAGUUCCAAGCAAGUUUUUACAGGUUUUGUACCAAUAUUACGUGUUACUUUCUUCGAUUUCCAACUGUUUUGUUUUAGUUUCCAUGUCAAUGUAAUGAAAUUUAGCGACCCUUUUGUUCGUCUUGAAAAGUAUAGCAGACGGUUCUUUCGUACGAUGAUUUGAUAGUCUGAUAUAAAUGGUGAUGUUUGUGUUCAGUUUAUGCAUAACCAAGGCAUACUUCUAAAUGUAAAUACCAAGAACCACACUGAGGCAAGUUUCUACGCUAUGCUUUCCUCUGAUAUAAUUUUCGUUGUUCGAUGAAUGAAUGAUCAAAACGUUGUUUUUGGCAAUGUUUAUCUACUGCAUUUUAAUAAUUAUUUUGCAAUGUUGUGCUUAGGUUUGGGACAUAAACUUAUUCUAAAAUAAUUACAAUCAAAACAUACACUAGUCUAAGACAUUACAAACUUAGGCAUUUGAGGAGGAACUACCAAUUUUACACUAACACAAGCCUCUAUUGAUCAUAGUAGUUGUCAAGAUACGUUGGCGUAAUCUUCUGGAAAAUGUUGGCAGGAAUCAACAAGUGCCACCAGGUGCUCGACAAAAUUGUUCGAUGAAGUUGUGGGCAUUCGUUUUGUUUGUUUUUUUUGUUUUUUGUCGCAACUAUGACUUCAUUAUUUGAAACUGUUCGGGAUAAUUUAAAAAAAUAAAUCUUUGAAAUAUAUGAAGCGUUCUUGCCGGUAAUAACCUUCAUAAAUAUUCAGCUCAGAUAAUGCAUGUGUUUUUAUUGGAGAAGCUGUUUAUAUCUCAAAACAUCGUUGUUCACAUGUGAUGACAUGUCAUGGCAUGCAUUUUGCCAACAUUUUGCGCACUUGACAUGGCUUGUCAGGGCUUGUCUUGACACGGUAAACUCGCAUCGUGGCAUGCCAAAACAUUGUUGUUGGCCACAACAUGACAAGCGUCGCGAGUUGUCAGCAUAAUGUAUGUCAUGACACGCCAUGAAUUCUCUCUAUAAACCAUAAUUCUCUGCUUGGUUUCUUGGAAAAUUUAGGAAAUUGAAAUUAAGAAUUUGGAGAGGAGAGAAAGAAAGGCUUACGUACAUGAUCGGCGAGUGUUUGAGCCGGUUUAUCAGAGAGAAUUCGUGUUGUCCACAUGUGUUCCACAUCACUCAAUUUGUAUUAUCCACAUGUUUGGCUUAAAAAUUCGCCACACAUGAGGAGGCGUGUGAAAAUGUGAAGGUAAAAGAGUCGCACAUUGGAAAAAAUGAGAAACUUUGCAAGGGCUUAUAAGUAAGUUGGGCUACCCCUCAUAUUGCCAAUUGAUUUUAUGGUGGAACUUCAAUUUUCUUCAUGGUAUCAAUUUGAGUUGAGAAAGAGGACAAUGGCGACUCCCACGCAAAUUCCCAAAACUACCCACAAAUGCAAACCGAAAAUAGAGGUCAUCUUCAAGAGCUAGGCGUUCAAUAACGAGUACCCGGGCAUUGUAGACUGUAAUUUCACUCCUCCUUCCUCACAGAAGAAGAAAAAAAAGAAGAUAAUGAGGAAAUUGAGAAUUUAAGGUCGUAAGCUCAGCUCAUAGUAACUGGGGGAUGAGAGAGAACGUGAAUUAGAUGAUGAGAAUGCUCCAGUCAUGCCUUCGUCACCCAUCCGAGUGAUGGCCAACACACCUCAAUUUCGGUGCCAACUAAAAUUCAGAUCGGGAUGUGUCAUAGUACACCAAAUUCCAAUCUCUUUUUAUUGUUGCAAAGUUACUUAUUACAUUUAGUAAAUGAAUGACUGGUUGGAUUAUAAGGACUGCAUCUAACGGAUACAUAAAUACUAGAGUUACAUAUGGGUGACGGAAAAGAAGAAAAUGUGAAGAAAAAAAAUUGGAAAAUUAUAGUAUGUAAUUUUAUUUUUGAUAUUUUAUUAAUUGUGAAAUUAUAUAUAUAUAUAUAUAUAAACUACUAAAAAAAAUGAUAGCCUAGUAGGGCGCCUAUUCAUCUAUCCUCAGGGCCGGCCUUGCCCUCUAUUAUACAAGGUUCUUUGUGUGUGUCUCUAAGAAAAAAUUAGUUGUUUUGUAACCCUCUAUGCAAUUAACAUUAAAAAAAAAGUAGUUAGCUCGAAUACCCCCACAGCCAUAUUUCAAGCGCAAGUGUUCACUCAAACCCCGUUCGAAGUUGCUUGUGUAAACACAUGUGUUCCUAAGCACUUUCGAUAGAACCACAUUUCAUUAAAAAUCUUCUUGAAGCAUCCAGCAUUUUAAAAUUAUGCCAUAAUUUCGCCACAAAAUCACCUUUAAAGUCGGCCACAAAUGGAAUCAAAUACUUCAUAGGUUAUACUGAUUUUUUUGGUUAAAUAUUUUCUUCAUCUUAUUAUUUGCACAAAGUCAUAAUUAAAAAGAUUAAUGAUUUUCCUCUAAUAGUUUCUCUUUUGUUGGUUAAGAAAAUAUUUAAGCAGAAAAACCUCACAAUUAAAUCUCAAGCGCAAGUGUUACUCGAUCCUCGUUUGAGAAUGCUUGCGUAAGUACUCAUGUUCCUAAGCAUUUUAGCAGAAGCACUUUUGAUAAAAGCACUUUUGAUAAAAGCACAUUUUAUUAAAAAUCACAAUAUAUUAUACAAAAAAACAAUAGUUUAUCUAAAUUUCUAUCACAAAAUAUAUUCUGAAGUGAAAUAAAAAUUAGGAUUAAAAUUAGGAAGAAAAGGAGAAAUAAAAUAUCUUAUUAUGAGAUGAUUAAAUGUAUGAUAGCAUGUACGUUGAGUUAAGGGACUAAAAUUAUUUUAAAUCUUACACAAUAUUUUAGUCGAAAAUUGAUUUCUUUUAAAGACUACAAUGAAGUUUUCUACAAUAUUAAUUUUGGAGUAUUUAUAAACUGUGUGUUUAGCUAAACGUUAUUAUAAGGUCAUCUCCAACAGAAAAGGUUAAAAAUAGUCUCAUUCAGAAUUAUAGUCAUGCAAGAAAUAAUUUUUAAAUGAACAGUAUUAUAUCAUACUCAUAUACCAUCUCCAACUGAAAAGCGGCUAAACAUAGCCCCCUCAACAAUUUAUUAUUUUUAAUUUAAACUUGUAAGUGAGGUUUUUAGUUCGAUUCUCGCCAAAGGCAAAUUCGAACUAUAUUAUUAUGACCAUGGUUUUAAAUAUCGAUAAUCUCGACGAUAUUAUUGGUUUUUUGCUUUACCGAUAUUUUUAUAGGUAUCCAUGAAGUUUUCGUCAAAAUAUCGCGAUAUUAUCGAUAAUACCGAUAAUAUCGCGUAAUUACCGAUAAUAUCACAAAAUUACCGAUAAUAUCUCGAAAAACUUCAAAAAUACUUAAAAUACUCAAAAUAUUAAACUAACAAGAACAGACCCCACAUCUGAUCUUAGCCAAAAGACCGACAAAACAAUGCAUUCGUCAGCUUUGGAAUGUGGUUUUUAUAGACAUGUUUGCUUGCUCACUUCUAUUGCAUGGCCGAUGUGGGAUGAACUAGCUUUUAUAGACUUGUUGGCUUGCUGAGUUCAAUUGCACGGCCGAUGUGGGAUAUGCUUUGCUUGUCAAGUCGGCCCUGGCUUGGUUAUAUCCAUCAAGGACAUUUUCUCUUAACACCCCUAUUUAAUGAAACUGUGAUUCCACUGAGGUACACCCCUAGAAAGUUUAUCAUUCAGCUCAAACGAAAGUUUUUGGUAAUUAUUGAAAGUGAUCAAGGAGCGUUCACAGCAGAUCUAUGAUUCCCGUUCUCGAUUCUUGGGACUAAGAGCACCAAAGCUAUUUUCUAUUAGUGUGUAAGAAAAGUUCCAAAUCGGAGAGUUAAUUAAGAAAUUCAUCACAAAGUUUAUUAGGAGUUGUGUCAUAACUCUUAUUGCCAAUUAAUUUUGGGGUUGAAACCUUAGUUUUCUUCAUGGAUCUAGAGCAUAUAUGCUUGCAUAUUAAAGGAAGUUGAGUUUCCACUAUAAAAAGUUAUUACAAAUAGUUACCACACCCAAUACUACAUGUAUGUUUGGGUGAGAGACUCCCAAACUACAAGGCAUGCAUUUUAGGCAAAUGAAGAAGAAAUCUGUCGCACAAAGUUAAAUAAGAGGAAUUAGAAAUGUAUCACAUGAACAUUACAAAGAUAUGUAAAAGAAAUUUGUUAAUGACUCAUUUUAAGCAGUCAUUUGCAAAUCCCUCACGUGUUGCAUUUCUAAUCUCGCAUAUCUAUCUUUUUGUGAUUCAUUUCUUCAUGACUAUGUCUAAAUUCUCCUAAAAUUCCUCUCUUAGAUCUUAAGUGCCCCUCUUUUUUUUGUUUCUCACUCACUCAUGUCUAAAUCUUGUCGAGUUGCAUAUAUUUAGUUGUACAAAUGAGCAUUAAAUUGUUAAUAUCAUGCAAUGUAUAAAGUGUAAAAUAUUAUACUAAUUCAUUAUAUAAAUGAUUAUGGUGUGUUUAAACUUCUUUCAUUAAUUACUACAUAUUUUCUACACUCACAAUGUUUGCCAGCUCGCUAUAUAAUCAACUUGAUAAUGUUAAAUCCAUCAUGCAAUGCAUUUCUUUCUAAUUUUUUGUGAUAAACUAAUAGAUAAUUGACUAAAUAAACAUCCUGCAAAGUUUCAAUAAAAAUUUCCAAGUUUUUCUUACAAUUUCCGUGGUUUCCAUGUAAUUUUUAUCGAUAUCGAUAUUAUCCCGAUAUUUUCAUCGAUAUUUCCGUGUUUUCGAACUAUCGAUAUUUCCGAUAUUACCGAUAUUUAAUACCUUGAUUAUGACUAGCCUACUGUGAGACUUAGUCUACUCCCCACUCCUUAGUGUAGAUAAUAUUAUAUAUAUUAAAAAAAAGUUUAUAGUUUAAAUUUAUUGGUUAAUUUAAUUAAACUACUGUUGGAUAUUUUCAAACUUGACCAUUAAAUUUAAAUCAAUCAUUGCACCAGAAGAGUUUGACCCCCAAAAAAAGGACUUAGAGGAGGCUAUAUUUGGCCAACUUUAUGCCUUUUUGGCUAAAAAUAAUGGCCCAGUGAAUUCCAUAUAAUUAUAACCCAGUAAUCCACUGAAGAUAGAUUUUUAAACAAAUAAGAUCAUUUUUUGGUUUUUGGACCUUUAGUCAUCUCUAUUGGAUAUGGCCUCAGAAAAUUUAACUAAGGACCAGUAACAAUGAACAAUAAAAAAUUAAGGACUAGUUUAGUUACGAUCCCUGACCCCUAACUGUUAUAUACUCAAACCUUAUGCAUUUUAGGUUUUAGAUUGAAGUCCCUCUUCUACCACAUAAAUGACAUAGUAUUAAAAGAGAUACAAUGAUCCCAAUAAAGACGCAAACCGUUAUUUUGCUUUCAUUUUCACUACCAAUUUAAUUAUUGAAAUUUGCUUAUGGGUUUCAACAACAAAAAAAAAAAUUGUUUAUGGGUGCAUUCUAGAUUUAUUUUUAUUUUUAUAAAAUAUGAGUUCAUUUAUAUAAGGGACAUUUUACAUAUAAAAGUUUGGUACAUUUAUAUAAAAAAUUUGGGUACAUUUGACAUACAAAAAAUGGGCACGUUUUAUAUAAAUAAAUGCGUACAUUUUAUAUAAAAAUAAUAAUGGGUACAUUUUAGAUCUUGCAUAAGGUCACGAGUUUUGGGCAUUCGCCAAAAUAAACCUGAAUCAGAUCUUGCAACCCGUAUAUAUGAUGUAAUGAUGUACCUGAAAUGUUCUCACAUUCAUUUGCUUUCAAUCUUUGAAGCCCACUAAGAUAUGCAAUUGAUGAAGGCAAUUCUCUUAUGCCACUUUGUCGUAUAUCCAAAUCCAUUAGAGAUUCCAUCUUGCCCUCUUCUAUUUCUGACCUUUUAGAUAAAGUCAUUCAAUUCCUUUAGUUACAUAUCAAGGACUUGAAAAUAGAGAUCCACACGAUAGUAAUGGAAGUUUGUGAUUUUUGGAACUUUACGCCUUGAUUUUUCAAGUACGAAAUGCAAAUCCUCCAUGUUAGGAACGAUAAUAUCAUGCUCCUCACAAAACAUUUCUACAUCAUGAACCAAGUCCCCAAAGUCAUCAUCCCUCAAGGAUUGUAGUCUUUGCUUGCAUACUUCCAAUAAGCAUACAAAUUAUUCGAUAAAUAAAAAUUCAAUUCAACUAAUCAUAUGAAUAAUUGUAUACAUAAUAAAUUAUGUAAUAAUUCAAUUAAUUAAUCAAUAAUCAAGAAUUCAAAUUUUAAUUUUUACCCUAAAACAUAAUUUCAUAAUUUCAUAUCAAUAAUCAUAGAAUCAUAUCAAUAACCAAUAACCAUAUUAGUGCAUUGAGUGCAUUACCAUAUGAUUCUAUAUGAAUUAAACAAAAUUCGUUUUAAAUAAUUAAUUAGGGUUAGGGAUUAUAAAUUUAGGAAUUAAAAAAUUUACCUAAAGAGUGGCUUUGAAGGUUGGAAGCUGACAGCCGGAGAAUGGCUGCCCUGUAGUGGCUAGCGACUGGCAUGACAGCAAAUGGCCAAACGGUGGGUGGGUGCUGAUUGGGAAUUUUCGUUCUGUUUUGUGCUUCGAAUUGAGGAGCAGCGGCUGCCCUUUUGCUGCUCUGAUUGGAGGUUGAAAAGGGGAAAACUGAGAGACUGAAUGGAAUGGGGGAACACACAGUCCCCUCAUAUAAUUUUUUUUUCCAACUUAUCGAAACGGCGCCGUUUUUUUUUUCCAACUCAGCUGCAGCCCAGAACCAGACAAACCGAAGACAAAGAGCAGCAGCAGAACCGGUGGGUUUUCCAGCGAGAGGAGGGGCAAAACUAGUGCUCCAGUCUUGUUUUUCCGACGAAGAGAGUGGCGACCACCACUCCUCGCCUUCACAUGGCUUCGCAUUGAUGGUGGUCGCAACUCACAAGUCGCCAAAAAGAAGGAAAUGAAGACGGAGUUGAGUCGGUGAAUUGGUGGUGAUGUGCAGAUGCAUGAAUGACUAGGAGAAAGAGAUGACAAAGGAAAAGAGUGAGUCUAAAAUUCAACGGUGGAGAUAAAUCCAAUCCAAUCCAACAUUAGCAAUGGUUCAGAUCGAGGUCCCACUACCAUAAUUUCUGGAAUCUGCCAUGCCCCGUUCGCCCACCCCUAAUGAAUAGAGAAGGGAGAGACGGUUGGAUGGGAACGAGGGGCGAGGUAGGAGAGGCCCAUAUUUUUUACUCUUUUUGUAUUUUUUUUUAAAUUUUGUUAAUUUUUACUUUUUUUAGUAUCCACGUGGCCCAAUAUUGACACGUGGUAAAGAGUCUAAUAGUAAUUGUACAGUUGGAAUUUGUUAGCCAACUGCUAUGUGUAAUUAGUUGUAAAUGUUAGGGUCAAUUUUGUCAACUGAAUUGUAUCUAUAUAUACUGAAAUGUGUGUAUUGUUCAGUAGGUCAAUCAAAUGAGAAGAAGCAUUUUUCACACCUCUGAGUUUUCAUACAAGCUAAGAUUCAAUAUGGUAUCAGAGCUAAUUUAACAUCAACCUUAAGGGACAUUUUUCACACCUAAGUUUUCUUACAAGCUAAGAUUCAAUAUGGUAUCAGAGCUGAUUUAACAUCAACCUUAAGGAACGUAUUUUUCACACCUUUGAGUUUUCUUACAAGCUAAGAUUCAAUAUGAUAUCAUAAUUGAAAUGUGUGGCACCCAGUCAUUGUCUACGUGUGCGCCAUGUCACCAAUUAACAGCUGAUUUAAUAUCAACCUUAAGCUAUCUCCAACCGAAUGGUUGGAUUAUAAGGACUGCAUGUGACGGAUAGAGAAAUACUAGAGUUACAUAUGGGUGACGGAAAAGAAGAAAAUGUGAAGAAAAAAAAUUGGAAAAUUAUAUUAUUGCGUAUAAUUUUAUUUUUGAUAUUUUAUUAAUUGUGAAAUUAUAUAUAUAUAUAUAUAUAUAUCACAUCCCGGGCUUGACUCCACUGUAGCACGAUAUUGUCCACUUUGGGCCCCGACCACGCCCUCACGGUUUUGUUUCUGGGAACUCACACAAUAACUUCCCAGUGGGUCACCCAUCCUGGGAAUGCUUUCGCCCGAACUCGCUUAACUUUGGAGUUCCGAUGAAACCCGAAGUCAUUGAGCUCCCAAAAGGCUUCGUACUAGGUAGAGAUGAGAAUAUACAUAUAAAGCUUACAGGAUCCACUCCCUUGGGCAAUGUGGGAUGUUACAAUCCACCCCCCUUAGGGGCCCGACGUCAUCGUCGACACACUUCCGGCCAAGGAUUGGCUCUGAUACCAAAUUAUCAUAUCCCAGCCCGGGCCCCCACCACAUCCUAGGCUUGACUCCACCGUAGCACGAUAUUAUCCUCUUUGGGCCCCGAUCAUGCCCUCACUAUUUUAUUUCUGGGAACUCACACGAGAACUUCCCAGUGGGUCACCCAUCCUAGGAAUGCUCUCGCCCGAGGUCGCUUAACUUUGGAGUUCCGAUGGAAUUCGAAGCCAUUGAACUCCCAAAAAGCCUCGUACUAGGUAGAGAUGAGAAUAUACAUAUAAGGCUUACAGGAUCCACUCCCCUGGGCGAUGUGGGAUGUUACAAUCCACCCCCCUUAGGGCCCCGACAUCCUCGUCGGCACACUUCCGGCCAGAGAUUGGCUCUGAUACCAAAUUGACACAUCCCAGCCCGGGCCCUCACCACAUCCCUGAAUGAUUUAUUUUGAAAAACAUGUUCAUUUGAGCAACAUCAUAUAGCAUGCAAUUAACAAUUAAAGGCGGAAUCAUGCUUGCAUGCACUCAAAAACAAAACAUUACCAUGAAAUUCAAAGCCUAGUAGAUUGGUGAACCAAUAAUCAACUACAAAACAAAGUGAGUUGAAAUUAUUACCUUUGUAGAUUCCUCUUUGCAUAAGCAAAGGCUAAUCACCCAAAGAGAUAGGGCCUUCAUUCCUUGCUUCUUAGAUCCAUGGAUUUGGAUGGAAAAUAGGUUUCUCCAAGUUCCCAAAAUAGGGAACCUCUAAGUCUCUUCACCAAGGUUUGAUUGUAGAAGAAAUGAGUGACCUUGGAGUAGUAGGAUUGCUAGAUGUACCCUCCAAGGUGUUGGCCUCUUUAGAGAGAAAAUGGAGAGACAAUUCUCACCAAUUUUCCCCCAAAAUAAACCCUUAAUCACUUAAUGAAUAUUUGGCUAUAAAAUCAUUUUAUAUAGUCACUUCUUUAAGUGACCUAAACAACCAAAACCCUAAUUCAUUUCAUCAUGGCCGGCCAUUUAGGGGAUUUUGGGCUUUUGGGCUUUAAUGAAUCUUCAUUCAUUAAAUUGUCAUACAACUUAAGUUAAUGGGCUUGACGUUCGAAGCCCAUUGGGCCUUAAGGUCCAAAACUAUCCCGAAGUCUUUAACGAACUUAUUCGUUUGAUUAAUUAACAUAUUAAUUAAUCCUUGCCAUAAUUAAAUGAUUAAACCAUUUAAUCAUUCUUACUCACUUCCGUUUAAUCUUCAAUCUCCACCUUUUAUGGUGUGCGAUCCAUUAGGUUCCUUUUAGCGAGGUAGUGGGCGAUUAAAACCAUUUUACAUCGAUUGUGAAUUGAAACUAUUUUCAAUUCUCCCUUUAGUGAUUACACAAGUUUAGGGCUUCCACAAACCAUGAGUGACACCUAGCAGCAUAUCAUGGUUACCCAAGCUAAUCAGAAGAGGAUAGAGAACCUAUUCAGUUUGGGAUUACAAAUGCAAUACGGUCUUUCUCUAAUCUAAUACUCUUGACCACAUUGUUUGGUAUGAUAGUUUAUUUACUCAUGUCUACUAUCCAAUGUGAAUCGUUUGCUUAUAUGAUUUCCUUGAAUGUGAUUUGGAACGCAUUCCCUAAUCUCAUUCAUACUCUGGCCAGAGAUUCCAAAUCAUAUCAUAGAGUAUUCUCCCUCAACUGUUUGAAGGUUAGAGAUCCCUUGUUGCGCAUUCACUUGUCUCCAUAGCUAAGUGGCUUAACCCCAACGAUGUCGUGGACACCCCGAGGGGGUGACUUUGACAUAAUCAAAGAUCAAGGACUUAACCACAAGACAACUGUGAUGCCUCAGGUCAAAUGACUACUUUGCAUUAUCCCAACCAUGAGUUCUCAUGUGACAUGGAAUAUAAGAACUCUUCGUUGAUCACGUUCAGUGAACUCAUUCUCUAUUGAGCACCUACGUACUUGUCUUGAUGUCACACACACCAAUGACUCGAGACUAAUCACUCUCCCUGAGAGAAGACAUAGUACGUACUGAUCUUAACGGACUGUCAACACCCAAUUGGCAAUCCUAUGAUCAGGAACGUUUAGGAUGUGUCUACGAAAGAAUGGUCUCAUGAAUCUAACUUCAUUAGAUUACAUUCUCCCAAUCACAUAUUCCUUGGACUUUAUCGUUUAAGCAUAUAACAUUUAUAUGAGACGGCUCAAACAAUAAUGUAUGCCCUUUAUAUGUAAAACUAGAUUAGUUUAACAUGUGAAAUGUUCGUAAAGUAUCAUCACAUGAUUGGCUUUAGGGCACAUUUCCAACAAUCUCCCACUUGCACUAGAGCCAAUCAGCUUGGUCAUCUUGAUUAUACCUCUUCUGUAGUCAUUUCAUAAAUGCUGAAUAGUAGGCCUAGGCAGUGGAUAUCUAUAUGUGUUAUCCACAGAAGCAACCUUGAGAAUAACGACGUCACCAUUAUACAUGAUUCUCAAUCAUGUGGUUCAGUCUCUCAUUUGUGUUCGGAUCUUGAUGAGACCUUGAUUCCCAGGCUUGAGCUAUCGCCCCAUUAGUGUCAUACACUUUCUGGUUGGAAUCGAAUAGAGAGUUCAUAAAUGAACUUUCCCAUCCAAACAACAUUGUUGUAAACUUCUAUAUGGCAAUAUAUCUUGCAUUCAUAAUGGAACACACUAAAGUCAUUACUUUAAUGUUUCCAUCCAAAUAUCUCUUUAGUCAUAAUAAAGAGAUAUUUGUUAUCUCUUCAUUCAUAAUGAAGAAACAUCCAAUGAUGGAUUAGAUUCAUAAUCUAAUACAUUUACGCUUCCAUUACGUUACUCUAAUUCUUCCUCAUUCUUUGAGGAAUCUAUCCUUUAGUAUUUCUUAAAUACUUAAGGACUCACUUGACAGUUGCCACGGUUCUGAUCCUGGGCUUGCACUGAUAUCGUCUUGUACCGUUCUAGGUACAACUUAUAUCAAUGUUUUUCAUACAAUAUGAAAUACAUAAAUCACCUUUCUGCUUAUGCAUAAAGGAUUCAAUUUACGCAUUAUUUCUAUGGGAGUCAAAGGGUACGUUCCCUUUGAGAAUGGCAACUUGCUAGUCUUACUAGAAUCGUCCUUCUUAUUGAAGUUUAUCAUCAUAUGAGAAACUUCCUAGCAUCCAUUGUCUAUUAUUAGGGAUUGAUAUAAUCCAAUUAUAUCAUGAAAUAUAUCAUUAUAGAUUUCCAUCCCAUGUAUAUAGACUAUAUCUCCCAUAUACAUUCUAUCUUCAUAUAAUGUAUUAAAGUCAUAACUUUAACGAAGAAGUAUUCUUUUCAUUUCCAAAAUUAAUAUAUCAUAUAUACUUAAAUUUUAGGAACAUGAUUAACUCCCACUAAUCUUUUGUAAAACUCGUAAACAAAAGAUUCAUUUACAUCUUGAUGAGAAAUCAAACGAUUUGAUCCUUUUUCCUCAUAAAAUGCAAAUAGCUCCCACUAACUUGCUAAGAUCCAUGAUGGAUGGAUCUCUACAACUUACAUGUCUUGUGAUUUAUAGUUUUGGACAUAUAUUAUCAAGAUUAUCUUAAUAAUGGUUUCAGAAACCCAUAUUAUGUCAAAACAUUGAAUCACCAUUUUAGUUGUAGCUAGCAAUCUUCGAAUUAAUUGAAACCAAGCCUAUCUCAAAGAUGGUUUCUUCAAAGUCAACCAUUCUCUUUGAUUGUAGUUACCUUAAGCUACCAAUUAGCUAUGAAGGUUUCAUUAUUUCGAGUCAAAUGGUACUUUACCAUUUCCUUGAGUAUAUAUCGUAUAUGUACUCAAUGUAGUCAUAAGGAUUUUCAUUCUUAUCGACUACCUUGGAGCUUGUGGUAUAGGAACUAGGUUGUUAUAUUUGUUGAUUACUAUCUUGUCUCUCAAAGAACCCAUUCUUUGAGUUCUAUCUCUCGUUCAUUUGCUUUUAGGCAAAUCACAUUGUAUGAUUACAAUGAACUACCCAACAAAACAACAUUUGUUAGUUGGUUUAUAGAAGUGAUAUCCAAAAGUUAAUUUAAGGAUAUCCCACAAGAUUGUUAUCAAACAAAUAUUGCUUAUUAGCACACAACCCCAAAUCUUAACAUGCUUAAGAUUUGUCUUUCUUUCCAACUACAUCUUAUGGAGUUAUGAAAAUUUUGGAAGAUCUUCUAAUUGGCAAUCAUAUUGUUUUAGAAGUAUAUAUCCUAUAUAUGGGUAAUAGAUAACAUCUAACGAACUAAAUCUUAUUCGAGUUCGUUCUUCUCCUAAUGGAGAAAUACAUUAUCUUAUGAUGCUAUUUUCCUUGAUAUCUUUCAAGGAAACUCAUCUAAAGUGUUACCUUUCCUUGGAUCAAAUCUAAGGAGGUAAAUACUUUAGAUAUCUUACUCAUCUAUUUACAUUUCUUGAAUUCUUUGAAACCUUUUGCAAAGUAUUCGGACUUGUGUUUAUUCAAAAUAAACUAUAGUCCAACCGAGAGUGAUCUUCGGUGAAUGUCAUAUAACAUGAGUAGUAUUAUGUUGUGGACAAGUGCCACUAACAUCUAAGUGAAUUAACCUCAACAACUUUGUGAUUCUUUCUUCUUUCCAAAAGAAUAAAGAUUCGAACAUUUCGCCUCUAUACAAUUUUAACAAGAAGGUAUUGGAUCCGGAUCUUACGAUCCAAAGCAUCCUUGUUUCACCAACUCGUAACUUAUGUUUUAGAGGUAUCACAAUUUAGUUGGGAUUAGUCACUACCUUGCAACCUUUUGGGUUUUAAGCAUCAUUAUAUUCUAAACAGUUAACACUACCAUAUCAUCUCUACUAUAGAGACAAUCAAUUAGAUUACUAUAAUCCAAUUUCUUUGGUAGUUCAUAUGAGGAAGUAAGUACUAUCUGCUUUCGCAGAGAUCUAUAUCUUAUUCACGUUCCGUAUGUGAAGCACCUUUUCUUCUCUCAUAUAUCUUCUACUUCUUAUUAGUCACACUUUUACAACGAUUUGUAAGACAUAGUUACUAAUACGGAAUCAUACAUUCAAGUAGAAGAACCAACUGUUUUGAACUAUUCAAGAACAAUUUACAACACCUUCGAAAGGUGUGUCCUUGACACUUGCAAGACAUUUCUUGCAAAUACCCCUUCCAAUGUCCAUCCUUUCAUAAAGAAAGUUUGUUCCCUUGGAGUUAUUUAUCUUCUUUAUUUGACUUUCACCUUUAACUACAUUAGUCAUGGUCCCUAAACUCCCACUAUCUCUCUUGAAACCUUUUUCAAUUGUGUUAUACACAUCAAACAAUUUGGAGAGUAUGUGGUUAUUGUUCACUACAUAGUUUACCAUAAACUUAGUGAACCAUUAGGAUAGGGAAACAAAGGUGAAGUCCUUGCCUAGUUUCCGUCUCGUUAAGUGGUUUAACACUUCAACACUCAAUGAUUCAAAAUCAUCAUAAGUCCAUGUUAAUGGACUAUUUUUGUCAACCAACCAUUAUGUUCUAAACAUAAUUACAAACUUUCAAGAGUUGUACAAGGCAACUCUCAUUUCUUCAUACAACAAUUUGUAAGUGAAGAAUCAUGGCACAUAAAGUGUCCAUGCCCUUGUGCUUACUUCUCAAGUUCUUUGUUCAAUUAACAAAGAAAUAAGCACUAAGUGUUUGUAUUGACUAAGGGUUGUUCAAAGCAACUCUUAUUUCUUCAUACAACAAUUUGAAGAAUUAUGACAUUAAAAGUGUUGUCCUCUCUAUGAUAGACCUUUUCUAACAUAUUCUUCUAAUGAUACAUUAUCAAUAGGAAGAUUGUGAGGAUGAGACUACUUAGGUACUUUUACAAGCCAUUAAAGACAAUCUAUGGUUUUGUAGUACCAAGUCCGGAAACUAAAACAUUCGGUUUUGUCAAGUGUUGGAUAGCGUUUGCAAAUAUAUUGGUAAACAAAUACAUAACGAAUAUAAAUUGAUUGAUUUUAAGCCAUUUGAUUCGGGUCUUUAAAUCAAAUAGCAUCACCCACUAUUUUUGGCAAAUUCCAUAUCCCUCAUUGGAAUUCGAGAGUUUUGGAUGAAACUCUUAGUAGGUUAUGGGAGGCUCACUAUUACCAAGCCCACCUCAGAAUUAUAUCAUGUUGGCUAGCGUUAAUGAUAAUGAGAGAGUACGCUUACUCAUUUGCAACUAAUGCAAGUACCCAUCUUAUUUGGCCUCUAGAGAAUGAUUGCCUCAGAAUUAUAUCAUGUUGGCUCCAUUGCACUUAGUUAAGUCAUUCCCACCAUGCUUAGUUCAUGUAGGGGUUCAAGCAUAGCCUCAGAAUUAUAUCAUGUUGGCUAAACUCAUUGCCUACACUCACCUCAUCAUAUGCGUAUAGACUCCUCCUGAGUAUAAGCAUGCACUUUGUACUUCCCCAUUAUAGGGUGAAGGCGGUGUACAAGUCAUAAACGAUUGGAGCCUACCACGGUGGAAGGCCACGAAAGAGUGUUCAAAGCACUCUCACGCUUUCAACUUAAUAUUGGGUUAGUUGAGGGUUUUAGAUCUCAUCACAUAUCAAUAUACAUUUUAAUCUCUAUUAAAACAAUUUUGGUCCUAUUACAACUAUUGGUCCAUAUGAUUGUUUUAGUUGUACAUAAUACUCCCACUAUGCUUUUAAAACGGUUUUUAAAGCAAGAGUAUAUGUUACUACUAACAUAAGGUUUGCAUUUAUUUAAUUGACUAUAUAGUUGCCUUAGGGCCUUAGGAUGACUAUGAACCUUUGUUUAGAUUCAACACGAGCCUUGUGUUGAAUCUCGGUCUAGGGAUGGAGAUUGAUUUUAGUUACGCGUUUAAUCACAUUAAGGCGUGUUGUCUUAGGGGCGUUGGACCCAAUUACUUCAUUUUCAUGCAUAUCAUAUAAAGCAAGAAAGAAAUACUUCAAAGUAAAGGAUGAGCUUAUGCUCAUUACAACAUUUGCAUAAAACAAAUUACCUUAAAGUAAAGAAGGACUUAUGCCCUUUUACAACAUUUGAUCAAAUCAAAUUACAACCAAAAUCUAAUCUACACAUUCCCAUGGUUCAAACAAAUUUGAAACGCCUUUCACAUAGCUCAAUUAUAUUAGGCUUAGGUUCAUAAUCAUCCUUUAAUUAAUUAACGCUUUAACUAAUUAAUUGAAUGCAACAUUUUCAUUUGGUUUUUGUAUCCAUAAAAUUGAUUUAAGUGGAGCUAAACAAAAUGAAAAUCCAAUUCUCAUUUAAAGAGACAAAACAAUUUUGUUCUCAUCCUAUUUGGGCCAUCAUGCAAUAACCACAACUUUUUGGGCCAUAUUACGAAAACAUAAACUUUUGGGGUCACUUUGUAAAAACACAAAAGUCACUACUUCAUGUAAAUACAACUAGAACCCAAAAUUUAAAUAAAUUCUAAAACUUCAUUAAAGGAGCAAAACAAUUUGUCCUUAAGCGUUUUUAGGCCUUAACGUCAAAACGUAAACUUUCGGGUCAAAGUACAAAUACACAAAAGUAUCAAAACUUUAUGUAAUUGCAUAAAAGCCCCAAAAUUACCCUAUUUUAUUAGGGUGGCCGGUUUUUAGGGAUAAAAAUGAGUGGUGGGUGUUUUGAUUUAUUAGUUUUGUCAAAAACAAUCAAGUAGUGCUUUCACCUUUCAUAAAAAUAAUAUAUGUUUUGAUGAUUGAUGUUUCCAUCAUCAUUUAUACAAAUAUUUAACACUUUAAAUACUUUCAUAAAAUUAAUAUAUGUUUUGAUGAUUGAUGUUUCCAUCAUCAUUUAUACAAAUAUUUAACACUUUAAAUACAUGAUAAAUCAUUUGAAAAACAUAUAUCAUAAACUUUAUGAAAUAAGUCAAAACUUUGAAUCAAAACACAAACCUUUGUGUUCUUGGCAAGAACAUCAAGAACAUAUGAAGAACAUCCAUGAAAAGCCAUAAAAGCUCCAUGAAUGUUUUCAUGCAAUAAAACUCAAAUUUUUAUCAUUCAAAAUGAGGCUAACAUCCUAGGGUACUUAGGGGUUCCAAAAGUCACCUUAAAACCAUUUUAACAAGACAAACAUGAACCCAAAAAAUCACCCUUUGGAUUUGGCCGAAAAUCCCUAAAAUCAUGGCACCAAAUUUUAGCUCCAAUAUUCAUCCUCAUAUGAACUACAUCUACAACAUUUGAGAUGGCAAAUUUUCAAACAAAAUUUACAUUCAAAGAAGCAAGAAUAAAGCUUGUAACAAUUACAACUUUUAAAUCAUAAACUUAUGAACUACAAAACCCAAAAGGAUUCACCAACUACUAGACCUAGGCUCUGAUACCACUUGAAGGAUUUAUUUUGAAAAACAUGUUCAUUUGAGCAACAUCAUAUAGCAUGCAAUUAACAAUUAAAUGCGGAAUCAUGCUUGCAUGCACUCAAAAACAAAACAUUACCAUGAAAUUCAAAGCCUAGUAGAUUGGUGAACCAAUAAUCAACUACAAAACAAAGUGAGUUGAAAUUAUUACCUUUGUAGAUUCCUCUUUGCAUAAGCAAAGGCUAAUCACCCAAAGAGAUAGGGCCUUCAUUCCUUGCUUCUUAGAUCCAUGGAUUUGGAUGGAAAAAUAGGUUUCUCCAAGUUCCCAAAAUAGGGAACCUCUAAGUCUCUUCACCAAGGUUUGAUUGUAGAAGAAAUGAGUGACCUUGGAGUAGUAGGAUUGCUAGAUGUACCCUCCAAGGUGUUGGCCUCUUUAGAGAGAAAAUGGAGAGACAAUUCUCACCAAUUUUCCCCCAAAAUAAACCCUUAAUCACUUAAUGAAUAUUUGGCUAUAAAAUCAUUUAUAUAGUCACUUCUUUAAGUGACCUAAACAACCAAAACCCUAAUUCAUUUCAUCAUGGCCGGCCAUUUAGGGGAUUUUGGGCUUUUGGGCUUUAAUGAAUCUUCAUUCAUUAAAUUGUCAUACAACUUAAGUUAAUGGGCUUGACGUUCGAAGCCCAUUGGGCCUUAAGGUCCAAAACUAUCCCGAAGUCUUUAACGAACUUAUUCGUUUGAUUAAUUAACAUAUUAAUUAAUCCUUGCCAUAAUUAAAUGAUUAAACCAUUUAAUCAUUCUUACUCAUUUCCGUUUAAUCUUCAAUCUCCACCUUUUAUGGUGUGCGAUCCAUUAGGUUCCUUUUAGCGAGGUAGUGGGCGAUUAAAACCAUUUUACAUCGAUUGUGAAUUGAAACUAUUUUCAAUUCUCCCUUUAGUGAUUACACAAGUUUAGGGCUUCCACAAACCAUGAGUGACACCUAGCAGCAUAUCAUGGUUACCCAAGCUAAUCAGAAGAGGAUAGAGAACCUAUUCAGUUUGGGAUUACAAAUGCAAUACGGUCUUUCUCUAAUCUAAUACUCUUGACCACAUUGUUUGGUAUGAUAGUUUAUUUACUCAUGUCUACUAUCCAAUGUGAAUCGUUUGCUUAUAUGAUUUCCUUGAAUGUGAUUUGGAACGCAUUCCCUAAUCUCAUUCAUACUCUGGCCAGAGAUUCCAAAUCAUAUAUCAUAGAGUAUUCUCCCUCAACUGUUUGAAGGUUAGAGAUCCCUUGUUGCGCAUUCACUUGUCUCCAUAGCUAAGUGGCUUAACCCCAACGAUGUCGUGGACACCCCGAGGGGGUGACUUUGACAUAAUCAAAGAUCAAGGACUUAACCACAAGACAACUGUGAUGCCUCAGGUCAAAGGACUACUUUGCAUUAUCCCAACCAUGAGUUCUCAUGUGACAUGGAAUAUAAGAACUCUUCGUUGAUCACGUUCAAUGAACUCAUUCUCUAUUGAGCACCUACGUACUUGUCUUGAUGUCACACACACCAAUGACUCGAGACUAAUCACUCUCCCUGAGAGAAGACAUAGUACGUACUGAUCUUAACGGACUGUCUACGAAAGAAUGGUCUCAUGAAUCUAACUUCAUUAGAUUACAUUCUCCCAAUCACAUAUUCCUUGGACUUUAUCGUUUAAGCAUAUAACAUUUAUAUGAGACGGCUCAAACAAUAAUGUAUGCCCUUUAUAUGUAAAACUAGAUUAGUUUAACAUGUGAAAUGUUCGUAAAGUAUCAUUACAUGAUUGGCUUUAGGGCACAUUUCCAACAAUCCCAAGCUCGACUCCACCGUAACACGAUAUUGUCCGCUUUAGGCCCCGACCACACCCUCAUGGUUUUGUUUUUGGGAACUCACACAAGAACUUCUCAAUGGGUCACCCAUCCUGGGAAUGCUCUAGCCCGAACUCGCUUAACUUCGGAGUUCCGAUGGAUCAUGGAACCCGAAGCCAGUGAGCUUCCAAAAGGCCUCGUACUAGGUAGAGAUGGGAAUAUACAUAUAAGACUUACAGGAUCCACUCCCCUGGACAAUGUGGGAUGUUACAAUAAAUAAAUAAAUAUAUAUAUAUAGACUUAAAAAAAAUUGAUAGCCCUAGGCGUACGCCUAUUCAGCUAUCCUCAGGGCCGACUGUGACAUCCCACAUCGCCCAGGGGAGUGAUCCUUAAAUUUAUAUUCUCAUCCCUACCUAGCACGAGGCUUUUUGGGAGCUCACUGGCUUCGGGUUCCGUAGGAACUCCGAAGUUAAGCGAGAAGGAGGCCAGAGCACUCCCAUGAUGGGUGACCCACUGGGAAGUUGCUCGUGAGUUCCCAAAAACAAACCGUGAGGGAAUGGUAAGCCCAAAGCGGACAAUAUCGUGCUACGGUGGUGGAGCGGGCCCGGGAAGUGAUCCAUCCCGGGCCGGGAUGUGACACCGACCUUGCCCUCUAUUAUACAAGCUUCUUUGUGUGUGUCUCUAAGAAAAAAAUUAGUUAUUUUGUAACCCUCGAUGCAAUUAACAUUAAAAAAAAAGUAGCUAGCUCAAAUACCUCACAGCCAAAUUUCAAGCACAAGUGUUCACUCAAACCCCAUUUGAAGUUGCUUGUGUAAACGCUUGUGUUCCUAAGCACUUUCGAUAGAACCACAUUUCAUUAAAAAUCUUCUUGAAGCAUCCAGCACUUUAAAAUUAUGCCACAAUUUCGCCAGAAAAUCACCUUUAAAGUCGGCCACAAAUGGAACUAAAUACUUCAUACUUCAUAGCUUAUACUGAUUUUGCGUGGUUAAAUAUUUUCUUCAUCUUAUUAUUUGCACAAAGUCAUAAUUAAAAAUGUUGAUGCACAAAAUCGAAGUCUUGGAACAACAUAAAUCCGACCGUGAAUCUGCAAGUAAUGUAAAUAACACAAGAUUUAUCGUGGUUCACCCCAAGGUUUGGGCUACGUCCACACUGAUUGUAUUUAUUUGAGGGAGAGUGAGCUCUGAGAGUGAGAGCGUUGAGAGGGGGUGAGAGGGCUUAGGAAUUGGUGUCCCCCAAUUGUGAGAGUGAGGGGUUCUUUUAUAAAAUAAGGACUCCUCACUUAUUACAUAUUUGCCUCUUCCUUUAUCACAUAAUUACAUUUAAGUCCCCCGAGUAUUUGUACGAGAUCUAAAUAUGAGGCCCUAAAUAUGGUAUAAACAGUAGUCCCCCAAGUCUUCAGUCAAGAGAGUCUUUUGGCUGGAGACUUGAAAUUCAGUCUAUGUGUGGGCCGAAGUAACUAGAUGUUGUCUUGAACUUGAUGCUCGAUAUAAGGCGGUGCUCAAUCUGAAAUGAUGUUCAACUAGAAGUAUCACAUGCUACGAGGCUGCUUGGCUCGUGGCUUAUGUUGCCUUGGUUGGCUCGGCUUGUGGCGUUGAAGGUGAGGGAGUCUCUUUUAUAGAAUAAGGGCUCAUUCCUCAAUACAUGAAUGAUGGGCUAGAGUUGAUGCUCUCUAAUUAUGGUGAGGGAGUCCCUUUUAUAGAAUAAGAGCUCACUCCUUAAUACAUAAAUGAUGGGUUAUGAGUGAUGCUCGCGGCGAGGGGGUUGCUCAGCUUGCGGCGAUGCUCUCUAACGAAUGUGAGGGAGUCCCUUUUAUAGAAUAAGGACUCACUCCUUAAUACAUGAAUGAUGGGCUAGAAUUGAUGCUCUCUAAUAAGGUUGAGGGAGUCCAUUUUAUAGAAUAAGGGCUCGCUCCUCAAUACAUAACUGAUGGGUUAGGAGUGAUGCUCACGGUGAGGCGGUUGCUCAGCUGGCAGCGAUGCUCUCUAACGAAGGUGAGGGAGUCCCUUUUACAAAAUAAGGGAUCGCUCCUCAGUACAUGAAUGAUGGGCUAGAGUGAUGCUCGCGACGAGGCGAUUGCUCAACUAGCGGCGUUGCUCUCUAAUGAAGGUGAGAGAGUCCCUUUUAUAGGAUAAGGGCUCGCUCCUCAAUACAUAAGUGAUGGGCUGGGAGUGAUGCUUGCGGCGAGGCGAUUGCUCAGUUGGCAGCGUUGCUCUCUAAUGAAGGUGAGAGAAUCCCUUUUAUAGAAUAAGGGCUCGCUCAUCAGUACAUGAAUAAUGGGUGCUCUCUAAUGAAAGUGGGGGAGUCCUUUUUAUAGAAUAAGGGCUCGCUCCUCAGUACAUAAAUAAUGGGCUACAUCCCCCAAGUAUUUUCCAUGAGGCCCAGUUGAGGCCCAAUAUAUGGUACAUAAUGUAGUCCCCCAAGUUUUCGGUCAAUAGAGUAUGUUGGCUGGAGACUUCAAAUUGAAUCCAUGUAUGGGCUGAAGUGGCGGUUGUUCGGAUGCGGCAUUUGUAUACCCUGCACUGAAGCUUUGUAGGUGAAGCUUUGCAAGUGAAGCUUUGAAGCUAGAGCUCUGUAAAUGAAGCUUUCGAAGCUGGAGCUUUUGUAAAUAAAGUUUUUGAAGCUAGAGCUUUGUAAAUGAAGCUUUUGAAGCUGAUUGACAUGAGUGAUGCUCAUGAAUGUUUAUGUUGAUUGACAUGAGUGAUGCUCAUGGAUGUUGUCAUGAGUGAUGCUCAUGAAUGUUAAUAUGAGUGAUGCUCAUGAAUGUUGACAUGAAUGAUGGUCAUGAAUGUUUAUGUAUGAUUGUCAUGAGUGAUGCUCAUGAAUGUAUAUGUAUGAAUGACAUGAGUAAUGCUCAUGUAUAAUUUGGAGUACUGGGCGUACUUUUGAUCACCUGGUUGGUGGCAUGAAGGAGAAUACGGGUUGUACAUUUCAUCACCUGGUUGGUGGCUUGAAUGGCUAGUUGCCAAAUGAUAUUUAGAGUAUGGGUUGUACAUUUCAUCACCUGGUUGGUGGCAUGAAUGGCUAGUUGCCAAAUGAUAUUGGAGUACGGGUUGUACAUUCAUCACCUGGUUGGUGGUAAUAGCGGCAGGUUGUCGAAUAAUUUUUUGUAGUGCUGGGCAUACUUUUGAUCACCUGGUUGGUGCUAUUUUGGGCUUAUGGGCCUUUGCCCUCCACAACAUGCCAGCCCAUUUAUUUUGGGCUUUGCCGUUUUUUUUUUUUACCCUCUGAUGGGGUUUAUACAGAUAUCUCUGAAAGAUAAGAAAAAUAAAUCACAUCAUACAAAAACAAGAAAAGUAAAUCACAUCAUUCUGGUGGGGUGUUUAUUUCUUGCUUUUGCUUUCUCUUUUGCUGCUUUCUGAAAUAUUCUCCCAACGACAUGAUCUUUUUUCUUUUUCUUUUCUGUUCCUUUACCCUGAUCUCUCCACCUCCAGGCACACUCACUUGCUUUUGCUUUCGUUUUCUGAUUUGCUUUUGCUUUUGCUUUCGUUUUUCUUUCUGCUUUUGUUUCCCAUUCCCUGCAAUUUUUAGGAUUCCCAUAAUUGGCAUUAGAACCUACAGCUGGAUUUCCAAUAGCAGCUGCAGCUCUUACUCUCUUCUCCAUGUUAGCAAUUUCUGCACGAACCCAAAGAACACAACAGAUCUGAUUCAAUGUCUCCCCCACGACAUCGAAAUCGCCAACGUGGACUAAGGCUUUGUUGUUGUAAUCUACUCAGAAAUAGUGACGAGCACAGGGGCGCCAAGCCCUUCUCAGUAACAACUUGUAACGGAAACCAGUCCAGGCCGCCCUAGGUGAGCCUGGUCCAAAUCCACCAAUUUCUUUACCCACCGUCACCAAACUACCGAACUCUGCUCGCUUAUCUCUCUCACUAUCCGCCUUCCUCCCGUCGUUCAACUCAAAUGGCGGCGACGACACAAACAAGUCCUUCAAACUGUUCCUCUAAACCGGAAGCUCUUCCGGUAGCGGCAUCGAAACCGGUCGGGUCACGGCGGCGACUGCUGCUCCGAGUGAGAAGCAUGAGCAAGGUGGGUUUACGGUGGGGGAGCAGGAUCGAGGGGCUCGACCGCGCGGCUUCGAGUCGGGCUCUAGGCCAUGCCGUACUGCGUGGUGAGGCGCUUGAAUUUCUGCAAAGUCCCCAUCUUUUGGAUUUGAAGUCUGUUGCUGCUGCUAACUCUCAUUCCUCUCUUUAUGAAAGCAGAGCAAGAACAAGCAUGGGGGGCACAAUCUUCAACAUCAGAGCCUUCUCCAGAAACUUCCACGUGAUGGGCACGUUGUUUUCCCAGCAAAUAUAAGAAACCAACACGUUGGCGAGCUCCACCGAGGGCAAAGAAACUCCCAUGGAGUUCAAGUUAGAGGACAACUGUAUGACCCAGAGCUGAGGAUCACUACCUUUUUGCUGUGCCCCUUUGGUCAGCUCCACCACACUACCCCAGAGGUUGCCUCGGAAAGAACCCUCCAUUUCUGAGUCAGAUUUGGUUAUGGUUUUGGAAUUUGGAGUAGGUUGGUGAGAAUGUAUAGAAAGAGAGAGGAGAGAGAGAGAGAUAAAGAGAGCAGAUUGAGACGAUGGAGAUGAGACUAGUUCUUUUUUGUUUUGGUUUCCGUGAGAGAGGAGAGAGAGGUGGUUGGAGUUGGUGCGAAGGUUUUCUGGAAAAGCUUUGGGUUGCUGGAUUUUUGCAGAUUUUGCAGAUUCACGGUGGAGGUGAAAAAAUGAAAAAGAACCGACAUAGUUUUUCGUAUCGAUUCCCACAGACGGCACCAAAUGUUGAUGCACAAAACCGGAGGUCUUGGAACAACGUAAAUCCGACCGUGAAUCUGCAAGUAAUGUAAAUAACAGAAGAUGUAUCGUGGUUCACCCCAAGGUUUGGGCUACGUCCACACUGAUUGUAUUUAUUUGAGGGAGAGAGAGCUCUGAGAGUGAGAGCGUUGAGAGGGGGUGAAAGGGCCUAGGAAUUGGCCUCCCCCAAUUGUGAGGGUGAGAGGUUCUUUUAUAGAAUAAUGACUCCUCACUUAUUACAUAUUUGCCCCUUCCUUUAUCACAUAAUUACAUUUAAGUCCUCCGAGUAUUUGUACGAGAUCUAAAUACGAGGCCCUAAAUAUGGUAUAAACAAAAAAGAUUAAUGAUUUUCCACUAAUAGUUUAUCUUCUGUUGGUUAAGAAAAUAUUUCAGCGGAAAAACCUUACAAUUAAAUCUCAAGCGCAAGUGUUACUCGAUCCUCGUUUGAGAAUGCUUGCGUUAAGUACUCAUGUUCCUAAGCAUUUUAGCAGAAGCACUUUCGAUAGAAGCAUAUUUUAUUAAAAAUCACAAUAUAUUAUACAAAAAAAUAAUAGUUUAUCAAAAUUUCUAUAACAAAAUAUAUUAUGAAUUGAAAAAAAAAGGAUUAAAUAUAAUUAAUACAUUAAAUUAGGAAGAAAAGGAGAAAUAAAAUAUCUUAAUGGAUGAGGUGAUUAAAUGUAUGAUAACAUGUACGUUGAGUUAAGGGACUGAAGUUAUUUUAAAUCUUACACAAGAUUUUAGUGAAAAAUUGAUUUCUUUUAAAGACUAAAAUGAAGUUUUCUACAAUAUUAAUUUAGAGUAUUUCUAAACUAUCUGUUUAGCUAACGUUAUUAUAAGAUCAUCUCCAACUGAAAAGGCUAAAAAUAGUCUCAUUCAGAAUUAUAGUCAUGCAAGAAAUAAUUUUUAAAUGAACAGUAUUAGACCAUACUCAUGUACCAUCUCCAACUGAAGCGGCUAAACAUAGCCUAGCCCCCUCAACAAUUUAUUAUUUUUAAUUCAAACUUGUAAGUGAGAGGUUUUAUGUUCGAUAUUUGCCAUGGUAUUAUGACUAGCCUACUUUGAGACUUAGUCCACUCUUCCACUCCUUAGUGUAGAUAAUAUCAUAUGUAUUAAAAAAAGUUUAUAUUUUAAAUUUAUUGGUUAAUUUAAUUAAACUACCGUUGAAUAUUUUCAAACUUGACCAUUAAAUUUAAAUCAAUUAUUGCAGCUGAAGAGUUUGACCCCCAAAAAAAGGACUAAGAGGAGGCUACAUUUGGCCAGCCUGAUGCCCUUUUGGCUAAAUAAUGGCCUAGUGAAUUCAAUAUAAUUAUAACCCAAUCAUCCACUAAAGAAAGAUUUUUAGACAAAUAAGACCAUUUUUUGGCUUUUGGACCUUUAACCAUCUUUAUUGGAUAUGGCCUAAGAAAAUUUAAUUAGGGACAGUAACAAUGAACAAUAAAAAAAAUUAAGGGAUAGUUUAGUUGCGGUCACUGACCCCUAACUGUUAUAUAUUCAAACCUUAUGCAUUUUAUGUUUUAUAUUGAAGUCACUCUUCUGCCACAUAAAUAACAUAAUAAUAAAAGAAAUGCAAUGAUACCAAUAAAGACUCAAACCGUUAUUUUGCUUUCAUUUUCAUUACCAAUUUAAUUAUUGAAAUUUUCUUAUGGGUUUCAGCGAAAAAAAAAUGUUUAUGGAUGCAUUCUAGAUUUAUUUUUAUUUUUAUAAAAUAUGAGUACAUUUAUAUAAGGGACAUUUUACAUGUAAAAGUUCGGCACAUUUAUAUAAAAAUGUGGGUACAUUUGACAUACAAAACAUUGGUACAUUUUAUAUAAAUUAAAUGGGUACAUUUUAUAUAAAAAUAAAAUGGGUACAUUUUAAAUAAAAAUAAUCGUACUUACAAAACAAAAAAAUUGGUAUAUUUUGCAUAUCAAAGUGGUACAUUUUUAAAGAAAAAUGGGCACAUUAUAAACAAACUAUGAGUACAAAUAAAAGGUUAAAAAAAUUAUGAGUACAAAUAAAAGUUUAAAAAUAUGGGCAAAGAAAUUAAUAUAUGAGUACAAAUUAAAACUGAAAAGAAAAUUGGUACAAUUUAAAAAAAGGAUUGCAAAUUAAAAAUGGGUACAAACUAAAACUAGAAAUAUAUGAUACAAAGUUUUGACCAUAAAUAUAAAUAUAUCAAAUGUAUAUAUUUGAUAGCAGAACAAGGACAAUGUUCACUAAGUUUAAACAGUCGAUGAUGAAUGAGUUUGAAAUGACCGAUCUUGGUAAGAUGAGGUACUUCCUUGGAAUUGAAGUAUUGCAGCAAGUAGAUGGAAUAUUUAUCUGCCAAAAAAAAUAUGCUCAGGAAGUGUUGGAAAGAUUUAAAAUGGAAAACUGCAAUCCAACGCACAAUCUUAUUGUUCCAGAUACCAAGCUAACGAAGGAUGUGACUGGUGAGAAGGUUGACAACACUUUCUACAAACAGAUCGUGGGGAGCCUCAUGUAUCUCACAGCCACUCAGCCUGACACUAUGUUCGUGGUAAGCCUAAUUAGCAGAUUUAUGGAGUGUCCAACAGAAAUGCAUUUGGCAGCGGCAAAAAGGGUGUUGAGGUAUUUAAAAGGCACGAUCAGACUUGGAAUUCUUUACAAAAAGGGAGGACAUGUUGAGCUCAGAGGCUACUCAGAUAGUGAUUAUGCAGGUGACUUAGAUGAUAGAAAGAGCACAUCGAGGUAUUUGUUCAUGUUAAGUUCAGGAGCUGUGUGUUGGUCUUCCAAGAAGCAACCUGUGGUUACGUUGUCAACAACUGAAGCCGAAUUCAUAGCAGCAACUUCAGCCGAAUUCAUAGCAGCAACUUCAUGUGCUUGUCAGGCAAUCAGGUUGAGAAGGAUAAUGAAGGAGUUAGGUCAAGCUCAGCAAGAUUCUACAAUGAUUUUCUGUGACAAUAGCUCAGCAAUAAAGCUCUCUAGGAAUCCUGCAAUGCAUGGUCGAAGCAAACUCAUAGAUGUACGUUUCCACUUUCUUCGUGAUCUGACUAAGGAUAAAAUUGUGCAGCUGGUUCAUUGCAACACUCAAGAACAAAUAGCAGGCAUAUUAACCAAGCCUUUGAAGACUGAUGCCUUUCUGAAGAUGCGUGAGCUUAUGGGAGUGUGUCUGGAACCAGGUAUAAACUGAUUGCUUAGCAAUCAGUUUAAGAGAGGAUGUUAGAUUAUUAAUUGAAAGUAGUGGUUAUAUCCACUACGUAAACUUAGGAUUGUUCAUGUAAGCAGUUUUAACUGCAUGGCUAAAUAAGCCCUAGAAUUUAGGGAUCAGUAGAAGUUGGUUUCUUUCAAACUUAGUCAUAUACCACGUUUAGGUUUAGUGUUUAACGUGGGUUGCAUAUUUAUCUUUCAGUUAUGUAAGGCUUAUAUAUAGUCGGCUUGUUUUUGAUAAAUGUUAUGUGAAUCUCCUCCCAGUUUGCAAAGAUCUCAUUCGAUAAACACUUGGUUUUAACAGACAAGUUAUUCAACAGAAAAGCCGUUUAUAAAAAAGGUUGCACCAACAUAUCAAGAAAAUAGAAGGACAAACGCAAGACAGUAGAAUAAGAAGUUAAGCUUAACUUUAAAAGAACAGGAAAGUGCAAAUGAAUGUACCCAAAUUCCUAACAAAUCGGAGAUCACUGUUGAUCGAUUGAAGUGGACGGUUGCUCUUGCCCCACCUCAAUAUCAAUAGGAACAUUGAGAUCAAUAUGCCUGUGUUUCAGAUGAUCAUCCGCUGGCUCCAAAGAUCAGGAAAGCCAUUGUUGUUGCAGAUCCUAUCAUCAUCGACGAUAUCUGAGGAUCCAACUGGCCAAGGCUUCUUCCCAAGACUACUCAUUGAUCCCAAAGACAAGGGAAGUCGUUCGUCUUGGUUCCGCAAUAGGCGGUGCACCCAUCAACUUUUAAUGCGUGCAGAGUUGGGGAAAGGAACUAUAACUUGACAAAUAUCACCCUGCUGCUCGUGAUCGUCUAAAUCCACUAACUUGAGCCACACGAGUUGCCUCAAUUUUCAUCUCAUCCCAUAAAUAAGGUACAAGUUUUUGUACUCCCUUGAUGAGAAUAUAAAGAUUAUCAAAAUAAUUAGUUCCUGCUCCAAGAACAACAGAUAGAGCUAACAAUAUAACGUAUCCCCUUGGGAAUGUAGAGGACUUUCAAAACCAAAUUCAUUUCUGAUAGAUGUUCAGUGGUUGUAAGAUGGUCAAGGGGUAUAGCUGGGCCACUUUUGAACUUUAUUGCCUGGCAGAAUAACUUGCAAGUCAGCGAGCUGAAGAGAUUCCUGCAAAUUAAAUAACGUAUAGAUACCUAAUUACUAUAAAUGGGGGUAAGGCGGGAGCAUCCUCUCCAUAAAUGGGGGUAAGGCUAGCCGACAUUCACCUCUCCCAGACCCUGCGUAAAGCGGAAGCCUUAUGCACUAGGUACGACCUUUUUUUAUAGAUAACUAAUUACUAACAGUCGUGAUCUAAAUGCUCUCUCAAGUAUUAACAAAAUUAAUUUUCAUUUCAAGAGAAAUUAAGAAGAAGAGAAAGCAACCUCAUUCAACCAAUUGUUUUUCAACUUUGCCACUUCAUCGCCACUUAGUUUAAUGCAAUUAGUCAACUCCAAACGCUCAAGCAUCGGGGGCAAUUUUGGAAUUUUUUCCAAUGAUGUGCAAUCAUCCAGAUAUAAGCCACAUAAGCUUGGUGGAAGGACUUGUGGAAUUUUUUGAAGCCUCCUGCAACCACUCAAUCUUAGUUUCAUUAAGUUGACAAAUUUGCUAAUGCAAUCCGGAAGACUAACAAAAUUGUUUCUUGACAGAUCAAGGCUUGCUAAUGCGAACCAGCAACCAAGAGGCACAAGGAAAUCACUUUCAGAUAAAUUGCAUCCUCCCAAAUCAAGAUCAAAUAGGUUGGGAAGGGCUAAUGUGAUAGAGUUGUCAUCUGAAGUAUCUGAAUCAGAGAUUGGGUAUUGCAAGAUGAAACUUCAUCAAACUUCACCUUAUUCUUCCCAAAUGUCACGAGUUUUGGGCAUUCACCAAAGUAAACCUGAAUCAGAUCUUGCAACCCAUAUAUAUGAUGUAAUGAUGUACCUGUAAGGUUCACACAUUCAUUUGCUUUCAAUCUUUGAAGCCCAAUAAGAUACGCAAUUGAUGAAGGCAAUUCUCUUAUGCCACUUUGUUGUAUAUCCAAGUCCGUUAGAGAUUCCAUCUUGCCCUCUUCUAUUUUUGGGAAUCUCUCGAGCCUUGUGCAACCUUUGAGAUAAAGCCAUUCAAGGGAUCUCAACCCAAGUCUUGUUGCAAACCUCGUAAGCUUAGAGCACCCAUUAAGAUUCAAGUAAACAAGUUUAUCAAGGAAUCCAACAAAAUCAUCAACCUCAACCAAACUUUUACACUCACUUAGUACCAAGUGCUUUAGAUUUGGGCUUCCGGAUAAGUCGGGGAUUUUUUCUAAGAAUUUGCAACCUCUGAAAUUCAUAGAUGUAAACUUUGCCAAAUUCUGUAAAACCAAAAUCAAAACAAAAUAAAUCACAUGCUUUAAAAGAAUAUAAUGAAACACUUGAGUUUUUUUUUUUUUUUUUGAUAUAAAAUAUGUGUAAAUAUAUAAUGGUUCAAAAUAAUUUAAAGUAUGUACCUUAAAUUCCUUCAAUUGUCUGAUGUCACUGUAUGACAUAUCAAAACUAACUUGUUACAUGACAUCAUCCCAGUCAUCACGACUUUUUUGAAGUACUGUUUGAAUAUCAUUGUAAGGUUCUCCUUUGCAAGAAUCGCAAAUAUCCAAUAUAACUUGCCAACGAUUUAUACUUUUCUUACGCAGAUGAGAACCUAUACAAUUAAGAGCUGAAGGACGGCCUUGAGCAUAGGCUACUACACGUUGUACGAGUUCGAAAUAAUUGUCUGGAGGUUCAUUUCUUCCAAAGGCAUUCAAACUUAAAAGCUCCAGAGCUUCGUCGUCAUUUAACUUUCGGACCUUGUAGAUGAACUUAACUCCAUAAGAUUCCAGCAAUCCUCUAUCUUUUGUGGUUAUGAUCACUCUACUACCCUCACCAAUCCAUUCGACUUCAGCCAAGUUGUUUAAUUGCUCCAAUUCAUCCACAUCAUCAAGAAUUAAGAGAAUCUUCUUUCGCCUCAACAAAUUCUCUAUAAGGCUCUUUCCUUGAUGAGUAUUGACAACUUUCGACUUUGAACCACGAUUAAUCUCACUUAGAAGAGUGUUUUGUAGUUGGAUUAGGCCUCCAUGUUGCAUUGAUGUUUCUCAAACAUCUGCCAGGAAACAACUACCUUCAAAAUUAUGAGCAAUUGCAUUAUAAACAGCUUUUGCAAUUGUUGUCUUGCCUAUUCCAGAUGUCCCCCAAAUCCCAACCACACAGCCACCAUUUCCAUCGACCCCUAAAAGCUCUUUCACCUCUUGUACGCAAGAUUGUAUUCCAACAGGGUGUUUGGCCACAUUCAAAUAGGUGCCAUCAAGUACUCGGACUGAGAUCUCUUUAACAAUGUUACUGAUUAUUGUAGCUUCAUAGCUAGCAGUUCAAAACAAAAAGCACAUUUAAUCAGUGAACUUUUUUUUUUUACUAUAUUUCAGAGAUGUAAAUGUUGUGCUAAGAUAGCACCAAACCCGUUGGAACCAACUCAAGCUAACCCAGUUCCGAGAUGGCGAGGAAAUUCCACUAAUAUCAAAAGGAGAUUACAAAUAGAGUUUUAACUCUCAAACCCAAAUCCCACAUACAACCAAUAGCUCUCACUCAAACUAAGAAACAAAUGGAGAAGAAGAAACACAUAUCAAAAUCCUUCUCUUCCAAAAGCUACACAAGUAGCACCAACAUCUUUGAUUGAGUGAUUACUAACAAAAUGGGAUUAUUACAAAUGGGAGCAGGUCAUAUUCAAAUGGGAGAGCCGAAUGCUCUCCCUGGUUUCUCUCAUCUGCCGCUCCCCCCUCUUUUCUUCUCUCGGCUUCUCCUCAAACAUAUAGCAGCUGCUGCUGCCUUAGAAAAUACCAAAAGAAAAGCUCUUUUUUCAAGUUGCAAAGGAAGGAGCCGAAUAAACCCAAUUCCAUUUGCCUAUAAAAAAAUCCAAAGUAAAGGAAUAAUCAUUCCUUUACAAACAUCAUCAUGACCUUCCUUUUUCUUUUCAACAAACAUCAUCAUUGUGUCUUUACUCAUAAUGAUGUCCACCAAACUUUUCUUUCUUUAAUAGCCGAAAGGAGAGUUGGCUUGUAGUCCACUUGGCCACUAAUUUGGCCGCUAUCCAACAGUAAAAACAAAUAGAGAAAUAUAAAUAUUACACUAUAUUAACAAAAAGUGUACUUGAAAAUUUUUCUCUGUUUCUAUCCAAAAUGCACUAGUAAUUACUAAAGUCAAGUAUGUGUUGCUUGCUAAAGAUCUAAAGAGUAAAAAUGAAAUACAAAACUAAAAUGAUGACAUUAUUGUAGGAAAUUAACUAUAUAAAUAUACGGUAAGGGGAAGAAAUGUACGUACCCUUCCUCCUUGACCAGAUGUCCUGACAAAUUUGCUACUUCUCUAAGAGCUCUCCUCCACAUGAGCACCUUCUUCUUGUUGUCCUUGAAUUUGCCCAGAAGUUUUGUAAACCCGACACCGAAACUACUCGUUUGAUUUUGUACAUGGGACGGAUCCACCUUGUAAAAAACUGGCAAAACUAUUUGUUGCUUUGAUUUUUUACAUUGACGAAUCUUGAUGAGCUCAUCUAAGCACCACCUUGAAGAUGCAUAGUUUUUAGAGAAUAUGACAAGAGAAAUUCUUGACCCUUCAAUUGCUUGGAGGAGCGCUAGUGAUAUUUCUUCUCCUCGUGUACGUUGGCGAUCAAUGAAGGUGUUGAUUCCCUUAUCGACCAAAGCUUUGUAUAAAUGAUCUGUAAAAUUCGUGUGUGUGUCCUCUCCUCUAAAACUCAAAAACACAUCAUAUCUCCAUGAAGGAGGCAAGGAAGUAGAAGAGGCAAGUUGAUCGGCCAUAGGAGAAUUGCAAUGUGCGGUAUGGUAUGGACAUUGGGCCCUCUCUUGUUAUAUCAGCCCUCAUGCUUUUCUUGGCAACUUCAUUUUCAAUUAUUGAAUAUUUUAAUUGCAGGCAUACGGCAUGCAAUGCAACAACAUAAUAUAUAUAUAUAUAUAACAAUGAAAGCGUCGUUGCUUCUCUGCCUUAUAUUAGAGUUAGUCUUCCAUUCACAUUGGUAAACAAAAUAUAUAAUAUAAAACUGAAGAAUGAAGUUUCUCAAAGCCUAGUUGUUUGCAAUCUAAAUUAGGGUUUUUCUAUAAUACUUCAAUGUAUGAGAUGCGACUGUAUUUGAAAGGUCAGAUUGAAACUGUCAAGAUCCAUUUUUUCUAGCAAGUCACGCAUCAAAAUCUAAGUCAGCUGCAGCAGCAUCAACCAAAAGUAGUUUUGAGAAAAGCAUGGAAUAAGUAGAAAUGUGAAAUCAAAAGUUAAGAGUGACUGGAAGUUGCAUAGCUUACCGGAGGUCCAGUCACCAGCAAGCACUUGCCGGGAAGGCCAUCUUUCGCUUCUCCUCCUCCUCCCUCUUCCACUGUCGUUCGUUUUCACCCCCGCUCGAUCAGCCAACAUGACUAACAGG